GCUGCGGGGCGGGUGUCUUUAAAGAUGAUGCAUGUCUGUGACCGUUGCCAGAGGCCUCUGACUAGACCCACCUAACCGUCCGUCCACUCGACACCUCGGUAAUGUUGACAAUCUGCCUCAUGAGGUGGAGCGGAGGAGAUCCUGAGGAUUCCUACCUCUCGUGAUGGUUGUCGGGCCUUCUUCCUACUGGGAAGGUGUCUUGUGGGUUCCUUGUUUUGGGCCUUUGCUUGAUGUUGCUUGAGAAUUGAUAUUUUCCGGCAACGCCUUCCCAGCCCUGGAGGCCGCUGUUGUGUGUGUACGAGUCUGGGUACUAAAAACCCCAUUUCUUAGUACAUCGACAUUAGCCCCCUAGCCUAGGCCACACUUGCGUAUGUGACGUUGUUGGGCUAGGCCCAAAAAAAGUGCAUAGGCACACGCGACCCCAAUUCCUUGUAGUUAUAAUGGUUCUUACUGCUUUCCCACGAUGCACAAUGACAAGGGGUCAUGGGAGUGCUGGAGAGAGGCGUUUGCUUCGAGGAGUCUCGCUUGAGAACCACAUGCCAUUGAUGGAGGAGAGCAGUCCUCCAAGCCCGCAUGCUUGGUAGCGAAUGGUCUUGUCGGAUAGUGAACGAUCAACUCCUGGGUCCCUCCAAAGGAAAGGAGGAAGAUGGAGGUGGUGCAUGCUCACUUCUCGUUGUUAUGCUCUGUCUCGUCCUUUUCUGUCUUUUGUGACACUUUUGAUGACGCGCAUCACAUGCGAGACCCUGUGUUGGUUGGGAGGGGCGGUCGAUGGUGCUGAAUGUGCGCUAGUAUGCAUUCGCCUUGGUUUAUGAAGAGCCAACCCCUUCGCCUCCCCUGCCCUAUAAAGAGAGGGGUCGAUGGAGGGGGCCUUGCUCAUUCCCAUUUCCCCCUCAUCAUUCUAUUGACCAAUGUCUUCUUCUUCUUCUCGCCAUCUUCUACAGUGUGUCAGUCUUCAGUUGGCGAGGGGUCACGGUCGCGAUCGCGGGUCUCGUUCCCCUGUGAGAGGCACUCCCUAGAGCAUGAUGCGAAUCGUGGUUACAUCGGUGGGGGUUGGCUCCAGCUACCAUGGGAGGAUGUCAUCCAGGGGUCGAGGAAUGACGGCUCCAACGGACUGCGAUAAUAGCGACAACACGCGUCCCCAUGCAAGGUCCACGCGAGGUAGGUGGCACAUGAGUUCAUCGUGGAGUUUCCCCGAGGACAUCAAAGCUGGCUUCGCCUUCCUGACGCUUUUUCUCGGGCUAAGGAAUGCACCUGGCCACAAGGACUAUGAAUCCGGGCAGAAGGUUGCUGCAACCGGCCCGUGUGGGUGGUUGUCGCCCUCACUCCUAGGAGUGAUAUGUUCCUCACGCGGGGGUGGAAGUCGUGUGAGGACCACGACUUAUAGGCCGUGAUCAUCGAAUGUACAUGCACGAUGAUCCCAGAGAUCAAUGCUCACUGAACACAUUGAAACUUAAUAUCAAGAGUCUUACAUCCUUUAUGUAUCGUUUUGCUCGAAUAUGGACUUUAUGGACAAGUCUUCAUAUAUUUGCAGUGAAAUGCCUUCAUUGAUAGCCUGAACCCAUGCCAUCUGCCUUUACCCUAAAAGAAUUCUGACUGGGAAGCUUCCUAGCUCGCUCGUAUGUCACCAAGUAUUCUUCAUCGUAUCAUGUUCUUUCAUGCCUCGCUAAUGAAAUAACUAGUGGCAAGCCAAUGAGUACUUUGAAUGUACUCGCAAGAAACCCAUGUUUGGAACAAGGCAAUAACAAUGCAUGAAAUAGCACUAAGUCGGUAAGUUGCAGAAAGCUAGCUUUGAGUGCAAUGUAAUGAUAAAUCAACUUGUAAAAGCAUGCAUCAACAGGUUGUAGAUAUCCAUACAAAUAAGUUAUAAAUAUCAUCAUAAGCAGGGGUUGAACAUCCCAUGUUCAUUUAUCAUGACAGGUCAUCCGACUUAACUAGAUCACCAUCUUUCGCACACUAUCAUUUUCUCACUCACACACACCAAGUUUGUGAAAACAUCUAUACAUAGUAUAAGACGGACCACCUAACUUUUAUUGACCGGGGACACAUCUAUUCCAAUAGUUUUACACUCUGCAGAGGUUUGCGUGAUGUACCCACAAGACUUGAGGAACUUCCGUGUGAUCCAUGAAUCGCGGUAUAUUACAUACCUGAGGUAAGCACCCGAACAAUAUCUUUCCCCUGGCAACACUAAACAAAGAGGUCACUCAUUGGUGCCAUACCUGAUGAUAUACAUCAUACGAGCCUCCUCCAGAUCGUACCAUCCAUGAGAGCACGCAACAGUGUGCCCGGAAUUUGUGAAAAUAGCCCAUAGUCACCCUACCAGGCAUGACCCCGUAUCGAGAGGGUAACUCUGGCCCUCUCACUACUAGUAAUGCAGGCUCUCUGCUAGCAUCGACCAAGGUGAUCAACAAACUAUAUGCCAUAAAGGUCUAUUGUGGUCCCAUAUUUAAGGUUGGGACGGUCAGCUAAUCUUAAAUCUAAUCUGUUUUUGAAAGAACACACACCUCUUGUCUUGGUACACAACUUCUUUCGUAAGUUGUUACCUAACUCAACAUGAGUUCCCUCACGCAUUAGUGGCAUCUGAUAGGGUUUUAGAAAAGUCUUUGAAAUCACUUUAUUUUUCCGAUGCCAUGCAUAUUCCCAUCCCAUUUGCAUAGAGACUACUAGCAUCCUAACUACUUAUCACCCACACAACCCUCAUAGGAAGGUAGGGUCAUGCUGAGUUAACGAGGAAAUAUCAGAGGCAACUCACCAAGGUGGUCACCGAUUCAACAAGAUUCAGAUGCAGCAAAACGAAGUGUCAUAUGACAUGCAUCAAAAAGAUUCAUACUCAUGGUCAAAGGGCUGCUUGUCUGGUUCUGCAAAGUCUUCGAGGUCUUCACGAGCUUCUAGUCCAACUCCGAUCACUUCAUCUACUUUGUCAACUAUCGCCAGAAACACCCACAAUAAGCAGCACAACAAAUAUAAAAUAAAAGUUCUCUAAAAUAGGAGUUUAAUUUUUUCUGGACACCUCUAGUCACAAGAAAAAAAAUCUAAAGUUGCUCUAAUGGAUUUGGAUCACGAGAGAUUUUUGAACAGUGGAAAUGGAGGCAUUACUGGCUCCACAAGAAGUCUACAGAGAACAUUUUCCUAAAAAUGAGUGGAGGCACGCAUUAAAUAGGGCAUGAUUUUAGAAACAUUUAGGAAGUGUUUUAUUGUAUUUGGAGUAGCGAUAAAUAUUCUAGGGAUUCUCUAAUAUGGAAGAAAUGAUAAAGAGCGCUAUUUAUUUGGCCCAAGCAGAAUUGAGCAUAGGAAAAAUGUUAACCAUGUGUAAAUAAAUAUGGCGUGAUUUUUAGAGCAUGUACAAAUUAGAAUCACCCCAUUUGGAGUUUAUUUGGAUGUUCUAGGAAUUUCUCGAAGUGGGCCCUAAUGGUUUAAAUUUGAAUUUGAAAUUAAACGGUACAAAAAGAUGUUACUGAAAAAUACGGAAGUGGUACCAUUAAAUAUAUUGAAAUUUUAGAAAAAUUUACGAGUUUGAAUCAUGGCAUGUGGAGUUGUAUUUAUUUAAAGGUCGCACUAUGGCCAUGGGCCAUAGUCUGUGCAGCCAAACCGACCCAAAAGGAACUGACCCAGGUGAAUCGUCGUGCACGCGCGUGUGCGAGUUUGAACCUGGACGGUGGAGCUGGCCAGUCAGUAAGAGAGAGAGGAGGGAGACAGGGGAGAGGGUGACAAGCGGGACCCGCUCGUAAUCCCCUUCCUCGCGAUAGAGGAGGCCGAGGNNNNNNNNNNNNNNNNNNNNNNNNNNNNNNNNNNNNNNNNNNNNNNNNNNNNNNNNNNNNNNNNNNNNNNNNNNNNNNNNNNNNNNNNNNNNNNNNNNNNCCCUUCAUAGCGUUGGUAGCAAGCUUUUGUAUUUGUGCAGGAUCUUGAGAUACUCCUCCACUGAAUUGAUACCUUGGUUCUCAAACUGAGGGAAAUACUUACCACCGCUACGCUACAUCACCCUUUCCGCUUCGAGGGAGCACCAACGCAAGGCUCCUAGGCCACGGGGGAAAUCCUUUGCAUACUUGCCAAGGAAGUCCCUUAAGGCGUAGCCGCAGCAUAAAGAUCAAGCCAAGUAUUCUCCCAUCGACGUGCCUAUUUCUGGCGCCAUUGGAAGGUCUUUUGUUGCAGUAGUAGAAGUAUUUCUGGCGCCGUUGCUGGGGAGGGGAAAUGAAGAGCUAUCCAAGUAGGUCUCACACACUCUUCUCUUGCAUUUACUUUUGUUUCCAGAUGCCUCUCGUUUUCCUCUCCCCCACUUCACAUUUGCCGUUUUCAUUUGCCUUUCUCCUUCACCGUUUUCUUUUGCCUUUGUCGUUUCCCUUUGUCGGUUUUCUUGCUUGCUUGUGUGCUUGNNNNNNNNNNNNNNNNNNNNNNNNNNNNNNNNNNNNNNNNNNNNNNNNNNNNNNNNNNNNNNNNNNNNNNNNNNNNNNNNNNNNNNNNNNNNNNNNNNNNCAAUUUCGUAGUUUUUCAGAAUUUUUGAAGUACCGGAAGUAUACGAAGUAUACAGAUUGCUACAGACUAGUCUGCUGUUAACAGAUUCUGUUUUUGUUGAGAUGGUUGCUUAUUUUAAUGAAACUAUGGAGAGUAUCAGGGGGUAUUAGCCAUGGAAGAUUGAAAAUACAGUAACCCAACAUCAACAUAAGUAGAAUUGAAGUUUGCUACAGUACCUAAGGAAGUGGUGGCUUGCUUUCUUAUACUAAUGUUAUCACGAGUUUCUGUUUAAGUUUCGUGUUGUGAAGUUUUCAAGUUUUGGGUGAAGUUCUUAUGGACAAAAAUAUAAAUAGUGGCAAGAUCUCAAGCUUGGUGAUGCCCAAGGCACCCCAAGUUGAUUCAAGGAUGCCGUAAAAUCCUAAGCUUGGGGAUGCCCCGGGAAGGCAUCCCCUCUAUCGUCUUCAAUCCAUCGGUAACGUUACUUGGGGCUAUAUUUUUAUUCAUCACAUGUUAUGUGUUUUGUUUGGAGCGUCUUGUAUCGUAGGAGUCUUUUAUUUUUUGUUGUGUCACAAUCAUCCUUGCUGCACACCUAGAGAGAGAUACAUGCACUCACCGUGAUUUUGUCGAGNNNNNNNNNNNNNNNNNNNNNNNNNNNNNNNNNNNNNNNNNNNNNNNNNNNNNNNNNNNNNNNNNNNNNNNNNNNNNNNNNNNNNNNNNNNNNNNNNNNNGAACUAUGUACCCGUGGAUUUCAUUGUGCUUGACAUUGAUUGCAAUCCUACAUGCCCUAUCAUUCUUGGUAGACCUUUCCUAAGGACUAUUGGUGCUAUCAUCGAUAUGAAGGAAGGGAAUAUUAGAUUUCAAUUUCCUUUAAAGAAUGUUAUGGAGCACUUUCCUAGAACUUAAAGUGCUUGGUGUGACUCCCAUUUAAUCUUUGUUUUCUAGUGUCAAACCUAAUGAUUAUGGGGCUGGAUAUGAAUUCACUUUGGUUGAAAAGUUCCCCAAGGAUUCGGAGUCCAUCUAUCUAGAUGCUAAAAGCAUUAAAAGUGGAGUAGAAGACGUUAAAACUUUGCGUAGUAAUGAAAUUACUACCGUGGAUUUCAAGGAAUUCAAUUAUGAUAGUUGCUCCUUGUUUGAAUGCAUUUCUUUGAUACAAUCCAUAUUGAACUCUCCACACGCUUAUAGCCAAAACAAAGCCUUUACCGAUCAUAUCGUCGAAGCUAUGAUAAAAGCUCUUGAAGAGAAACUUGAAUUGGAAGUCUCUAUCCCUAGAAAGCUUCAUGAUGAGUGGGAACCUACCAUCAAAAUCAAAAUAAAAAACUAUAGUGCAAUGCUUUGUGUGAUUUGGGUGCUAGUGUUUCUGCGAUUCCAAAGUCUUUAUGUGAUGUUCUGGGUUUUAAUGAGAUUGAAGAGUGUUCUCUUAAUUUGCAUCUUGCUGAUUCUACUAUCAAGAAACCCAUGGGAAGGAUCAAUGAUGUUCUUAUUAUUGCAAAUAGGAACUAUGUACCNNNNNNNNNNNNNNNNNNNNNNNNNNNNNNNNNNNNNNNNNNNNNNNNNNNNNNNNNNNNNNNNNNNNNNNNNNNNNNNNNNNNNNNNNNNNNNNNNNNNAUUUUUGAAGAGCGUCAACUUUGCAUGCAUGUGGAUCAUGAAAAGAAUAUCCUAUGUGAUAGUUACAUUGUUGAAUUCGAAUAUGAUCCCAAAUGUAAUUAUUUUGAGAGAGAAAAAUAUGGUGGCAGAAACUUUCAUAUCACUAAAUCACCUCUCGUUAUGUUGAGAUUGCUCUUGUCUCUUUCUUCUUCCUUGCAUAUGGCAGUUAUUGCUUGUCUUGAUAAUUUGUUUUCCUAUAAAAUGCCUAUGCAUAGAAAGUAUGUUAGACUUAGAUGUGAUUUUCACAUGCUUUAUGAUGCUCUCGUUGUGCUUCAAUUCUUGUCUUUUAUGUGAGCAUCAUUGAAUUAUCAAUGCCUAGCUAAGGGCGUUAAACAAUAGCACUUGUUGGGAGACAACCCAAUGAAUUUAUCUUUUUCUUUAUGUUUUGUUGCGUCACACUUUCAUAAUUCUAUUGUGAUUGUGUUUUUUGUGUUUCUUUUUGUGUUUGAGCAAAGCAAAACCUUUAUGACUAGUCUUGGUAAUGGUUGUUUGGUCCUGGUGGAAAAAGACAGAAACUUGUCGCUCACGAGAUGAUUUUUCAUUUUUAUUCAGAAAGAGAUUUUGAGGUUAUUCGUUCUGCUGCUGAUUGAUAUGCUUUUUUCCCAGGCCGUCGCAAUUUUUCAUAUUUUUUGAGGUACCAGAAGCAUACGAAGUAUACAUAUUGCUACAGACUGGUCUGUUUUUGACAGAUUCUGUUUUUGUUGAGUUGGUUGCUUGUUUUGAUGAAACUAUGGUUAGUAUCGGGGGGUUCGCCAUGGAGAAGUGAGAAUACAGUAGCCCAUUGUCAAUAUAGAUAGAAUUCAAGUUUACUACAGUACCAAAAGAAGUGGUAGUUUCUUUUCUUGUGCUAAUGUUAUCACGAGUUUCUAUUUAAGUUUUGUGUNNNNNNNNNNNNNNNNNNNNNNNNNNNNNNNNNNNNNNNNNNNNNNNNNNNNNNNNNNNNNNNNNNNNNNNNNNNNNNNNNNNNNNNNNNNNNNNNNNNNCACAUGGGAAUACUUUCAUAGCAUAAGCCAACUACCAAAUCACGCACCGCCGUGCUCUAAAGAUAUAAGUGAAGCACAAGAGCAAAAGUAUCUAGAUCAAAAGAUAUAAGUGAAGCACUAGAGCAAAAGUAUCUAGCUCAAAAGAUAUAAGUGAAGCACAAGAGCAUUCUAGCAAAAUCAUGAUGAGUGCAUGUAUCUCUCUCUCAAAAAGGUGUGCAGCAAGGAUGAUUGUGACACAACCAAAAGAAAAGACUCCUAAGAUACAAGAUGCUCCAAGCAAAACACAUAUCAUGUGGUGAAUAAAAAUAUAGCUCCAAGUAAUGUUACCGAUGGAUUGAAGACGAAAGAGGGGAUGCCUUCCCGGGGCAUCCCCAAGCUUAGGCUUUUUGGUGUCCUUGAAUUUGGCUUGGGAUGCCUUGGGCAUCCCCAAGCUUGAGCUCUUUCCACUCCUUAUCUCUUUUUCCAUGAGAACGUUACCCACAACUUGAAAACUUCACAACACAAAACUUAAACAGAAACUUGUGAUAACAUUAGUAUAAGAAAACAAACUACCACUUCUUUUGGUACUGUAGCAAACUUGAGUUCCAUCUAUAUUUAUGAUGGUCUACUGUAUUCUCACUUUUCCAUGGCUAGUACCCCUUGAUACUAACCAUAGUUUCAUCAAAACAAGCAACCAACUCAACAAAAACAGAAUCUAUUAAAAACAGACUAGUCUGUAGCAAUCUGUAUACUUCGUAUACUUAUGGUACCUCAAAAAAUCUGAAAAAUUACGACGGUCUGGGAAAAAGCAUAUCAAUGAUCAGCAAAAAUAAUGAACUCAAAUGCUCUUUCUGAAUAAAAAUUAAAAAUCAUCUCGUGAGCGAAAACUUUCUGUCUUUUUCCAGUAGGAUCAAACAACCAUUACCAAGACUAGUCAUAAAGGUUUUGCUUGGCUCAAACACAAAGAGAAACACAAAAAACACAAUCACAACAGAAUUAUGAAAGUGUAGAUGCAACAAAACAGAAAGAAAAAGAUAAAUUCAUUGGGUUGCCUCUCAACAAGCGCUAUUGUUUAACGCCCUUAGCUAGGCAUAGGAGCGAUAAAAUCACGUACCGUCGUCUUUGGUGCUCAAACCAUAAGUGGCCCUCAUCAUCGAUUCAUAAGGCAAUCUUAUUUUCUUUCUAGGAAAGUGUUCCAUGCCCUUCCUUAAAGNNNNNNNNNNNNNNNNNNNNNNNNNNNNNNNNNNNNNNNNNNNNNNNNNNNNNNNNNNNNNNNNNNNNNNNNNNNNNNNNNNNNNNNNNNNNNNNNNNNNGGCAGAGAGACGGGGUGGGGGGGGGAAGAGAGGGAGGAGGCAGUCAGCCGGUUCGGGGUAAGCAUGAGACCUUUUUUCUGUAUUUAAUCGAUCAGUUUAUGGAGGGAUGGAAAAAAAUCGGUGGAACUGGCAGUGCUAGCGAGGGGAUGUGUCGUGGUUGAACCAUCUGGCAUGGUUGAACCAUCACGACGGCAGAUCCCCUUUAAUAGUAGAGAUUAUUUGUAGUAAGUAAGUUAGUAAUCAAUAUUAUUCAAUCAGACACAAAAAAUAGUUGGAAAUAACAAAGAAGAUUUGAAAUUCUAAUUGCAUCACCGCUGAGGUAGCGAGAACUGAGAAUCAUACCUAACAAUUUUUUUCUUAAAGCAUGUAUGUACCAACACCUUCAAGGACCAGCAGAUUAGCGCCGCUAUGCAAAGAGACGGGUCCAGCACCUUCGCUUCUGCUCCCAACCCCAUCUCCAACGGGGUCCCUUCCGAUCUGGGGCCUCCACAUCGACGCCCUGCACAAGUAGUGCACACAUGCAUGUCCCCACCACGACAUGCAAUAGCAUUAGCCUGUGGGAGGCGGUGCCGGGUCUUCACAUUGCGUGCAGCUCGAGCAGCCCACGCAAAACUCAAGCGAACUACCUAUGCAUUGCCACGGGGCGAUAAAUAUAGUAUGGGUUUAUUAGCGAAUAUAUUUAAUGAAAUGCGCCGAGUACAACAUAUGUUCAGUUUCCCCACAUCCAAUAUAUACAUUAGUAAUCUCACCCAACAUUUAAACAUAAAUAAGUGUCAUAAACAGAAGGUCUUAUUUUUGCUGUCCUAGGUGUAAAGAUCGUGUGCAAUGUUUCGUACCGAGUCUUGCCACCAGUAACAUGGAUUGUUCCAUCAUAGUCGGCACCCUUCUGAGUUUCCUUCUCAUCAGCCUCCACUGAGUUGUCCACUACAAUAUUAGGGUACUGCUGCAGAAUAUCAAGCACAAGAAGCAUAUUAUUAACACACUUCUUCCACACAUUGACUGGCAUAUGACCAAGUAAGCUAGGGUUGACAUCAAACUGGGCAGAGAUCACAUGAAAAAGAAUUUCAAGUUUCUGGGCAGGUGUUUUUGCCACCCCUGUAAAAAAUGUUAGCUGCUCCACACGUUCAACUCUCCCAGUGCCCUUCUUACCCCUCGACGCCACAAUCUCCUUGAGCUUUUUAUCAACAAUAUCCCAUGUAAUCUCACUCGUGUCCUUCAAGAACUGCUUGUCCAUAAUCUUAUCUUUCUUGCUUAACUUCUUUUCCCAGGCUCCGCCAUCUUCACUCGGAUCGUCAUCAUUCCCUGAAUCGGAGUCAGAGGCCAUCUUAUCCGGAUCCACAACAUCGUCACCACUGUCAUCAUCAUCAUCAUCCACAUCUUUAUCAUCUACAACAUCAUCUUCAAAGCUCUAUGGGUUCUCUCUGCACUUCUGGAUCAAGUGCUCAUAUUGCUUGUUAUUCUUCUUAAGUUUUUUGCUUGACAGCGUUUAGUUCCUUCGCGUUGCUGCUGCUCAUCUUCUUCUUGGCUUCCUUGUUUGCAAGAGCCUCAGCAAGGAAGUCCUCCAAUAGUACAAGAGUCGUGAUAUACCCAUUUGGAAUUUUCACAGAUUCAUUGACAUGGACAACUUUGUCAAGCUGCUUGUUUAGCUUCUCAAAACACUCUUGCAAGCUAAUCCAGUCAUUGAUCUUCAUUGCAUUGCGCAUGUGGUCGGCAGUAGCUUUCAUCUCAUCAUUGUGCUUGUCCUUCAACGAGAGAAUCACGCGGUGGCUCUUAGUAUCAGAGUCAUCACUGUCUUGUGUAUAUUUGUUCAGAUAGCGGUUCUUGGACCCAUCGUGUCCCCCAUCACCAGCUUCUGAUUUCUCACUAUCACUCCCUUGUUCUGACUCGAUCUCGUCCACCUCCUCCUCAGAGUCACUGUCUCCCUAAUGUUGGGUAGAAAAAAGAUAAAGGUACUAAGUAAUUGCAUUAGACGAGGAUAACAUAUAUGCAUAUUACUACAAUUAUGCAACAUAGAAUCUGAUUCACCAGCUCUGUGCAAGAGAGAAAGCAAGUACCUGUCCCCAAAAACGAGACCCAUGGCUGCUGCUGCUUGUAAAUUACCUUCAACUGUCUUCAAGCUAUGCAAGUAGACAAGUAGGAAAGAUAUCGUCAAUACAUCCAGAAGGAAGCACGCGGUAUAUAUUUACAUCACAGGCAAUUAAGCAAAGGGGGAAAUAUAUCCUCGGAACACGCAAAUGGCACGCUAACAAUAAGGUAAAGCAAUGCUUACGGAAUAACUCAGAUGAAUGAAUCAAACCCCUAUGAGGAAAAAAUAGCUCAUUGAAGACAGUUAAACAAUAUUGGCAGAAGAUGCAAGUUCACGUGUAUGAGCAGGGAGCUGGACCUAUACACCCUAAACAUAACAAACCAACAAAACUGAGAAAAAAUGUGAGAUACGACGAGCAAGGGUGCAACCCAAGCAAGAGACCUCGACCUGACGUUGAGUCGGUGAGAUCCCCGGGACUCGGCGAAGCGCUAGCCUGCUCGUCAGCGGCUAGAGAUGGAACCUAGGCCUGAUGCGCGGCGGGAUUGUUGGUAGGGCGCGGCGGCCUGCAACGUCAAGUCUGAUGGAAAACCAAUCAGGUCGAUUAACUUGCCUUGGGUCGUGGCCGUGGAGUGGAUGAGGUUCAGAUCCAGCGGAGAACGGAGGAUUGUAGCGGCGGAGUAGACGCCCAAUGGCGCCCACUGGGAACCGCGAGAUUGGGGGUGCGCCCGCUGCAUCGCCGAAGGGAUCAACAGGUCCUCCACUCCUCCACCGUCACUACCCCGGCUGCUGUGGCCGCACGCUUCGCCUCAGCCUCGACGGCGGGCACCUUGGACGUGGGCAGUUCAUCUGCAUGUGGUGGCGGCGGCGGAGAUUUUUCUCAUGAGAUCGAGAGGAGAGGACGGAUCUAGGGCGAGAGGUGGGGGAGACUGGGAGAGGGAUGUGCGACGUGUUUGGAGGAGGUCGACGAAGAUUUUUUUUCUUUCUUACCGUUUUUCUUUACGUGGGCAUGGGAAGAGGAGGUCGAACGAAGAAAAGGUCGAACCAUCGCGGAGGUUGAACCAUCACGACGGCACAUCCUACUUUAAUAGUAGAGAUAAAUAUAUCGAGGUCUGAACACCUCAUGUUCACUGAUACGUCCAUUUUGCAUCAUCCCUCUUAUCAAUAUUUGUUGCAUUGUGGGCUGUUAUUACAUGUUAUGGUACAAUACUUAUGUAUUUUCUCGCUUAUUGUACAAGGUUCACAUGAAGAGGGAGAAUACCGGCAGCUGGAAUUAUGGACUGGAAAAGUAGCAAAUCUGAGAGACCUAUUCUACAGAGCUCCAAAAGUCCUGUAAAGUUACGGAGAAUAGUUUUGGAAUUUAUAAAAAAUAUUGGGCAAAAAAAUACCAGUGGGGAUCCACCAGGAGGUCACAAGCCAGGGGGCGCGACCUACCCCCUGGCCACGCCCUACAGGCUUGUGGCCCCCCUGGCNNNNNNNNNNNNNNNNNNNNNNNNNNNNNNNNNNNNNNNNNNNNNNNNNNNNNNNNNNNNNNNNNNNNNNNNNNNNNNNNNNNNNNNNNNNNNNNNNNNNAGGUGCCCUUGGGUAGGACGUACUGGUCAGACCUAUGACCCUACCCUAGGGCUAUAUCCCCGUCAUUAGCCCCCGAAUGGAUCAGGGUCCGAGUGAUGAAGGUGUCGAUGUAAAUCUUGUAGCAGCAGACCGAACUUGAAUGUGCUUCAGGGUCUUGCAAAAUUAUGCCUUGAUUGAAGUCUUCAUCAUUCGCCUGAUCGAUUCCGUUGAGUAGUACGUCCGAGAGAACUUAAGAAUUGAAGUAGAUCUGAGUGACCAACAGGAUCUUGAGAGUCUGACUGACUACUGGUAGUCGGUUGGAAUCUGUUGAAUCUGUUGAACUUGGAUGUUGUUGGUGGACCUGACCAAGCAGAAUGUUUCUUUUUUGUAUUUCUCUUCUAGUGGGGGCAUGCUAAGUGCACCCACUGGGUGUAGUCCCCGAGCCUCUGUCGGACUAGAUGAGUCCGACAGAGGGUUUAAGUCAUCCAAUGCUCGUCAUGUUGAAUGUUUGUUGUAUCUGCAUUAUAUGAUUUCUAGAUAAAAGUCAAGUCUCCAAGAGUUGUUUUUAACUUAGGCGAUACGGGGUCGCAGCUAAGUUCCCGAGUGUGGAGCGUGUCUAUACUCGGAGUAGUUUUUAACUUAGGCGAUAUGGAGCCGCAGCUAAGCCCCCGAGUGUGGAGUGUGUCCGUACUCGGAGUAGUUUUAACUUAGGCGAUACAGAGUCGCAGUGAAGCCCCCGAGUGCGGAGCAUGUCCGCACUCAGAGUUGUUCUUAACUUAGGCGAUACGGAGUCGCAACUAAGCCCCCGAGUGUGGAGCGUGUCCGUACUCGAAGUAGUUUUAACUUAGGCGANNNNNNNNNNGCUAAGUUACCGAGUGUGGAGCGUGUCCGUACUCGUAGUAGUUUUAACUUAGGCGAUACAGAGUCGCAGCUAAGUCCCCGAGUGUGUUGCAUGUCCGUACUCGGAGUAAUUUUAACUUAGGCGACACAGAGUCACAGCUAAGUUCCCGAGUGUGGAGCGUGUCCGUACUCGUAGUAGUUUUAACUUAGGCGAUACGGAAGCGGGCUAAGUUCCCGAGUGUGGAGCGUGUCCGUACUCGAAGUAGUUUUAACUUAGGCGAUACUGAAUCGCAGCUAAGCCGAGCGGUGGCGCGCGGGGCGUCCGAGUGAUGAAGACGUGCCACAUGGAGUGGCGAUGCGUGGGGCAUCCGAGUGAGGUAGACGAGUCCGACUGAGUGACGGCACGCGGAGCGAUCGAGUGACGAAGAAGCAUCCGGUCUAGUGACGGUGCCCGGAGCGACCGAGUGACGAAGGAGCGUCCCGUCGAGUGGUGAUGCCCGGAUCUGCUGAGUGACGACGACGCGUCCAGUAGAGUGAUGAUGGAUCGUCCGGCUAAGUGGCGAUGCGUGGAGCUGUCGAGUGACAAAGACGUGUCUCGCCGAGUGGUGAUGUGCGGAGCUGUCGAGUGAUGACGAUGGGUCCAGUAGAGCGACGGCGUGCGGGGCGGCCGAGUGACGAUGGAGUGUUUGGCUGAGUGAUGACGCGCGGGGCGGUCGAGUGACGAAGGCACGCCUCACCGAGUGGAAAUGUGCGGAGCUGCCGAGUGAUGACGACGCGUCCGGUAGAGCGAUGGCGUGCGGGGCAGCCGAGUGACGAUGGAGCGUCUGGCUGAGUGACGUCGCGUGGAGCGGUCGAGUGAAGAAGGCGCGCCUCACCGAGUGGCGAUGUGCGGGGCCGGCCGAGUGAUGAAGUCAUGUCCGGUUGAGCGAUGAUGCAUGGGGCGAUCGAGUGAUGAAAUCACGUCCCGUUGUGUAGCGACGCGCGGUGCUGCAAAGUGCGUGCACAUUAGUCAUCUGGAUGGAAAUACCACCAAACUAAACCUGAACGUUUUACUUGUCAUCUGGACGUUUAGUUGUCCGAGUGACGAGUCUCUUAGUUAUAGGGAUAAUCUGGUUUCCAGCUAGCUGAGUGACCCUGCAAGUUAGCAAGCAUAGCCACUAUUCUUUGUGCUGGACAAAAAUGACCGUGUAUUGAUGCUAAUUAGCCGGAUUAAACGCUGGGUGGUAAUAUAUGCAUGCAUGUACAAAUUAAUUGGCGUAAAAACGGUGGAAACCGAAAGGUAAGCAAUUAACUUCUGGAAGGAACGAAGUAAUUACUUCACACAUUUGUCCUUACCAUGACAAGCGUUGGAUAUUCCUCACCAAUUACCCGAUUAAUUAGGUGGCCAAUCCACUCGUACCAGAUUUAUGAGGCCUGCGUCCUUCUGUUACCUCUGGUGCGUCGUGUUCGUCUACGCUCAAUGCACAAGACGAGCAUGUGGCGAGGCCGUUUCCACGCAUCGGGCGAGCGGCUGGCGAGGUCGUUUCCACGGCCCUGAACAACGGCAGGAUCUCCCAUGCUAGAGGAGGUACCCUGCGUGAGAGUUGCGGGCUGGCGCAACCAAGGGCGAGACCACCAUGAGCUCCGGUGGUCGCGUUUCUAUUUGGGGAGCCGAAGCUCCACGUCAGUCGGAGUUGCGCCUCAACACCUACGGAGCUGGCUAAGGAACCAGCUCGAGCAUUAGCGGCCAUGUGUAUGUGGGCACUUGGCGAGGGCGGCAAAGAUGAGAUCGAAGAUGACGACGGGCGUGUGGCAGUGCUUCUUCAUCCAGGAGAUGAGCCGCCAACCAGAACAAAGGGAUGUAUCCUUCUGUACGAGCUCGUGUGCAUACAAAAGAUAAAUAAACCAUCAUUAGAUCAUUGUCUGAUUGUAAAGAAAACAAGAUGAUAAGAGGAACUCCCUCAACCUUAGUAUUUUGUCCACCCGUAGGUGGUGUGAUGGCCAGGACUCCGAUAGUCCAAUAUUUGGUGAUGAAUGUUUGAUCUUUUGGGAGAACACCCAAAAGAGUUUGGGUUGCUAAGAUUGAAGACAACCAUUUGCAUCAUGGCUCGAUAGAUGCCGAUGCCCCACGGUGGGCGCCAAAUGUCGUGGUAACGAUUCCGACAAUAGAAAGGGGGUAAGAUAACGGAGCAUGAUCUAUCAAGAUGCACAUGGGUGACACGGUCGUUUUAGCGAGUUCAGGCCUCUCACAGUGGAGAUAACAACCCUACGUCNNNNNNNNNNCUGCUCUGGAGAGGCUUUGUUUUAUCUGUCAUGGACAUGAGUUACAUGGUAUAGAGAGAGAGCCAGAGCUCCAGGGAAAGAAUGAGCCCGAAGGAGGAGAAGAAGAUCGCCCCUAGCUAUGUGGAGGGUGGUGGCUUAUAUAGAGUGCGCCACCUCCUCACCUCUUAUGUUACAAGAUGGGGCAUUGAUGCCAUAAUGUCAGCCCACUACAGAUGUCUUGCCGACUAUUGGUAUUUGCAUGACCGAGUGAGUCAUACGGNNNNNNNNNNNNNNNNNNNNNNNNNNNNNNNNNNNNNNNNNNNNNNNNNNNNNNNNNNNNNNNNNNNNNNNNNNNNNNNNNNNNNNNNNNNNNNNNNNNNAAGAAACCAGAAGAGAUGAACAAAGAAGAGAUGAAGGAAUAAGAGAAGAAGAAAGAGGAGAAAAAGAUAUAAUAAGAAGAACAAAUCUUCUUAUUCUUCCUUUUUCUCUUCUUUCUUUUUCUCCAUCUUCUUCUUCUUCUUCUUCUUCUUCUUGUUCUUCUUCUUCUUCCACUUCUUCUUCUAAUUUCUUAGCUUAAUUUAGAUAACUUCUUUCUGAUUGUAUUCUUCUUCUAACUUCUUUCUCAUUAUGCAGAUUUUCAUAAAGCAACAUGGCAUAUGGAUGGAUGCUCCAGGGACUGUACUCAUGUUGUCUUAGAUGAACUUUGUAGUGCACUUGUAUUUGCGAAUGCACUUGUGAUGCUUUGUAAUACUUUGUGAUCUUGUUUGCACUUUAAUUACAUAUAUUGGUGUUGUUUGCACUUUGUGAUGCACUUGUGGUGACGUUUUCACUUUGUGAUGCACUUGUGGUGCUCUUUAGGGCAUGGGCAAAUAUAUAUAUAUAUAUUGUUGUUUGUAUCUAUGUUUUGCAAAUACAGGGAAUUAACAGAAAACAAAUAUUAAAAAAAAAGAAGAGAGGGUCUUUGCCUACAUCUUACUGAUGGCAAAGCAUAUGCCGUCGGUGGGCUGACGGCAAAGAAGGACAUGUGGCGACAGCCUGUGUAACCUGGCAACUGUGAUAACACCAAAUUUCCUGAUUUUCGGCUUUGCCGUCAGCUGUGCUUCACUGGGGGCAAAGAGGGGACCCAGGGGACCCGGGUUUUUGGCUUUGCCGUCAGUUGUGCUCCGGCUGUGGGAAAAGAGGGGACCCACAUGUUAGUGGUGUUAGCAUCCCUAAAACAUAUGGCCCACCAGAACUUUGCCGUCCGCCAGCGUCCAGCUGACGGCAAAGCCUGCCGUUAACCCUCUAACGGGGCUCGGCUUNNNNNNNNNNNNNNNNNNNNNNNNNNNNNNNNNNNNNNNNNNNNNNNNNNNNNNNNNNNNNNNNNNNNNNNNNNNNNNNNNNNNNNNNNNNNNNNNNNNNUGAAAACCUUCUGGUAAUCAAAUGAGGUCAUCCUAUAUAUCAAUCUUCGUUUUCGGACCAUUUCGGAAACCCUCGUCACGUCCGUGAUCUCAUCCGGGACUCCGAACAACAUUCGGUAACCAACCAUAUAACUCAAAUACGCAUAAAACAACGUCGAACCUUAAGUGUGCAGACCCUGCGGGGUCGAGAACUAUGUAGACAUGACCCGAGAGACUCCUCAGUCAAUAUACAAUAGCGGGACCUGGAUACCCAUAUUGGAUCCUACAUAUUCUACGAAGAUCUUAUCGUUUGAACCUGAGUGCCAAGGAUUCAUAUAAUCCCGUAUGUCAUUCCCUUUGUCCUUCGGUAUGUUACUUGCCCGAGAUUCGAUCGUCAGUAUCCGCAUACCUAUUUCAAUCUUGUUUACCGGCAAGUCUCUUUACUCGUUCUGUAAUACAAGAUCCCGCAACUUACACUAAGUCACAUUGCUUGCAAGGCUUGUGUGUGAUGUUGNNNNNNNNNNNNNNNNNNNNNNNNNNNNNNNNNNNNNNNNNNNNNNNNNNNNNNNNNNNNNNNNNNNNNNNNNNNNNNNNNNNNNNNNNNNNNNNNNNNNNNNNNNNNNNNNNNNNNNNNNNNNNNNNNNNNNNNNNNNNNNNNNNNNNNNNNNNNNNNNNNNNNNNNNNNNNNNNNNNNNNNNNNNNNNAGUCAUCCAGUUAUGUUGCCACGUUUGAUACACACAAAGCAUUCUUCCGGUGUCAGUGAGUUAUAUGAUCUCAUGGACAUAGGAACAAAUACUUGACACGCAGAAAACAGUAGCAACAAAAUGACACGAUCAACAUGCUACGUCUAUUAGUUUGGGUCUAGCCCAUCACGUGAUUCUCCUAAUGACGUGAUCCAGUUAUCAAGCAACAACACCNNNNNNNNNNNNNNNNNNNNNNNNNNNNNNNNNNNNNNNNNNNNNNNNNNNNNNNNNNNNNNNNNNNNNNNNNNNNNNNNNNNNNNNNNNNNNNNNNNNNCAGGAGCUUCAGGAACGAGUUGGCAGAGUGGCUUCCUCCACCGAACCAAGGGGGAAAUAUAGGGGGAGGCAUUAGCAUCAAGUUGUCGUUCGAUAGGGAGAGAAAGAAUGGCCGGAGCGAAAUCCUACUGUGAGGAAUUGACGGCGGACGAAGCGGUAGCGCCGAGCUCUAUUACAUGCAAAAUGAGGGGGAAGUGGAGUGGGACUAAUGCAGCGAGGCGACUGGGGUCGAGUGAGAGCGGAAGGGAAGGAAAGAGAGGCAUGGGGGCCUUUAAGUAGGAGUGGUUGAAGUGCACUGAAGGCUUAGUGCAUCGUCGAACUCGAGGCCGAGGCCAAGGGGCACAGGGGUGAGCUAGGAUGAGUCUGGGGUGUUCCUGUGGUCAGUCCAGAGCGAGGGGAGAGAAGAGGGGGAUCGAGGUGGCCUACACGCGCGAGGCCCAUGGUUGGCCGAAUUGGGCGGUGCUCAGGCGCGUCGGGAAUGGUUAUACGUCCCAAACGUAACAUUAAUUUCUACUUGUUCCAUGAUCUAUUGGCUGACAUUGUUAUAUGUUUUGCUACAGUUUUAUAUCAUUUUACAUAUAUUUGGACUAGCAUACUAACUGACUGCACCCAGUGCCAGUUUCUGUGUGCUGAUGUCUAUUUUGUAGGGGCUUUUACCCAAUUUUCCGAAGCCCGAAAAAUUUCAGAAAAAAUAUAUAAAAAAUCAGCGGAACAGAAGCUUCCGGAUCACCGAAGAUGGGCCAGAGGGGGGGCCAUGGGCCUCCCAAGAGGCCUGCUGGUGCGGCCAUGCCCUAGGCUGCGCCAGGAGGUCGCCUGGGUGGGUCCCACCUCCUCCGGUGCCCUGAUUUGGCCUAUACUUAGAGUCCCGAGAGGAAACCCUUGCACACUAUCUGGAAUCGUGAAUUUCUUCAUCGUUCCGGUGCUGCAGCGCUUCCGAGAUCGGGAGCAUCAGGAGACCUCUUCCCGGCACCCUGCCGGAGGGAGGAUUGACCUCUGGGAGUUUCUCCACCACCAUGGACGCUUCCCCGACGUGCCGUGAGUAUUUCUCCUUGUACCAUGAUUCCAUGACCAGUAGCUAUGUGAUGUCUUCUCUCCGAUCUAGUGCUUCAAUGGUUAGUCCUUGUGAGCUACCCUACAUGAUCAACGCAUCUAUGUAAUUCUCUUGCUAUUGCUAAACUCGGUUUGUUGGGAUCCGAUGGAUUAUGAGAUUAUGUUCAGAUUUUUACGAGUUGUGUAUUUGAUUAUCCUUUUAUAUUAUGUUCCUUAGUGAUUCAUGCAUUUCUCUGUUGCUAUUUAUUCUUUGGCCGAGUAGUAGAUUGUAACUCCAAGAGGGAGUGUUAUGCAUGAUUGUGGGUUCAUGCCCCUCGAUGUCUAGCUUGAGUGACAAAAAUAUGAGACUAGGGGAUGUCCUUGUUGCCACCAGGGAGAAAAUAACGGUGCUUUUGACCACGGUUGCAAGGAUUGUUUACCUUAUGCUUAGUUUGUUAAUGCAGUUGUCCGUUGCUUUGAGUUUACACUUUGGGUCGGGCUCGCAACUUAAUACUGGAGAGAUGUUAUGGAUAGAUAUCUCAAGGUGGAUGAUUAGUAAGUAGAUGUUGAUGAAUAAACGGUCUCCUUGUCUUGGCGUACUGCAUAUUACUAUUGAACCUCUAACUAUCAAGUAGCAUAAUGAGCAUUGCGGUGCGAUCAUAAUUCUGUCAAUUGCCAAACCAUGAUUUAUUUACCAAAGCAUAGUUGUUUAUCGUCUUUCGGGAGAGAGACAUCACUUGUGAACAUCAUGUGACUCCGGUCCAUAUCCCCAUCAUUGUUUACACCUCCAUCAUUCACCGCUUUCAUUUACUUUUUUGUUGCAAUCACUAUUACCUUCCCGCUUGUGUUUUGAUCUUUGCCAAACUACAAGGCCGAAGAGAUUGACAACCUCUUUGUACUCGUUGGGAGGAAAUAUAUGGGUUGUGUGUGUAGGUCCACGUCUUCUGUUGACCAGGAGAGGAGACACCAACUUGUUGAGCCUAGGAGUCCUCCUGGUUCGAUAAACCUUAUAGUAUCCGUGUAAGGGAAAUCUGCUGCUGACUACAUCUCCAUCUUCCACUUGGGGUAACCAACGAGGGGCGAGAAGUAUAUCCAUCAACUAGUCACCAAGAAAAUUUCUGUCGUCGUUGCCGGGGACUCCAGUCUUCAAGAUAGGGGAGUUGCACGCUAUCCUUUACCUUUGCUUUUUAGUCUUGUUAGUUUGUUUUUAGUUUUUGCUUUAGAGUCUUAUACCAAAAACCACAAAAAAUUUAUUUGCUUUGUUCUUGCUUGUUGCUGCUGCUAUGGGUUCCACUGAAAACACCAAGUUGUGUGACCUCACUAGUCACAACAACAAUGACUUUAUCUGCACUCCUAUUGCUUCUCCCGCCAUUGAAGCCACGUCCUUUGAGAUUAAGCCUGCUUUACUGAAGCUAGUUAUGAAAUAUCUAUUCUUCGGUGCUGGAGAUGAUGUGGCCUUGCACUUUAAAUUUUUUGUUGAGCUCUAUGAUAUGCAAAAAUAUAAAGAAGUAGAUGGUGAUAUUGUUAAACUUAUGCUUUUUCCUUUCUCCUUGAGAGGAGGAGCUAAAGAGUGGCUUCAAUCUUUGCCUAGGAAUAGCAUAGAUUCUUUGGAUAAGUGCAAAGAUGCUUUUAUUGGGAAGUAUUACCCGCGUGCUAAGAUUAUCAAGUUGAGGAGCAACAUUAUGAAUUUUAUUCAAUUGGAUAAUGAACUUGUUGCUCAAGCUUCAGAACAUAUNNNNNNNNNNNNNNNNNNNNNNNNNNNNNNNNNNNNNNNNNNNNNNNNNNNNNNNNNNNNNNNNNNNNNNNNNNNNNNNNNNNNNNNNNNNNNNNNNNNNAAAUUUGGUGUCCAAGCUUAUUCUCAUCUAUUAUUAGAUCCUGUUAAGUUUCAUACCAAUUGAAGUCCAUUUGAUGGUUGUCCCACUCAUCAAACACCUUGUGUGCGUUCACUUUAAUGGCUAAUUUGGCCCCUUCCACUUUAACCCUUGAGCUCAACUUUCUACCACAGCUUCACAUNNNNNNNNNNACCUAAGCCAAAGGCCCCACCUCUUUCGAGAGGGUCCCUAGCAACCCAAAGCAUUGUUUAAGGCCAAUAGAUGGCAUGCUCAUGUGGAUAAAAUGAGCAACACAUCCUCAAUUUGAAUUGUGGCUGAAAUAUAGCUUUGUACAAGAAGUACUAGCUACACUGCCUUGCUUGAGCUGAAACUUUGCAGGAAUGUAGUCCUUCCAUGCCUAAGACUGUUAGACAUGCUUUCCCCCCUUUAUCUCUGAGGAAAUUGCCUCCCCAUUAGCCCUAAGUUUGCUGAUGCAAACUUAACCUCAGUCAACAACCAUUCUAAUCAACUCCACUAGAGACCAAACUACUCACUCAUCUUCCAAAUAGCAUGCCCCACCUCCUAGACAACUUUGACUGGUCAUUAGGGCCCAGUAGGCACAGGUGGCCGUGGUGACCACCACCCUGACCUGCAAACUGGGUGCUCUACACCUUGUUUUCUCCUUCCAGACCUCAUCCGAUCAUUGCCACGUGUCUCAGCGCGCCAGGACGCUCCCCUUGACCGGUCCAAGCCCUCGCCAAUGCCAGGAUGCAGCCAAGGUGGCUCAGGCACGCGUGGCCGCCGUGCCCACACAGCACCAGGGAGCAUCCGGGAUAUUUCUCGUCUCCCCCUCCUUUUGAGACUUCCCCGAGCCCUUGCUGCCUCAUAUCUUAUUCCCUCCCUUCCUAGCAACCUCUCGAACCUCCCCACUCCCCCUCUCGAGCUCUCUGUCACUUCAAUGGCCGUUGAAUCCCGCCUCGACCUCACCAAAAUUCCGGCUCUGCUGAGCCCCUUCCCUCUGUUCGGCAACCCUGUGGUGUCCCCCUCGUUCCCUCGAAGCUCCCCCUUCACCUAGCUCCCUCUCUCCCCACCUGAUGCGUCCUGCCCACGCUCGCCGUCGUCGGCCACCGUCGCGGCCAGGAGCCCCUUUCCUGGUGCUCCUCUGCGGGGGGCUGACCCCCAAGUCGGACGUGGGAGAUCCACCGAGAGCACCGGCGGCCGGGGCGCCGCUAGGGCUGGUCUGAGCCGCCGGGAAGCGCCACCAACGUGUCAGGCCAUCCCUUCUCUGUCGGGCAUGCGGGAGCACGCGAGGAGGAGGAAGUGCCUACCAGUGGGGCCGGCGACCCCACUGUUCAGUCUCUAGGACGUCGGCCGGGCCAUUGGCCAGGAUAAGUGAAGACAGUUCCCUCAUGUAAGCUUCCCCGCGCUAGAGGUGUAAUCCCCGAAGUACGCCUUCGGCGAGUCCUUCGCUAGCAGCCCGAGCUGCUGGGCCGGCCUGAAGGCCUAUCUAACGCCNNNNNNNNNNNNNNNNNNNNNNNNNNNNNNNNNNNNNNNNNNNNNNNNNNNNNNNNNNNNNNNNNNNNNNNNNNNNNNNNNNNNNNNNNNNNNNNNNNNNACUCACAAGCUUGUCCCUGGCUAUUGUCUUCGCCAAAUCGCAUAUUUGGAGAGGAGCACGAUGAUAGCAACCCCAGAACUUGAGAGUCAAGGACAGCAGCCUUGUGAAAUAGAAAUUAUCCAGGUCAGUUGUUCGUGCGGAAAUGGAGCCCACGAGCACUCGGGAUUCCAUGAGUCGCUAACGCCGUCAGCCUCUAGACCUUUUUGUCCAACCUCCCCUCAUAGAUCUUCAUGGUCUUGUACCUAAAUUUUUAUUUGCUUGGAAUAUCUGGAUAAAGUUAGUGUUCACCAGCUAACAGUAGCCCUGGGGGCUGAUCAACUCAAGGGCCUGUUUUCUGGAAAUUGUAUUUCUGAAAAACCGGUCGCUACAGCCCCUCGCGGGACUCCCCUUGAGGGUCCUCGCGAGGCGAGCGCCACAAGCAACAGCCCCUCGCAUCAGCCGCCUGCGUGAGGAAGACGAACCCCUGAGGGGCCGUUUGAAGAUAUUUCAUACCCAUGCUCGAGGGAUGGGCCUCAACAACCCAAAGCAUCGGGAUGACCUUCUACACGGUCCAAGCUUGGCGAAGAGUGCCGAGGAGAAGUUUAUUUUCGAUCAAAAAUAAAAUUGGAUUUGAAGUAUGAAGGACGUAACCCCUCUUACAUGCCCCAUUAGGCCAGCAUGUUGCGUUACAGGAAAGGGAUGACGAUGAAAGAAAUAAGAUAGGGACCUUGAAGCACCGUUGUCGGGGACCUCGAUGUCGGCGUCGUGCACGCUUAGUCGGAGCCCUCCUCCUCCUUGACGUGGGCUCCCGGGGACUACCAGAGUUGCAGUUGCCCCCACUCCCGAUAAAGGAGGAGAUGUCGCCGGUGCCGGCAGGGCUACUGCUGUCGCCACAGCCACAUUCCAUGUAGUAGUCCAGGCAAUCGUCAGCGCUUCCGAAGACCUUCAUGGAGAGCAUGGCGGCCCCGUCAAACUUGAAGUGGAGGAUGUGCCCGUCCUACAAGACAUGGGCGAGGGCAAACAAUUUCCAUCUGCGCCCCAAAAACAUGAAGCCGAGGGAGUUGAACUCUGUCGCCACCCAGGUGGGCCUGUUGCAGCAGCCGUCUCACUGCAGCUAGAGGCCUGGGGGUGCAAGCUCCCUCAUCUCCUCCGUGAAAAAGUCCGAGAGCCGAAGCCAAGUGCGAGCCAUGUCUUCCAUCCAUACGAUGAACUCGCAGGCCACGUCGGCAGUGUGACUUCACAACCUAGGGGGCAGGUGCCUGCGCCGCCCUGCUGGCACGUUUGCGGUCGCCCCGUCCGUCGUCCCCGCGAGCGGAAUCCCUCCUGCGGGUGCUCAGGCUGCCAUGGCCCGCUGGCAGAGGUCAUCCGCGUAAUCUGAGAGGUGCCUCGAGUGGGGCAACGGAUGCGCGAGGGCGGACCCUUCCUCUUCGUUGAUGUCUCCUUCUUGACGUCGGAGGAUACCUUCGCUGGCGCCAUCACCGCGGCGACGAUGAGCGGGGAUGAAGAGGAAGGGCGAGGAGGUAGGGGUACGAGAUCCCUCCCUCUUGACCUUAUAUGGAUCCUUCGAGCGAGAAUUUGGUCUACGCCGCCGCACCUACAUUCCAUAGGCGGAAGGUUAAUAGGGGCAAUGAUGGGCCUGUGCCGCGCGUAGGCUCUAUGUCAGCGCAGGACAGGUAUCGAGGCGACAUGGGAAACGGUAGCGCUUAGCGCCUGCCGCGCUCCAUAUGUCACGCUUGGUUCUUCAGCAUGGAGGGCCCGCGCCGCUCCCAAUUCCGCCAUCGGAUGAAGCGCACCCAAUGCACGUCCAUGGGUUGUGCUGUUGGGCAUGAGGGCCGAGAGAAUCCAGGGGUGCGGGCUUGUGGCCUCGAGGCGUACGCAAAGGCUUGGCAUGGGCCCGUUGCCAUGGUGCAUGGGCAAGGCCCUCGCGAAGAUACCAGCCUCACGAGGCUCUCACCAGCAACCGUCAUCAAGGGCUUCAAGACGCCGCCGCGGGGCUGCAGUGGGAAGAUGCCCUGAAGGACUCGUGGGAAGGACGGCCAAGGAAGCGCAAGGCAACAACCUGGCUAGGCAAGGGCAAACACUCACAAGCGCUCGGGGAUUUCCCCCGAGGCCUCGUCGGUCGUCAGGGAUGAAGGCCUCAAAAUCCACACACCACGUCUGGGGACCCCGACUUACAAGUCGAGAUCGCCGAGUGAACAUGCUGAGUGAUCCCAGAGAUCAAUGCUCACCGAACACACAUAUACUAAAUAUUAAGAGUCUUACUUCCAUACAUACCGAUUGAUACAAUAAAUGACCUUAUCAGUCAAGUCUUACAUAUAUAGGGACUUGAGGGCCAACACACCAAACUGGACCAAUAGUGGAAUUAUUGGUCGAAAGCGUGAACCCAUGCCAUCACCCUUAACCUACAGGCAUUCUGACUGGAAAGCGUCCUAGCUUGCAAGAACGUCACCGAGUUAGUCUUCACCAUAUCCUGUUCUUUCAUACCUGGUCAAUGAAAUAACCAGUGGCAAGCCAAUGAGUACAUUUGAUUGUACUCACAAAUAGCCCAUGAUAUGAAUAAUGCAUGUGAGGGAUAACAAUAACAUGCUUCUUUGGUGGAUAUCUCUUGGUGGUAAAUAAACAUGAUCACAGGUAUGCAUCAUAAGUUAAGAACUACUUUUGAAGAACAGGUUACAGAUAUCAAUAUAUCCGCCAUGGGCUGAACCAUCCGGGUUCACCCUAUAUGCCAAGUCACCAAACUUGGUCAUAUCGUUACUUUCAUAAUAACUCCUUUCAUCACAACACACUCACACUUCGUUUACGCGGAAACGUUGGACGUAGUUUAUGCAAGAUUACCCAACUGUCCUUGACCGUGGACACGGCUAUUCGAAUAGUUUUACACUCUGCAGAGGUAGUACGAUGGACCCACGAGAUCCGGGAUACUUCCGUGUCAUCCACAACUUGAGGUAUAUAACAUGCCCGAGGUAAGUACCCGAUCAAUGUUUUUCCCCUCACGAUACUAGACAAAGAGGUCCACUUGAUUGGUACCCAGCCGCCAUGUUGUACGUCUUACGAGCAUCGACUCUGGACACUAUCAACCAUUCGGGGACCAACGGUGUGCCUGGAACUCAUAAAAAUGGCAUAGUCGUCCUACCUGGCACGACCCCAUGAUGAGAGUGACCACACAUCACUCCCGCCACUAAUAAUGUGGCUCUUUGCUAGCACCGACCAGAGUAAUCAACAUAGUCGCGUCCCAUAAGGGGUAACGUAGUCGUACUGGUAAGGUUGGGACGGUCGACACAUCAUAAAUGUAAUCCCAUUUCCGAAACCAUACUCACUCAAAAUACCCGAUGCACCACUUCACCAAAAGUUGCCACCUAAUUCAUCAUCACCCUCGGGCAUUAGUGGCACUCGAUGGGGUUUUCAUAAAUCUUUGAUUAUACCAACAACAUGCUCUUGCUUUUUAUUCUAGAAUUACUUGUCAACAUGAUACUAGCAUGAUCCACAAAAGGGGGUAGGACCAAGCUCAAUGCAUGUGCUCCGGAGGAGCCAUCAGUAACAUCACCUUUGUGAUUUACCGGCACUUAUGAUCAUAUGCAAUGGAAAUACUUGAUCUUACCAUGUAAUAUAACAUAUGCUCAGUCAUGGUCAAAGGGAUGCUUGCCUUUGCUCACAUAAGUCCUCGGGGUCUUCGAGGUCUUCCGCNNNNNNNNNNGUCUACCCGUCAACUAUCGCCGGAAACAACAACGGUAAGCCACACAACAGGAAGAAACAAAAGUGCUACAUAAAUAGAAGUUAUAUUUUUCUUGGACCUCUCUGGUCAUAAGAAAAAUACCUGAAGCUUGCCAUAGAAGGUUUGGACCAUCAGGGAUUUCUGAAUGGAGGAAAGGAGGAGUAGGGGAUUCUAUGUGAAGCCCAAAGAAAAUACUAUGAUAAAAAUGAGUGGAGGCACUCAUUUAACACAGAACAACUAUAGAAAUAUUUUGGAAGUUGUUUCACUGGAUUUGGAGUUGAAAUAAAUAUUCUAGGAAUUUUCUAAUAUGAAAUAAAUAGCAAUAGGAAGCUAUUUAUUUAAUACAACAGAAUGAAGCCUGAUAAAAAUGUUAACCAAGGCUCUAAAAAUAGGGCUAUAGAAAUUGGAAUCACUCCAUUUGGAGUUGAUUUGAACCCUUUAGGAUUUUCACAAAGUAGGGCCAAAUAUAUUCAUAUUUGGAUUAAAAUAAUAACACCACAGAAAGGUUGCUUGGAAAACCGUGCAAGGCACAUAUUUGGAUAGCCCUGAAUUUUAGGAACCUGCAGGAGUUUGAAUCAAACAAUUUGGAGUUAGAAUGAUUUCUGGAUGGAUUUUUGAAGUUCUACAAAAAGAGAAAAUCAGAAAAGGCUUCAACUUCAGCAGCUAUCUUGCACCUAGGGCGUUAGAUAGGCCUUCAGGCCGGCCCAGCAGCUCGGGCUGCUAGCGNNNNNNNNNNAUGAAUCGCCGAAGGCGUACUUCGGGGAUUGCGCCUCUGGCGCGGGGAAGCGUACACGAGGGAACCGUCUCCACUUAUCCUGGCCAAUGGGCCCGGCCAACGUCCUAGAGACUGACCAGUGGGGUCGCUGGCCCCACUGGCAGGCGCUUCUUCCUCCUCGCGCGCUCCCGCAUGCCCGACAGAGAAGGGAAGGCCCGAGACGCCGGCGGCGCUUCCCGCCAGCUCAAACCAGCCUUGGCGGCGCCCCGGCGGCCGGCAUGCUCGGUCGAUCUCCCGCCUCCGACCUAGGGGGUCAGCCCCCCGCAGAGGAGCGCCAGGGAGAGGGGCUUCUGGCCGCGACGGUGGCCGAUGACGGCAAUCGUGGGCAGGCCGCGUCAGGUGGGGAGAGAGGGAUCUAGGUGGAGGGGGUCUUCGGGGGAACGAGGGGGACACCACAGGGUUGCCGAACAGAGGGAAGGGGCUCAGGAGAGCCGGAACUUUGGUGAGGCCGAGGCGGCAUUCAACGGCCAUUGAAGUGAAGGAGAGCUCGAGAUGGGGAUUGGGGAGGUUCGGGAGAUUGCUAGGAAGAGUGGGAAUAAGAUGUGAGGCAGCAAGGGCUUAGGGAAGGCUCAAAAGGAGGGGAUAGAUGAGAAAUAUCCCGGAUGCUCCCUGGUGCUCUGUGGGCCUGAGCCACCUUGGCUGCAUCCUGGCGUCGGGGAGGGCUUGGACCGGACAAGGGGAGCAUCCUGGCGCGCUGAGACACACGGCAACGGUCGGAUGAGGUCUGGAGGGAGAAAACAAGGUGCAGAGCACCCGGUUUGCAGGUCAGGGUGGUGGUCACCACGGCCACCUGUGCCUACUGGGCCCUAAUGACCAGUCAAAGUUGUCUGGGAGGUGGGGCAUUCUAUCUGGAAGAUGUGUGAGGAGUUUGGUCUCUACUGGAGUUGAUUAGAAUGGUUGUUGACUGAGGUUAAGUUUGUAGCAGCAAACUUAGGGCUAAUGGGGAGGCAAUUACCUGAGAGAUAAAGGGGAAAAAGCAUGUCUAGCAGUCUUAGGCAUGGAAGGACUACAUUCCUGCAAAGUUUCAGCUCAAGNNNNNNNNNNAAGUGUAGCUAGUACUUGCUAUACAAAGCUAUAUUUCAGCCACAAUUAAACUUGAGGAUGUGCUGCUCAUUUUCUCCACAUGAGGAUGCCAUCUAUUGGCUUUAAAAAAUGCUUUGGGUUGCUAGGGACCCUCUGGAACGAGGUGGGGCCUUUGGCUUAGGCAGAAGUGAGGCAAGAGGGUAAAGAUGGUGAUUCCAAGGGUAAAAUGAGGAGUAGUUACACGGAGCCUCUCUCCAUUAAUUGACUAGUGGCCAUGGAAAUGUUAUUGGAGGUAAAAUGUAACUAUGUGAAGCUGUGGUAGAAAGUUGAGCUCAAGGGUUAAAGUGGAAGGGNNNNNNNNNNNNNNNNNNNNNNNNNNNNNNNNNNNNNNNNNNNNNNNNNNNNNNNNNNNNNNNNNNNNNNNNNNNNNNNNNNNNNNNNNNNNNNNNNNNNAUAACAUUAAUGUAUAAUUAUAAUAUAACAUUACCAAAUAUAUUCUAUUACAAUUCCAUGUCUCCCAACUCAAUGGGCUCAACAAGAAUUAAAACAUAAGCAUACAAAGCAACUAUAACAACAAUCUAUGAAAAAUUGGAUAAUGUGGAAAGAUGCACAUGAAACGUAUACUUCUUUAACUCAGAAAGUUAAGAACAAUUAGGAUCUGGUAAAAAAUUGUGUAACUGUACUAUGUAAAAAUUUCAGAUUUUUUUGGCGUUCUAGUAAAAUAGGAAAAAUCAAACACUACACCCAAAGUUUCUGGUUUUGCACAACACAUAUCAAGCAAGCAAUUUAAACAUCCUAAAGGUAUAUCUUGGCACAUUAUUUUUAUAAUACAAUGGAUUUAUACAAGAGGACAAUUAUUUUUGUUGAAAAAAUUCUGUAAUCAAGAUUCACAAAGUUUCCAUGGGCAUGAACAAAGUUCAAGGCUAGGCCCCAACGGUGCUCAUCUUUCUCACUUUCACCUUUCAUUUUGAAAACGUUUUAGGUUCCCCACUUUAUUUUUUUAUUUUAAUUAUUUGAAAAACACACAACAUAAUAAAAUAACCCUCUAAUAUAUCCGGGUUGUCUCCCUGGCAGUGCUUUCUUUAAAGCCAAUAAGCUAGGCAUAUAGUGCUCAAGUAAUUGAUCCACCCGGAUCCCAAGGUAGAUCAAAGCCAAUUUUAAUUAACCUUAAUUUGUAAUUUAGUAGUGAGCAGAAAUUGAUAUAUAUAUAUCAUGUAGAAACAAAGUCUAACUCUCUUCCUAUGCAUUGGCAUGUCAUAAAAUAACAAUUCAUGCACAUCAAGUAAAGGCCAAUACAUAGCAUAAGUAGUUUCUUGCAAUUUUAUCGUAUUGGAAACACAGAGAGGCGAAGAUUUGGUUCCUCUCUGAUAAUAAUUGCAAGUAGGAGAAGAAAACAGAUGCAUAUUAUAUCCAUCAAAAUCAUCAUGUGUACAACGCAACCCGUCACUGUAAUCCUUAAUAAGUGCAAACUUCUCUGUUAUAGUGUAGUUGGGAGAAUUCAUAAAGAUAAUAGGGCUAUCAUGUGUGGGUGCAAUAGCAACAAUUUCAUGCUUAACAUAAGGAACCAUAUCAAGUUCAUGUCCAUAAGCAUAAUUCAUAUCGGCAUCAUGGCCACAAGCAUAGCAAGCAUCAAGAUCAUCGAAAAGGGAUAUUUCAAAUGAAUCGAAGGGAUCAUAGCAAUCAUUAUAGCAUUCAUCCUUCGGUAUGUGUGAAGGUAAAUUAAACAAUGUAUGAGUUGAAGAGUUACUCUCGUUAGAAGUUGGGCACUGGUAGCUAAUCUGCUCUUCCUUCUUUUGUUCUUCGCUGUCCUCCUCAUUUGUUUCAUCUAAUGAGCUCGCAGUUUCAACAAUUUAUUCUUCCAUAGAUUCCUGCAAAAUAUUAUUCUCUUCCAAGGAAGCAAAUAUACCUCCAAAAAAUUAUUUAACAUCAGCAUUAGAAGCACGGUUUUCAUAGCAAUAUUUAAGUACGACAAAUUUUUCAGAUUUCUAAAGAGUAGCAUCAUACUUUUCAAUGAAAGUUGCAAUUUCAUAAGCACCCUUAAAAGCAACAAAUUCUUCAAUUUGCUCAACAUCAUAAUAACAAUAGUACUCCUUGGCAUAAGAACAUAAUAUUUCAUUAUCAUUAAACACACAUUUGAUGGGAAGGUGUUUUUAGUCUCUUGAGAACAACAAGUAAAAUCAUGUAUUUCGCAUAAAUUCCAAGCAUAGUAACACAAAGUAUUAAUUUGAUGAGACAAGAGUUUCCCUUUUUGAGAUAAUAGGUGUCACACAUAAUAAGCAUGCACAUUUAAUUAUUUUAUGUCAACUAAGCUAGUUGGGUUUUCAACACGAGCACAAAGGGAUCGAAGAUGAUCCAAGUAAAAAGCUUCAAUAAUAUGAUACAUUUUGGGUGGUUCCUCAACCACUGGGUUAGCAAGUACAUCUAUUCUUUUUGGUAUUUUGCGUUUCCUACCCGUAGCUAAAGAUAUAAAACAACGUAGAAUAGUGAUGAAGCAAAAAACAUACGAGAAUAUGAACCGCUCUGCUAUUGCUCCCCAACAACGACGCGAGAAAAAGGUCUUGAUAACCCACGACUGCAAGGGAUCGUUUGUAGCCUUUUUCCAUAAGUAAGAGUGUUGAACACAACGAUGAGCUAAUGGUAUAAUUAAUAGAACUAUACGCAUGUUAAUGCUUACUUUACCUAGAACAUGUAAGAAACUGCUUUGCGGGAAGGAAACUAUGUAUACUUAGUAGGUGUAAUAGAUAGUUUUGGAAGGUAAUAGAGAACUAGUAAAUAGAACUUAGGGGAUGUUUUGAUAAAUAUCAAUUUAGUUGUUUAGUAGAAAGAUUUUUUGUAACGCAAGAGAAAGAUUGUCCAUUGACAAUUGAAGAUAACAUUAUAGAUACUUAUCAUAUGCAAUGAGGGAGAGGCAUACCCUAACACCCUUUUCGUACUUGGAUCAUAUGAACUUAUGAUUGGACCUCUAGCAAGAAUCUAGAACUACUAGAAAUCAUUAAGGUAAAUACAAACAUAACAUUAAACAUCAUGCCCUCUUUACUCCCAUAUGCAAACAACUCCCUUACUUUGGUGUUAGCUCGUGUCACUCUAGCGACCUAGUAUAAGUGUGUCAUGAACAUCUUGCAAUAAAAUUAUGGAUACUUAUCAUAUGUAAUGAGGGAGAGGCAUACCCUAACACACUUUCCGUACUUAGAUCAUAUGAACUUAUGAUUGGACCUCUAGCAAGAAUCCGGAACUAUUAGAAAUCAUUAAGGUAAAUACAAACAUAACAUUAAACAUCAUGCCCUCUUUACUCCCAUAUGCAAACAACUCCCUUACUUUGAUGUAAGCUCGUGUCACUCUAGCGACCCAGUAAAAGUGUAUCAUGAACAUAUUGCAAACCCUCCAGCGGGAUUCCUUCAUGUGAGCGCCUCACGGAAGGCACCUUAGGACAACAUCAUAUGAACAUACAACUCAUAUCAAUAACAUCAUAUCACAAUUAACCCAUAGGACCAAAGAGAUUCACUCAAACAUCAUAGGAUAGUCACACAUCAUUGGGUAAUAAUAUAUAUCUUUAAGCACCACGUUUAAGUAGAUAUUACACCGGAGCAAAGAGGGUUUACACUACUGCAUAUAGGGGGAGCGAAUUGGUGGUGAUGGUAGGGAAAAUGUUGGUGUAGAUCAUCAUCACAAUGGUUGCCCUGAUGCUGCUCCGACGCCAACGGGAGGGAGGGGGAGAGAGCCCCCUCCUUAUUAUUUUUUAUAUGGCCUCCUCCCUAGGUGGGAGGAGGGUUUCUCCUCUCGUGCAUGGCCACCAUGGCUCCCGGAGGGCAGCGGCCCCUUCAAGAUUGGAUCUCUCUCUCUCUCUCGUUGAGUCNNNNNNNNNNNNNNNNNNNNNNNNNNNNNNNNNNNNNNNNNNNNNNNNNNNNNNNNNNNNNNNNNNNNNNNNNNNNNNNNNNNNNNNNNNNNNNNNNNNNNNNNNNNNNNNNNNNNNNNNNNNNNNNNNNNNNNNNNNNAAAAACAAAGAAAAAACAAGAACUAGCACUGGGCACUGGAUAAGUAAGUUACUCCCAAAAAUAAUAUAUUAUGUUGCCAAAAGCAUAUGAAAGUUGUAGAACAUUGGCAUGAAAUGAUAAAAAAUUACAUAUACUAUGGAGGCGUAUCAACCCCUUGGACUAUAAAAGGAUGUCUAGGGCUACCUUCAGAAAGGUCGACUCUCUAUUGAUUCUACACGGGUAGCUGCUGCUCUCUAUCAUCCUUGUCGGGCGAGCACACAUGUACUGUGAACACACACAUAAUCCACCAGAACACAAAAUUGGCAUAGGAUUUUACGUUUCCGAGCAUCCCGAACCUAUCUAAACCACCGUGCAUCCAGCUGUCGGUGAUGCUCUUUGUGCACCCAUAGUCCCCGUAGAACUGUAGCGAAGGGGCCUUGCCGUCCCAUAGAUCGUCGGAUCGUCCCGGCAUACAUUGUAAAUUCAAAGAGAAAAGACAUAAGAAUUGUAUCAUAAUGUGGAAUAAUUACCAUGAAUAACAUGUCAAUAGGAAAUCAUGAUGCAGAAUGGACAUACAACGUCAAUGACCAAAAAUAAAGCAAUAAUAUCGAUAAUGGUUCCUUCGACGACAUUGUGCCUAAUAGGUAAGAAGAAGACCUUGCACACGUUGAAUAAUACCUAGAGUCCCAGGAAGAUUUAAGGUUCAGACCUAAUGAAUUCAACAUCCCCGAGGAAUCGCUUGAUGAUUCUUAGUUGCAGGCCUUCCACUGCUGGCUACUCAGUACCGCAAGGGCAUGAAUCUCAAGUCCCAAAAGCUUUGAGUUGAACAGGGCAUGCUUAAUGAUAAGAUGAGCGAGGUCCUCAAUGCUGAGCAAGAUCUUAAAGGAAUAUUCAUGGGAAACAUGCAGUAUGCAAGGAAAAUCCCGUUCCCCGAGUUCGAUGAAGAAGUCUUUGACACCGUGCUGUCAAAGCCUGAAUAGGCCCAGGACCAGCCUCCUCGGUGUUGAGACACGCUAGCGGGAGGAUAUAACAAUCCCCCGAGGUAGCUCAUCGUCAUGACAUAGGUCCACCUCCACCACAGAAAUCAUACAUCACACAAAAUAAAUUAGCACAAGCUUCUCAUCUCGAUUCCUCCAUGGAUUGAGAGAGCGUUUUUCGAUCAAGCAUGCAGGGCAAUAGGAUUGGUCACACAAUUAUACCGACACUCAUCACAAAUUAAAUGAUCACACGCUGGCAACAUCAGAUGCACAACAUGUCAAAGGACGAACCCGAUUAGAGGAUCACCUCAUCAGCUUCACCAACAAAGUAAUGUAGCAGUAGUUCCAUGAAUUAUUUAAACCUAUCAACAUCGACAGAACAACAUAUUCAACCAUUUGGAUAGUGGACUUCGUCAUGCACAGCCACAUGGACCGUGGAGAUGAUCUACACGCCACCAAAUUCUUGUCCCUAAAGCUCCAAGCAUUAGCUCACCACUGGCUUAUUAGCCUUCCUAAAAACUCGAUCAGAAACUGGGAAGACCUGGAAGAUGCUUUUCAAUUAAACUUACAAGGAACCUACGUACGAUCUCUAGAUGCCAACAAGUUCGGUCACAUUGUACAAGAACGAGGGAGUCGACCAUAAAAGUUUGGAACAGGUUCUUGACCAAGAAGAAUAAAAUCAUGGAUUUCCCGGAUGCCGAGGCCAUUGCAGAUUUUAACCGCAACAUCCAUGACGAGUUGCUCACUAGAAAGGUCGGGAAAGAAAAACCCCUCACAGUGGCCGCCCUCACACAUUUUAUGACUGGCUUCUAUGCCGAGGAGUAUAGGUGGCUUGCCCGCGGCAACAACCAAAACGGUGAUCCGAGCACCUCUCAGGUGCGCGAUGGGAACGGUAAACGCCGACGUCACAAAAAUAGCAAGUGCUGCAAUAGAGGACACAACAACGAUGGCAAGGAGGGCGAGUAAAUGCCGGAUUCAUCGGCUAUCACGGGUGUAAUAGACAUAAACCUAUUCAAGGAAGUAAGGAUGUCUCAUCAAUAUUGGAUAAAAUACUAGAUAACUCAUCUACCUUUGAAAUCAGAAAUCCGGAUUACCCUUGACCAAAGUGACCACUCAACAAGCACCCGUCUCAAGGGCACAAUGGCUUUAGUACUUGACCCAAUCAUGGACGACUUUCAUCCGACCUGGGUCCUCAUGGAUUAUGGUAGUAGUCACAACAUUAUUUACACACACACAAUCAAGAAAAUACACAUGAGGCUAGCGAGAAGUAAACCCAGUAACACCAUGUCAUGACCUGGCCUCUGGUAGGGCCACGGAUCGCUGCACUUAAUAUGUCAGUCCGAGAAUCAAUACCUGACAUGCACAGUCGAUGAUGAAAUACCAAGGAUACAUCACAUGUCAUAGUAUUUGCAUCGAAGAUCGAGUGCACUAAAUACACACAUGCUUAGAUCAUGGCUAGCUUACAUUACUAUCAUGAAGCGAAAUAAUAUUCUUGUCUUGUGGCUUCCACCGGCUCACAUUCAAGAGUUGAGUAUAGCGUCAUAACCCUACUUCGUAACUUCCCUUUGACUUGGUAACCUGCAACCCGAUACAUUACAACCACAAGGCUCAAUACACUGGAUGUAUUCACAAGCUUCACCAUGAUUGGCUGGGGGGGGAACAUGAACAUUGAAGUUGGUGUGGUUGGUUUUCUUUUGCACGAAAAAUAUUUUUUUUCCUAUCUUGAAAUAUUGGUCUAUGAUAUAUCUUCAAAACAUCAAUAAUUUAUGAAGUACUCGUGCCAAUAUUCUACAACUUUCAUAUACUUUUUGCAGCAUUUUAUAUUAUAUUUUGGACUAACUUACUUGUCCAGUGCCUAGUGCUAGUUCCUGAUUUUUGUGCAUUUUUUGCUUCGCAGAAAAUCCAUAUCAAAUGAAUUCAAAACACGAUAAAAUUUUACGGAGAUUUUGUUUGGAAUAUAUGUGAAUUUUGAGAGUCAGAAUCAAGACAAGACGAUGCCCGAGGUUCCAGAAGCCAACAGGGCGCGGUUAGGGGGCGCCCUGAUGGCUUGUGGCCAGACCUUAAGUCAGUUGAGGCUCUCCUUCUGCAGCAAGAAAGAUAUUUUCGUGGUAAAAAUCCCCUCAAAAUUUCAUCCCGAUCGGAGUUAUGGAUCUCCGGAUAUUUAGGAAACGAUGAAGGGCCAGAAAACAGCAGCGAAAAGAGGAGAGAAAGAGACAAAGAGAUCCAAUAUUGGAGGCGCUCUCACCCCUCCAGGAGCCAAGGGGGCCAAGGAGCAGAGGGAGAACCUCUCCCAAGAUAAGAAGAGGCCUAAGGUGGGAGACUCUCUCCCCUCUCUUGUGGUGGCGCCGGAGUGUCGGCGAAGGAACCAUCGCCGUGGUGAUCGUCUUCAUCAACAUCACCGUCUACAUCGUUGUCGGGAUCCCUAUCCUAAGACAUAAGAAUCUAGCAUGUAACACAUCAUAUCACUUACGAACUACUGCACUACUAGGACUGUGGCAAAUACAACUGCUACAAUACUACUACAACCACUCACAAACUCAAGCAUCUGCGUAGAACAUCUCAUACAGGUUACCCCCAGAACUGGUAGCUAAACCUGAGGGUAUGCAAAAACCCUAGCCUGAGAUCCCUAGGAACCAUUAGGACACAGAUGUGGACUAGAUAUCUUGGCUAUCAAAAACAAAUCUCCACGAAGAGGGGUGAUACCUCCAACAUCGGGCCAGUCUACACGAGCUAGCAGAUGAGUCCAUAAUGGGUUCAACAUCUCCAUGUCUCCAUAGCCUGUCUGAACGACACGUCCUAGCCAUGUCAGGGCGGUCCACAGAUGGGCACGAGUAGCAUAAAGCUUCAAGCGGAGUGGACAGACAUCACGGUCUGUGUUCUCGAACAUCUGAGCAGUAACCUGUAGUCUCGGAUCCUCCUGAGAAGAAUCAUAAUAGACUCCACUAGGAUAUCCUUCCUCUUCUGGCAGAGAUACUAGAAUAUAACAAAACUCCAUGUUCUACAGCAAUCCAUGGUUGGCUCUCAUAAUGGUUAGCAUCGAAUAAGCGGCAUGCUGAGCCACCAUGUCGGUGGUAACCCCCGAUCCACACGAACAAUGUAGAGGCUUUGCAGCUCCAGGGUACGAUGGAUAUAUCCUAACAGUACAAAGGUACUGGCUGUGGUUGAAAUCACGGUACUGCUCCUCCACUGUGCACUCGGGGUACUAGCAGUAACCGGUCUCCAACAUCACUCUGACCAACAUAACCGUCUGACCCGGUACAUCAAUGCACCUGGUCAAACGUACCACCUGAUGGGAGGGACGAGGAGGCAUCUGAAAUAGAGAAUAGUGCAAAUGCAUUAGAGAUCCUAGCAAAAAUUGGGCAGCAUAACGACUGAAAAUGCUAAAAAAACAAGUUUGAGACAUCGUGCAAAAGAUUCGAUAGCAUAACCACACAACUUUCUAGCUUCAAGAUUCCAUGGCCAACUAAGUUUUCACACAGGGAGAUACUUGAAAACUGGAGUUGACUCUCAAACAAAAUUUCCCUACAAGUUAUAGAGUAGUAACUCGUGAUCCUAAGAGAUAGAUAAGAAUCCUAGUUCUUAAUCCCCGUAGAAAAGAUGAGGGUGACUCAGAAUAGAAUGUGUUGAGAAGAGAAGUAAAAAGAGACUUACGUUCCCUUCCACAAUCAAUUCCCUUAUAUAACUAAAGCAUUUCUAGACUCCACUUUGACCAGUUUGGCUUGGUAAUCCUAUAGUUAGUCAUCCUCUGAUACCAACACUUUCGGCAGCCCGAUCCUAAGCUAUAAGAAUCUAGCAUGUAACACAUCACAUCACUUCACAGUCUCAUGCACGGUUAUCCCAGGGCUGUCACCAUACCUUUGCCAGGACCGUUUACAUCUUUUGAUUCAUGUAUGUGAAUAUGUUGCUAGCAUUCAAAUGCCAAAUAACCUCGGUCAACAUAACUAGUUAUAAACCCAAGUGACACAUCUGUACAGGGACAUGCAUACAUAACCCAACAAUGCUGGUGUUUGUCAGUAAAUGUGUGUAGAUGAGUCGUAGAAAGCUACAUGGACUCCAUUACACCGUGUGACAUUUCCCCGAGGGACCAACACAUCAGCAAAGAAGGAUACAUGCCGGUGAAUAAAUGUGCCCGAAGCAAUAGCAAGCUACCAAAGCUCAGUGGAAGCACAAAGAGGAAUUUCCCCGUAAAGAGUACUACUAAAGGCACACAACUAGGUGUCGAAUCCCAUACAUAACGUUGCACAUCACACGUACGCACGACAUGCCCCAUAUGCAUAGAUACAAAAAUGGCAUCACAACAUAUCCAUACAAGAUCACAACAUUUAAUUAGAAGGCUCAGAAGAGCCUUGCAAAAUAGGUUCAUACACAUAGGGUGUCGGAAUUGGGGCUCUGCAGACCCAGAAAAGGUUCAAACUCUAGGGUACGCUUGCUCUCCAACCUUGUUCUAUAUCUCAUGUUCAAGGCUACUCUCCGGAAGAUCUAGCUAAGGAAGGCGAGCAAGAACUCACGAGCAGUUUACCAAGGUUCAGGCCACCUUACGGUGUGAAACCCUACUCCUGCUUGUCUAGAUUGCUUCAGGUGGAAAACAAGUACAAAGGCGGGUUCUUGCACUAGUCGAGAAUAACCAGGAUGCCGUUCCCAACGCUAGAGAGGUCGGGCCUCUCUUUUAUACUGUCCUUGGUCCUCUUCCCCGAAAACAAAAUUGGUGGCAAGGGUUGCCACAAUGUCCAUUUUGGAAGUGGAUAGGACUGCGGCCGGCGUUGACAAAGGUGGUCUUCGCCGGUAAAAGCCCUUCUCCGUGACGAGCAGGUGGGCUUGGGGUGACCUCUGUCCUGCCGAGCCCCCAGCCUUGGUCCUCUUGCACCGAUAAGGAAUCCUUUGGGAGAUGCUCCGGGAGGGGGGCGCCAGCUGGCUACGCUUCCUUAGCACGAAAGUUGAAAUCCUCCUUGUCCAUAUGUGCUAGCACGGCUCCUACACCGCGUGCGCGACCCACAUCACCCACAAGGAGGCACGGGGUUAUGAGACCCACGUCAGAUCUCUCCUAAUGAGCUCGUCCCGCAAGAGUCUCCAGGGUGGCCCUUGGCGGUGAUACCCAGACACCUCCCUCGCGAUGCAAGGGCCCUCGCGAGGGCCUUCCUUGCCAGGCCUGCUAAUGGAUAGGGUCAGGCUUGUCCAACCGCGUCAUGCCUGGGCCAUGGGCCGACGGGCUUAGGUACCCCCAGUCCUAGGGGCCACACAGUAGCCCCCGGGCAUGUGUUGCGCACGACUCCGCCUCGUGGGAGGGGCAAAGCAAUGUGGGCCCAACUGCCCAUGGGCUAGGCGCAAUGUGUGGCAUCCUACGCGACGUGGGACUCUUCCCGCACCACUUCAGGAACCGCCUAGAGUGGGUUUAUGUAAAGCCCGUGCGCGCCGCUUUCCAUCAUUGCUCUUGACCGGCACCACCCACUUGCACCAUCCUUCCCACGUGAAGUUACCCCUGUGCCUGGAGCAUGCGCGGAGCUGCUGGUUGGGGGAGCGAGGCAACACAAGCCGUAACCAUCCACGGGCCAGUCAGGGCACGUGACGCACGAUGGAGCGCAUGCCGCCUUCACUUCCCACAACUCCUCAGGCGCUCUGGUCAUGGCUAUAAAACCGCAACCCCAAAGGGAGGAGCUGCCUCCACACUGUUUCUUCCUCCUACCUUCUCGUGCCGCUCCGCCAUUCCUGUGUGAUGUCGCCUUGUUCCUCCUGAGCCAUCGUUGCCCCUGCUGCGACAGCGCUGGGCCUCUAGUGAUGAGAAAGUACACCGUUGUCGUUGCUUCUUCUUACAUGCCUUGUCCGUCCCAUCGAAUCUGAUCACUGACUUUCGAGGGCGCCGACACCCCAAAGGCGCCGGGUUGGAUCGCUAGGAUCAUCCUCCCGUGCGCCGCCUCCUAGGGAGGCCUCCUCCUUUGUUGUUCACGUGGCAAGGCCCAAGGGGCCCACACCCUCCUCAGGUGCGAUUGUACGACCCUGGGAGCGUGCAGUCCAAUCUGUCACACGAGCCCCAAGGACAUGUUGGCACGAGGCGAACCUGAAACUAUGGGAGGUGGCGCUCGUCGGGCGAGAGGAGGACAUGGCUCUUCGCAAGCGGGAGGCCACCCGGACCGCCUACGAUCAAUAGGCGGAGAGAGAGCACCUUCAGACCCUAGAGAGGCGCGUGCUUGCAGACAAGGCCGCCUUCGUUGCGAUGCGUGAGGAAGCCCUAGAAGAAGUGGAAGCAAGGGUGGCCCGAGAGCAAGUGGCUGCCCUCGAGGAAUAUAACGAUGAGCUCGCCCGGCAGGAGAACCGCGUUCAGCUCAGGUGCGACACGCUCCAUGGGGAAGUAGGCACACUCAGGGACCAUCUAUUGGACGCUAAGGUCGCUCUCCAGGCCGCCCUUAGGUGCGACGAGGGCUCUAAAGAGGAGCUAGACAAACUUGAUGCCCAAAUCGAAGAAGCUGAUGACGUCGUGCAGACGGCCAAGGAUGACACGACACAUGCGCGGAUGAUGGAGGCGCAACGUGCCAAUCAGUUCUUGGAGCUCGCACGCCACUCGAAUGGUGCGCUCCGUCGCUUUGUCAAGGACGCCCCGCUGCGGCCUAGCGCAUGGCGACGGGGGCUACCUCGAUUUAUUCCUCAAGGUGGUGGAGGCGCUGGAGUCAGGUGCCACCAAGGUGGACGAAGACAUCGAGUCCAGCGCGCACGACCUCGUCGAUGGCGCACUAACACAUGUCUUCUCCAACUUCGCCGCCACAUGGAGUCCCUGGUUGGGUGGUUCGUCCAAGUGGUGCCUCCCGAAGGGAGCGAAAGUCCUGGCGCCGGGGCCUCCGGGGGCCACGACAAGGACAAGGCCUCCUCAGCCUAGGGUUUUCUUACACUUUCCUGUUGCAUCAAGAAUCACUCUCCCCUGAAAAUGGGGUCAAACAUUAUGCAAUAUACCUUGGGAUAUCACCUUCAAAAGGAUAUGGAUGGCGACUCCAGCCACCCAUCAUCUUGGAUGGCGGCUCUAUGGCGAUCUGGGAUUUUAGCAGUUGUGCUCAAUUUCUCUACUGAUUAUCUUCUCCAGCGAUGUCUCCUACAUCCGGGCACACCCACCUCAGUGUGUUCUGGUACUGGCUCCACCCUCGAUCUGGAUUUCUCUCCUGGUGUGGUUUUUACGAAUGAUGUGUUUCGGCAUUCUGGUCUUUCUCUGCAUCCUAUGGAUCAUUGGCGUUACUUUAUCAUGGUGGUCUCCUUUAACAGACAUGUUUUCUGUUUCACUGGUGAUUUUGUUGCUGCCGCAUUAGAAUUGGCGAUCGGCGGUUCAGCUAUUGAUAUUAUGGUGGAAUGCAUCAAGGACAAGGUUUUUUCUUUCAGGGUUUCAUGCAAACAAGUUGGUUUUCAUAUUCUUGAUAUGCGUUCUUUCUCAUGCCCUAGUUUCAAGUUCUAUUUUCACCUUUGGUUUAAUGGUGGCCCAAAUUGGUGGCGUGAGUUCAAGCAAUGGAAAAAGAAAUGUGACACAGAAUGGAUAUUGGUUAGACCUUCCAAGAGGUGUUCUGCUUUAGGUCUGAUGGCCAUGCAUUCCAGAGCACAAAAAUAUUCCAUCAAAUCUGGUCCUUCGGUCCAUAAGAAAUUAUCAUUUGCAACUUUUCAGCAAUAUGAUAUUUGUAAAGGUUAUCGCAGCCCCGUAUGGCAGAACGUGCUAAUUUGUUUUCAAUAUGGUGGUUAUGCUCUACCAACUCAUGAGCGUGUUGUCAUUCAUCCCUCGCCGCUGCCGGAACUUUGGUGGAUGGUAGCCUCGCCCCACAUUACUUUCGGAACGGUGCAACAAUCUACGCCGAUUUCUCCGGUUCUUUCUAUUUCGGAGGUUUCCUUGAGCGGGAAUCGAGGAACUUCAAAUUCCCAGGAUCAAUAUUCAGAUCCACCAUCAAUUCUGGCAGACCAUUCUCUUCGGCUUGCCUUCAAUCAACGCCCUCCUCAUGGGCAUCUGGAGUUCAAUAUUGAUCGUGGGCCUCAAAUCCCUUCUUCUCAGGAAGCCUAGGAUGCUUUUGAUAAUAUGGUAGAUGACAUGGUCACUAGAGUACUGACGUGUACCAUUUGCUCCUGUACGCACACCUGCCUUCUAACUGCCCAUCUUGGGAGUUUGCUUCUCUUGCUACCGGGUGGGCCACACCAAAUUUGGGUGUGCCUCUUCUGCUCUCGAACAUGGGCUUAUUUGGAAACGAAAGAGUCCCUCCCCGAUUUUGGAUCUUUCGGGAACUACUGCCUGCGUUGAAACCAUGCAAGUUGCAAUGUCGCCCCGUCCUGUCCCAUCGCAUUCAAUCUCUCUAGGCCCUCCAUUAGAGCCAUCGCCAUUAACACCACCGCCUCUGGCAUCACCACCUCCAGUAUCCUCAUGUAUGAUGGCCAACUUUGAGUUCGACCUGGUGCACUAUGUCCCUGCUGGUCACCAAAUCAUCGACGAUGGUCCCCAUUGUCUUCCUCGGACUUUUGCCCCCCCCCCCCGGCCGCUGGCCUGAGCAAUAUUUGGUGGCGAAAGUGAUGCGUGCGCUGCCAGCAAAUCAUAUUGGUCAGGUACGACAACAAGUUGUCGAGCUCCUCAACAAUCGGGAUUUUCAUGUUUGCUCCGCUCAGCAUUGGAUUUUGGGUGUGGGUCUUUUUGACCUAAGAGAUGUUGGGGAGAGAUUUUCUGUUGUCCAGUUGGUUCCACAGGAUUUAGGGAACGACUCUUAUGUCUGUAUCAUGAAGCACAAUGAAGGAGAGGGUUUUCAUGCCAAUGAUGGUUUUCGUCAGGGAUGUCUCAUGUCUCUAGGAGUUCCAUUUGAUUUGCGCAACACGGAAGACUUGAGGGCUGCGGUUAACACCUUUGGUGAAUUCUACCAUUGGUUCAGCGAUGAUCCAUAUUUAGUGAGAUCUAUGGUUUUUGCUUCAUUCCUGGAUGGUGCUCUGGUGCCCCGCAAUGUCACCUUCUCUGAAUAUACUGGAUGGGGGAGCACGGGUUUCUUGGACGACAACUCUCUAUAUACUUGGUGCCAAUUUUGCUAUGAAGAUGCCACAAGAUGAAGACCCCAUGCCCUUGGACGUAAAUCCACAUCCACUACCGGCUAAUCUGGUACGUGAUAAUCUAAUGUUUUCCCUGGCUCCCUACCCUGCUCUUGGGUGGAAUGAUGCCCCACUACCACCAAUUCCAGAACAUCAAGGCGAGCUACAAGACUAGCAUGAUGCUAAUGUGUGGGGGGGGAUGCUGAGGAACCAGCUGCUCAACCGCAGGAACCAGUACAGGAUCAAGAAGCCAUGUUUAUAGACCAGCCAAGCUCCUUUGGCUCUAUUUAGGUCGUUGAUGUCAUCCACCAGGAGGUUGAUCAAAAUGAUGUGCAGGUAGAUCAGCACCCACAUCCUGAGAUCAACCCACUUGCCAUUGUACCCUAUCAGCAACCUAUUUUGCAUCAUGUCAAUCCGAUAAUUGGUUUGGUCAGGGUGGUUUAUGGGCCACCUUUGCGUGCAGUUAUGGCCUAGAGAAGGACUUUAGAGAUGCUGAUGGAUGUACUAUGUGCCCCGCGAUCCCUAGGCCACUUGCGCUUGUGCUUGGUGAGAGUUUGGUGCUUUCCAAACUGUCCUGGUCGAUUGCAUUUGAUGAGGUCAACUCGGUCUCUAAGAUGGUUUGUUUGGUGGACAAUAGUAUUGUGCCGCUAGUGGUGACCAAAGCCCGUCCUAUAGCAAGAGCUCUUUUCAAUGAUGUUUCUGAUGCAUGUGUGGACAAUUCGGCCACUAUUGCCACUGUUGUUGAGCAAUUUUCUUUCUCCGCCCCGUUAGCAAGGAGGGGAGCUCCGAAGAAGAAGGAAACACCUAUUGUUGACUCCUCUGUUCGCAGGUGCACCCGUAGCGCUUGCAACCGCCACCACCCAAGAAGAGGAAGCCCAGAUCCAAGCCAUUGGUGGAAGCGCUCGCAAGCCACAAUGAGAAUGAUCAAUCUACACAUGACCAGCACAAUGAGGAGGUCCCACCUACCACACCUAUCCCAGUGAUUCAAACUAUGGGCCAAAGCUUGCGCAUUGCACGUGAAAAGCUAAUGACACAACUUCUUAUGGAAUAUCCUACUGGCUCCUCCAAGGAUAAUUCUAAUGACUAGAAUGAAUGUGUUUCUUUUGGUCUGGAGGGACCCCCUGUUGGUCCGCUUCAAUAAUUGCUUUGGCCCUAAACUUGUUCUGGUAGCUGUUAUUUUGGGUCUCUUCCGAUGGUGAACUUAAGACUUUAUUGGUGCCACUUGAUGUGUGACUUUGCUUUUUAUGCUUUAUCUCAUUUUCGUAUGGAUAGUCGGUCUACUAGAAGCUGGCGUGUCCUCUGCUGGAAUGUGAGAGGCCUCAACUCUGACGCGCAUUAGAGGAUGGUUAGUAAAAAGUUGAUGAAAGUCUAGCCUCUGUAGUCUGCCUUCAGGAAACAAAAAUGCAGCACAUUGACCAUAGAUGCAUUCGUAAUUUCUGCCCUAAACGCUUCGAUUGUUUUGUGUAUUGCCCUUCUUUUGGGGCCUCAGGUAGGAUCAUUGUUCUACAUAAUUCAUUUUUUCUAAAUGUUGUGUUAGUAGACUCUCAACGAUUUGAUAUGAUCAUCAACAUCACCUCAUAGCACAACAAUGAGCAAUGUACAUUGGUUAAUGUGUAUGGGUCGUGCCAGGAUGAAGACAAGGACCUCUUUGUUAGCUGGCUAUACAAUCUAGAUAUACCUAUGGAUAAAAACUGGUUGAUGCUUGGAGAUUUUAAUUUCAUUAGGUCUCCCACAAAUAGAGACCUUCCUGGAGCUGCUCUUAAUGAUAUUUUCAUUUUCAAUGAAAUCAUUGGUCACCUUUGUCUCCUAGAGUUACCUCUUAAAGGAAGAUCAUAUCCAUGGUCUAACAUGUAGGAUAACCCUCUUCUUGAGCAAUUGGAUUGGUUCCUCGUCUUAGCUAACUCGAUUUCUUGCUAUCCUCUUACUCAAGUGAUGUCUUAUCCAAAACUGCAUUAGAUCAUGUGCCCUGUGUGGUCACCAUAAACACGACAAUCCCUAAGAGUAACCUUUUUCGUUUUGUGAACUACUAGGUUGAGCUUGAUGGUUUUAUGGAAUGUGCGCAAACAUCUUGGAAGGUUCCCUCCAGGAAAAGCCGCAUAACUGCAAUAGUCAUGGAUAAAUUUAAAUCUCUGAGACAUGCUCUAAAGAGAUGGCAGACUAGUUUGUCAAAAAUAAAAACAAUGAUAGGCAAGUGCAACCAGGUGAUUUGAUUCUGGAUAACCUUAAGGAACUAAGGCAUGUUUUCAAGCCUGAGAUAAACUUCAGGGGGAUUGAUAAGCUGCAUUUGGAACAUCUGCUGCAUUUGCAGUUUCUUUAGUGGAAGAAGAGGGCACUAUUAGGAAUAUCAAAGUGGGGAAAGAAAAUACCAAAUUCUUUCAUGCCAUGGCCACUGAAAGAUACAGAAGGAAUUCAGUUUCCUCCCUGCAGCUUGAAGAUGGAACAUUGAGUUCUGAUCAUCAUCAAAUUGCUGGUGGUAUUUGGUCAAUCUUCAACGCGAGGAUGGGGUAGUCACAAGGAAUUAACCUUGCUUUUGACCUACAUUCUCUGUUGUUAGGGUGGAUAACUUGGAUGAUCUUACAUUGCCCUUCACCAAAGAGGAGAUGGAUAGGUCUGUUAAGGAGAUGCCCACUAACAAGGCUCCAGGACCUGAUGGUUUUAAUGGUUUGUUCUUCAAGAAGUGUUGCCACAUCAUGUGUUGGGAUUUUUACACACUUGCUGAGGUUUUUCAUGCUAUGUCUGCUUUGUUGGAAAAUAUGAAUUGUUAACAAGGGACCCCGAGAGCAGGUUGGGGACUUUAGGCCAAUCUCAUUAACAAGGAUGUGUCUGAAAUUUCUGUCAAGAUGACAGCGAGUAAAUUCUAGCUACAAAUCAUGAAUUGCAUCCAUAAUAAUCAAUAUGGUUUUAUCAAAUCUAGAACAAUUCAAGAUUUUGUUGCUUGGACUCUAGAAUACCAGCAUCAGUGCCACGAGUCAAAAAGGCCCAUUGUCAUCAUCAAGCUGGAUUUUGAGAAAGCAUUUGAUUCCUUUGAGCAUGAGUUAAUCUUUCAAAUUUUAAAACACAUGGGUUUUAAUGAAAAAUGAAUCCUUUGGGUCAAGCAGCUACUAUCUUCAGGUUCCUCCUCAGUGUUACUCAAAGGAGUCCCUGGGAAAAAAAAUUGUGCAAAAAGGGUGUGAGGCAGGGUGAUCCUAUGUUACCCUUGCUUUUUUGCUAUUGCUUCAGAUUUUCUACAAACUCUAGUUAAAGAUAUGUUGAGCACGGGUAAGAUUGAGCUUCCAAUCCCUUGUAAUGACAAGGACUUCCCAAUUGUACAAUAUGUUGAUGACACCCUUAUUAUCAUGCCUGCUGUGGAGUCUCAACUUCUGGAAUUAAAAUCCAUGCUGCUAAAGCUCUCUCAGUCCACUCAGCUUCACAUCAAUUACCAUAAAUCUGCUAUGAUGUGAAUUAAUGUAAGCCAAGAUAAGUUGAAGAGACUGGUUACCUCUGUUGGAUGCAAAGCUGGUACCUUGUGUUUCACCUAUUUGGGUCUGCCUGUUGGCACAACCAAGCCAAGAAUUGUUGAUUUAAUGCGUGUAGUGGAUAAUAUGGAAAGGAGACUCUUUGCAAGCUCUUCAUUCCUGGCUCAAGGCGUUAGACAGCAAUAUCUGAAUUCGGCAUUGUCCUGAGUCCCAAUAUUUUUUCUAUAUAGAUUGGACAUACCCCUAGGUAUUCUCAAGCAAUUGGAGAGAAUUCAAAGGCAGUUCCAAAUGAGAACUAAUGGACAAGAUUAGGCUCCAACACUUGCUGCUUGGAAUUUGGUGUGCAGACGAAAAACAAAGGGCGGGCUUGGCAUCCUCAAUCUAGCUGUGCAAAAUGAUGCUUUGCUGCUCAAGCAUGCUGACAAGUUCUUUAAUAAGGCAGAUGUGCCAUGGGUUAAUCUAAUAUGGAACACAUAUUACCAUGACAGAGUGCCACAAGGUACAACCUUGUGUGGAUCUUUUGGUGGAAAGAUGUCUGCAAGAGGCUAGAUAGUUUCAGAGUUGUCACCUUCAAACAGCCAAACAAAGCAGACACUUUCCUUUUUUGUUCAGAUUCUUGGAUUGUGGGAAAUUCAAUAACACCCUUGGCACACAGGUUUUAGAGAUUGUUCUAUUUUGCAAUUGAUGGUUACUCCACAGUUGAGGAGGUUUUCCUCCUUUCUGAGGAAAAUGACAUGACCAACUUGUUCCGUUUUCCACUUUUUGAAAGAGAUUUUGAGGAGUUGAAAACUAUGCACAGCCUAACUCAGAAUUUGCACAGAGAUCAGUUUGUGAAUGAUGUCUGGUUAUUGAGUGAAGAUGGCAAAGGGUACUCAGCCAAAAAAAAUUACAUGCAUGUUCACAAACCAAUCUCUCCCAAUCCUUUGCUCAACUCGAUCUGGAAGAGUAGUUGUACCAUGAAGAUCAAGGUUUUUGCAUGGAUGCUGAUCAUGGACAGGUUGAAUACCCAAGACAUGCUGGAGACACGACACUGGAACGUUUUUGAGUCUAAUCUAUGUGUUCUAUGCCAUGCAAGGAUUAAAGAAGACAGGGAUCAUCUAUUCUUCACUUGCAUGUUCAACACCAGAGUGUGGAACUACCUAAAAUUAAUUAGCAGGGGGACUCAAUGUGGGAUAUUUCCUUAGGUGCAAGCAGGGAUUUUCAAAAACCUUUCUUCACUGAAGUGGUUUUCAGUGCUUUUGGAACUCUGGACUACAAGGAAUGGAAGAGUCUUCACCAAUGAGCGCCCUAGAUUCACCAAAUGGAAGGAAAACUUUGUACAUGGAAUCUCCUUACUAGCUCAUAGAAUUAAGGCUAGUUAAAGUGGGUUUCAUUCUUACCCCCUUGAGGUUAGUUCUGACAGUCUUUCUUUUUUCUAGUAGACUAGUCCUAUACAUUGUAAUCUACGUUAUGGAAUAAAAUAAAAGGUUGUGGGGUGUUUUGCCCUACAGUAGUCGGUCAAAAGACAUAUAACUUUGUCUUGAGUAGUGGUUGCAUGUUACCUUUGUGUGUCUUUGUUCCCUCUGCAAGGUCCUUCGUUGCCCUUCGCGCAUUCCAUGUGUCCCAGCCGGGGGGUCCCGUGGUGUAACGCCCUGUGUUUAGCUUUCCUAACUAAUUAACUUAUUUCAAAAAUUAGGACGAAUUAAAUUUUUUUUUUUAGAAUGCUUGAGAUGCUUGAAGUGACUAUUGUUUGCUUACUUGCUUAAAUGCUUGUGUUUGCUUCUCAGCAAUUUCUAUUACUCUCUAGACUCACCUCCUUAUCCCAUGUUCUCCUGCCUAAUGAUCAUGCCAUGUGUUUAGGACCAUAAACUAUUUCUACCAAAUAUUAUUUUCACCAAAAUGCAUUUCUUUGAUUUAAGUCUUCAAAACCCGUGAGGUGAGGUUUGUACUACAAGUCGUCAAAUUAGGGAAUUCAUUUUGCACCAAUUACUUUAUUUAAAACCUAUUAUGAAAAUGUCUUCCAAAAACCACAAUAUUAUUAUUUAAAAGUUAUUUUAUUAUUUUAUUUAAAUACCAUUCUGUGAAGCCAAAAAUGGACUCUUAUGAAGGAAAGUUAUUUUUAUUUCUUUCUAAAUAUUUGAGAAAAAUUAGGGACACUCAGUGGGUAUAUUUAUUCCAUAUAUAUGAGUUUCAACACAUGGUCAUGUUCAAAAUAUUGGGCAAACCCCUCCAAAACCCUUCCUGCCUAUUUCAAUCUUUUGGAGUAUUCCUAUGAGAAAUAUUCUCAAUAAAUUCCAGUAAAAUUUCAGCAUAUCACCUAUGAUAUAUUUGAUUAUAUUGCCAAGUUUCAUCUAAAUCCAAGUUGAUUUGAUUCCCCUAAUUAUUAUAAAACCCUAUCUGUUCAGAUCCAAUUUUGAGCAACUCCUCAUUGUCAAGUAUCUCCAAUUGUGCUCAAAUUUGGUGGACAUGUUCUGAUACUCCAAAAAUGCAUCCAGACCAAGUGGUGCAUCAAGGAGAAUAGAAGAACUUGUCCCAAGCCCAUCAAAACCUCUCUGUUGAUUUCCGACUUUGGAAAACUUUACAUUCUAAAGUUUCUCCAAUUGACACCAAACUUUUUGUGCAUGGCUUAAUUCUCAAAUAAUGCCCCACACCAAAUAUUGGAUUUGUGGGAAUUGAUUUGAAUGGAAUUGUAAGCAGAAAGCCUUUUCUGCCCAUUUCAUGGGUUUUCCAAGUCUACAUUGGAAACCUUCUCCACCAAAUCCCUAAUUUGGUGUCCAAGCUUAUUUUCAUCUAUUAUUAGAUCAUGUUAAGUUUCAUAUCCAUUGAAGUCCAUCUGAUGGCUCUUCCACUCAUCGAACACCUUGUGUGCAUUCACAUUAAUGGCUACUUUGGACCCUUCCACUUUAACCCUUGAGCUCAACUUUCUACCACAGCUUCACAUAGUUACAUUUUACCUCCAAUAACAUUUCCAUGGCCACUAGUCAAUUAAUGGAGAGAGGCUCCGUGUAACUACUCCUCAUUUUACCCUUGGAAUCACCAUCUUUACCCUCUUGCCUCACUUCUACCUAAGCCAAAGGCCCCACCUCUUUCGAGAGGGUCCCUAGCAACCCAAAGCAUUGUUUAAGGCCAAUAGAUGGCAUGCUCAUGUGGAUAAAAUGAGCAACACAUCCUCAAUUUGAAUUGUGGCUGAAAUAUAGCUUUGUACAAGAAGUACUAGCUACACUGCCUUGCUUGAGCUGAAACUUUGCAGGAAUGUAGUCCUUCCAUGCCUAAGACUGUUAGACAUGCUUUCCCCCCUUUAUCUCUGAGGAAAUUGCCUCCCCAUUAGCCCUAAGUUUGCUGAUGCAAACUUAACCUCAGUCAACAACCAUUCUAAUCAACUCCACUAGAGACCAAACUACUCACUCAUCUUCCAAAUAGCAUGCCCCACCUCCUAGACAACUUUGACUGGUCAUUAGGGCCCAGUAGGCACAGGUGGCCGUGGUGACCACCACCCGGGGGGGGGGGGUGACCUGCAAACUGGGUGCUCUACACCUUGUUUUCUCCUUCCAGACCUCAUCCGAUCAUUGCCACGUGUCUCAGCGCGCCAGGACGCUCCCCUUGACCGGUCCAAGCCCUCGCCAAUGCCAGGAUGCAGCCAAGGUGGCUCAGGCACGCGUGGCCGCCGUGCCCACACAGCACCAGGGAGCAUCCGGGAUAUUUCUCGUCUCCCCCUCCUUUUGAGACUUCCCCGAGCCCUUGCUGCCUCAUAUCUUAUUCCCUCCCUUCCUAGCAACCUCUCGAACCUCCCCACUCCCCCUCUCGAGCUCUCUGUCACUUCAAUGGCCGUUGAAUNCGCCACCAACGUGUCAGGCCAUCCCUUCUCUGUCGGGCAUGCGGGAGCACGCGAGGAGGAGGAAGUGCCUACCAGUGGGGCCGGCGACCCCACUGUUCAGUCUCUAGGACGUCGGCCGGGCCAUUGGCCAGGAUAAGUGAAGACAGUUCCCUCAUGUAAGCUUCCCCGCGCUAGAGGUGUAAUCCCCGAAGUACGCCUUCGGCGAGUCCUUCGCUAGCAGCCCGAGCUGCUGGGCCGGCCUGAAGGCCUAUCUAACGCCUUGGGCACAUGAUAGCUCCUAGAGUUGAAGCCUUUUUUGAUUUUCUCUUUUUGUAGAACUUCAAAAAUCCAUUCAAAAAUCAUUCUAACUCCAAAUUGUUUGAUUCAAACUCCUGCAGGUUCCUAAAAUUCAGGGCUAUCCAAAUAUGUGCCUUGCACAUUUUUCCAAGCAACCUUUCUAUGGUGUUAUUAUUUUAAUCCAAAUCUGAAUAUAUUUGGCCCCACUUUGUGAAAAUCCUAAAGGGUUCAAAGCAACUCCAAAUGGAGUGAUUCCAAUUUCUAGAGCCUUCUAAUAUCAUGCCCUAUUUUUAGAGCUUUGGUUAACAUUUUUAUCAGGCUUUAUUCUGUUAUAUUAAAUAAAUAGCUUCCUAUUGCUAUUUAUUCCAUUUCAACUCCAAAUCCAGUGAAACAACUUCCAAAAUAUUUCUAAAGUUGUUCUCUGUUAAAUGAGUGGCUCCACUCGUUUUUAUCGUAGUAUUUUGUGUGGGCUUCACAAAGAAUCCCCUACUCCUCCUUUCCUCCAUUCAGAAAUCCCUGACAAUCCAAACCUUCUAUGGCAAGCUUCAGGUAUUUUUCUUAUGACCAGAGAGGUACAAGAAAAAUAUAACGUUUAUUUAUGUAGCACUUUUGUUUCUGCCUGCUGUGUGGCUUACCGUGGUUGUUUCCGGCGAUAGUUGAUGGGUAGAAGGAGUACUCAGAGUUGGAGCGGAAGACCUCGAAGACCCCGAGGACUUAUGUGAGCAAAGGCAAGCAGCCCUUUGACCAUGACUGAGCAUAUGUUAUAUUGCAUGUUAAGAUAACAAGUAUUUCCGUUGCAUAUGAUCAUAAGUGCCGGUAAAUCACUAAGGUGAUGUUACCGAUGGCUCCUCCGGAACACAUGCAUUGAGCUUGAUCCUACCCCCUUUUGAGGAUCAUGCUAGUAUCAUGUUGACAAGUAAUGCUAGAAUAAAAAGAAUGAGCAUGUUGUUGGUAUAAUCAAAGAUUUAUGAAAACCCUGUCGGGUGCCACUAAUGCCCGAGGGUGAUGAUGAGUUAGGUGGUCACUUUUGGUGAAGUGGUGCACCGGGUAUUUUGAGUGAGUAUGGUUUCGGAAAUGGGAUUAGAUUUAUGAUGUGUCGGUCGUCCCAACCUUACCAGUACAACCACGUUACCCCUUAUGGGACGGGGCUAUGUUGAUUACUCUGGUCGGUGCUAGCAAAGAGCCACAUUACUAGUGGCGGGAGUGAUGUCUGGUCACUCUCGUGAAGGGAUCGUGCCAGGUAGGACGACUAUGCCAUUUUUAUGAGUUCCACGCACACCGUUGGUCCCCGCAUGGUUGAUACUGUCCAGAGUCGGUGCUCGUAAGACGUACAACAUGUGGGUUGUGUACCAAUCGAGUGGACCUCUUUGUCUAGUAUCGUCAGGGGAAAAGCAUUGAUCGGGUACUUACCUCGGGUAUGUUAUAUACCGCGAGUCGUGGAUUACACAGAAGUUUCCCGGAUCCCGUCGGUCCAGCGUACUACCUCUGCAGAGUGUAAAACUAUUCGAAUAGCCGUGUUCAUGGUCAAGGACAGUUGGGUAAUCCUGCUUAAACUACGUCCAGUCAUUUCCGCAUAAACCAAGUGUGAGGGUGUUGUGAUGAAAGGAUUUGUUAUGAAAGUAACGAUAUGACCAAGUUUUGUGACUUGGCAUAUAGGGUGAACCCAAAUGGUUCAGCCCGUGAUAGAUAUAUUGAUAUAUGUAACAUGUUCUUCAAAAGUUGUUCUUAACUUAUGAUGCGUACCUGUGAUCAUGUUUAUUUACCACCAAGAGAUAUCCACCAAAGAAGCAUGUUAUUGUUAUCCUUAACUUGCAUUGUUCAUAUCAUGGGUUGUUUGCUAGUACAAUCAAAAGUACUCAUUGGCUUGCCACUGGUUAUUUCAUUGACGAGGUAUAAAAGAACAUAAUAUGGUGAAGAGUAACUCGGUGACGUUCUUGCAAGCUAGGACGCUUCCGAGUCAGAAUGCCUAUAGGUUAAGGCUGAUGGCAUGGGUUCACGCUUUCAACAAAUAAUUCCGCUAUUGGUCAAGUUUGGUGUGUUGGCUCUCAAGGCCCUAUAUAUGUAUGACUUGACCUAUAAGGUCAUUUAUUGUAUCAAUUGGUAUGUAUGGAUGUAAGACUCUUAAUAUUCAGUAUCUGUGUGUUCGGUGAGCAUUGAUCUUUGGGAUCACUGAGCACGUUCACUCGGCGAUCUCGACUCGUAAGUUGGUGUCCCCACAGAGCUGUUAUCAGAGCCAUCCUGACUGUAGGAAGCCCUUAGUUAGCAUGGACGUUAGUUAUGAUAAAAACUAAUUUCCAGACCCUUCAAAAGUAUUUGCAAAACCUCUAUCUUUAUCACCUCUCGUAAACAUUUCCAAAGAAGCAAGGUUAUUGCCUUAACACUUUCAAAUGUAUUCUCUGACACUCCUCGUCUACAUCUUCAAACCUGCAAAUAGUCGCUAGCACCCUUAUGCCUGACCACGGGAUUACUAAAUCCUCUUGGGUAACUUGAGAGGAAGCAAUCCUUCCAAGCGACCAUACAUGUACUGAAGGACCAGGGUGACAAGCUACGACCAGACGACACCUAAAGAAGGACCUCCAUAAGGAACAAGGACAAAGAGACCCAGAAGAUGGCGACACCCUUGACACUGUUCCAGGGUAAUGCCACCUUCACUUACGAUAAUAAAGACAUAAUAUGUGCAAUACCAUGAUUGCAUCGCUAAUAGAGCGACCCUGCCAACAUUAAGGAUUAUGUCGGCCACCACCGGUGGAUGAGAACCUCGCCAUUUGGUCUGUCUCACCUUAGUGAGCAGGAAAACAGUUCUCUUCAUCCCCCGCUCUAGGUGUCGAUAUCGCGGCCAGUAUGACUCGCAGGUCGGAACUCUAUCAUGCCUUGCAAAUGUCAUUGCACGAAGUUGUCCACUUGUGACUCUCGAAGCCUCAGAAGACAAGAAGACCAUGACAAGAUCACAAAGACAAUAGAAGACUCUGUCAAUGAAAGCCAUGGAGAACCACCUUCGUCAGCGACUCCCCAGACAAGAAGACCUCAAGAGCUCUUUCCAACUCAACCGAGUUGCUUCGAUGAGAAACAACAAGAGACGUGGAAACACCAUGAGGAGGUCCAGAAGACUUAGCGAACUCCUCCUCGGAGCACGAAGCAAGCUCGACUGUCGAGUCCGAGAACCCCUAGAGUAGGAAGCGUCGUAAAUCCCCUAUGCUAAGUCGAUUCCGUGAAAUGGUUCGGAUGGACCAUAUUGUGUGUUGUUGUUUUUGUUGUUUGUGCUAUGCUGUAAGUCACACUUUUGCUUAAGAAACAAGCAUGCGGUUAUAUCACCUAUCUUAUUUUGAUGUUCGAAAUGAUUUGGCACUUGUGGAGUUGACUUUCCAACACUUGUUUGAUUGCACUAAAACCCUUAGACACUUCACUCUAUGCUACUCCCUCUCCUUCACCCUCUCGACAACUGAAGUCAGCAAGACAAGAUGGACCAAGGAUCCACUUCGAAGGACGACUGACACUAAAGACACUGGCUGUGCUAUGCUAAACCACAUGCAACCCAUAGUAAUUAUGCUUUUCCCUCAAGAUUGGAAAACCACACUAGACCAGACUAACUUCCACAAGCCUUUCUGGAUCAAAUUUUCUGGUCACAUGUCUAGUACACUGAUUUGCCAGAACACCUGUAGAUCCCCGAUAAACCCCGCGUGGCACCGGGUUCCUUGUGGGACGAGUGAUCACAGUGAACAAGUAUCCUUGCUUCUUAAGCUAGCACAUAACCCUCAUGCUAUAAGUAGGACCGUUCUCUGAUAUAAGAGUAUUAGACUAAGGAUUGUUGUGAUGAUGGUAGUUGUCUUGAAGAUAUAGCUAGAUUAUCUUGGUGGAUCAUAAGACCCUCAUAAAGUAGGUGAAUUUGGUGGAACAAGUUGAUAUAGUAGCAUAACCUACAUAUUCCUGGAGUACGUUUGGAUUCAGUAGGACGAUUUUGAUCGCGAACAAUAAUUCGUGGUGGUAUAAUUCACUUUAUCAAGUAACUAACAUGGUUUGAUGAUUUUACCAUAAUGACUUGGAGUAUCGAGCAAGAGUUCUUAUUGGACUUGAGUUGGGAUUAAAUAGGUAGUUCCAUUAGACUAUUAAUGAUAUACGAGGCCACAUGGUUUGGAGUAAAUUGGAUUUAGCCUGAUGAUCUUAAUCAUGAUACCAUGUUUCUCGGUGGAUAACAGGUGCGUACGCUUGGAGUUGUCGAAUUGGUUUUCGAGCCUAUGUGAACUGGCCUGGGAGAUUAGAUGGCCAUGAUAUUGAAGUUGGUGGUUAUACUAUAACGUAAUCCUUGCAAUAACAUGCGAAUUAUGAGGACUCUAAGAGAUUAUGUAGAGCCCAUAAAUUUUGGAUUUGUAGGAGUGAUGGGUCCAGUCAUGAUUGAUCAGAUUGAUGAAUCACUUGAUCGGAUUCGUAGAAAGGAAACAAGAUAUUGGAUUGGUAUACUAUGUGUUUCCUUAAUCUAGUAAUGCAUUACCCUGUCCACUGAAUGAUCUAGCCGGACAUUUGGAUUUGUGAUGUCUUAAAUUCAAUCUUAGGAGUUUGUAUGCCUCCCUGAGGUUCUUGCAUAGUAAUACAUGUGCAUUGUAGCUACACCGUACUUGUAGUGUUUGGGUUUAGUUCUUCCCUCAACCCCGGAGUUGACUAGCAUGAGCAGUGUGGAGUUGACCCAUGUGAGAUGGUAUCUUUGAUGAAAUAGGGUGAUGUCGUCCCGAGUUAGAGGUCGAACUAUUGGCAUAUAAGGAAUGUGCUUAGAGAUAAGAUGAUAACUGUUUGCCCACAUCCUAAGUUCCUUGAGACCCUAAAAGCUUCACCCAUCGCGUCUAUGACGAGCAUUGGCAUGAAGGACUAGGUCGUGUUGGACCACAACGAGGAAGAAGCAGAAGACGUCAACCGACAACAACAACGAUGUCAAGAAGCCUAGACGAUUCAAGACGAUGAAGCCCUUGGACAUCGAGAGAAAUCAGAGGGCCUCUCCUUGGUCCAAAUCAAGGACGAGAGUACUAGUUGGGUCGUUGUGAAAACCUGCCAAAGGUGAUUCACCUGCUCGCCGAGCCGCAGACCUUCGGAGUGGGCGACUGGUCUAUACUCUUUGGUAGCCAGCUCAUCCAGAACCCCUCGCAAACCCUCCGAGAUGGCAGGACCUGUUCUGGACUCUGAGUCUCCGAGCUUAGACUCAUUGGUGAGACCCAACCCGGACCCUUUCGCGAGAAGCCUUCGAAGACAGCUGCAACACCCUCAAGGAUGAAGAUCACCUACGACCAUAGCUCGUCUGCCUUAAGGGAGUCAAUGACUUCCUCAAGAGCAGGGAUCCAUGCGAAGGCCUUGACCCUUAUGUUCUAACGCGAGACAUCUAGAUGUCACUAACCGGCAUGAGAAGCCCCGGGACCAGAACCCAGGCACACUAUCUUGCCACGUAACCUGACUUUGGAGUGCACUUGCAAGCGAGAACCUUGCAUGGAAUUAGCUCACCAAGCCCUUGACAUCAGUCAAGCGUAACUUAUUGCCAGACCCCGCUCACGAUCAGGAAAGGUCGUGCACAACAUCUGAAGUUGUAUCAUUAAGCACCUCAAGACCAGAACAACAACAUGGGGACAUUAAGACUGCCUCCAACUCAAGAUUUUGUAUCUCUCCAAACCCUAGCCUAGAAAUCUUGGGGACGAGAUUUUCUUAAGGGGGUGAGGUCUGUAACACCCUCUGUUUAGCUUUCUUGACUAAUUAACUUAUUUGAAAAAUUAGGACCAAUUAAUGUUUUUUGAGAAUGCUUGAGAUGCUUGAAGUGACUAUUGUGUUCUUACUUGCUUGAAUGCUUGUGUUUGCUUCUCAACAAUUUCUAUUACUCUCCAGAGUCACCUCCUUAUCCCAUGUUCUCCUGCCUAACGAUCAUGCCAUGUGUUUAGGACCAUAAACUAUUUCUACCAAAUAUUAUUUUCACCAAAAUCCAUUUCUUUGAUUUAAGGCUUCAAAACCCCUGAGGUGAGGUUUGUGCUAAAAGUCCUCAAAUUAGGGAAUUCCUUUUGCACCAAUUAUUUUAUUUAAAACCUAUUAUCAAAAUGUCUUCCAAAAAUCACAAUAUUAUUAUUUNAUAUUAUUAUUUAAAAGUUAUUUUAUUAUUUUAUUUAAAUGCCUUUCUGUGAAGCUAGAAAUGGUCUCUUAUGAAGGAAAGUUAUUUUUAUUGCUUUCUAAAUAUUUGUGAAAAUUUAGGGAAACUCACUGGGUAUAUUUAUUCCAUAUCUAUGAGUUUCAACACAUUGUCAUGUUCAAAAUAUUGGGCAAACCCCUCCAAAACCCUUCGUGCCUAUUUCAAUCUUUUGGAGUAUUCCUAUAAGAAAUAUUCUCAAUAAAUUCCAGUAAAAUUUAAGCAUAUCACCUACGAUAUGUUUCAUGAUCUUGUCAAGUUUCAUCUCAAUCCAAGUUGAUUUGACUCCCCUAAUUAUUCUAAAACCAUAUCUGUUCAGAUCCAAAUUUGAGCAACUCCUCAUUUUCAAGUAUCCCCAAUUGUGCUCAAAUUUGGUAGACAUGUUUUGAUACUCCAAUAAUGCAUCCACACCAAGUGGUGCAUCAAGGAGAAUAGAAGAACUUGUCCCGAGCCCAUCAAAACCUCUGUGUUGAUUUCUGACUUUGGAAAACAUUACAUUAUAAAGUUUCUGCAAUUGAACCCAAACUUUUUGUGCAUGCCUUAAUUGUCAAAUAAUGCCCCACACCAAAUAUUGGAUUUGUGGGAAUUGAUUUGAAUGGAAUUGUAAGCAGAAAGCCUUUUCUGCCCAUUUCAUGGGUUUUCCAAGUCUACAUUGGAAACCUUCUCCACCAAAUCCCAAAUUUGGUGUCCAAGCUUAUUCUCAUCUAUUAUUAGAUCCUGUUAAGUUUCAUACCAAUUGAAGUCCAUUUGAUGGUUGUCCCACUCAUCAAACACCUUGUGUGCGUUCACUUUAAUGGCUAAUUUGGCCCCUUCCACUUUAACCCUUGAGCUCAACUUUCUACCACAGCUUCACAUAGUUACAUUUUACCUCCAAUAACAUUUCCAUGGCCACUGGUCAAUUAAUAGAGAGAGGCUCCAUGUAACUACUCCUCAUUUUACCCUUGGAAUCACCAUCUUUACCCUCUUGCCUCACUUCUGCCUAAGCCAAAGGCCCCACCUCGUUCCAGAGGGUCCCUAGCAACCCAAAGCAUUUUUUAAAGCCAAUAGAUGGCAUCCUCAUGUGGAGAAAAUGAGCAGCACAUCCUCAAGUUUAAUUGUGGCUGAAAUAUAGCUUUGUAUAGCAAGUACUAGCUACACUUCCUUGCUUGAGCUGAAACUUUGCAGGAAUGUAGUCCUUCCAUGCCUAAGACUGCUAGACAUGCUUUUUCCCCUUUAUCUCUCAGGUAAUUGCCUCCCCAUUAGCCCUAAGUUUGCUGCUACAAACUUAACCUCAGUCAACAACCAUUCUAAUCAACUCCAGUAGAGACCAAACUCCUCACACAUCUUCCAGAUAGAAUGCCCCACCUCCCAGACAACUUUGACUGGUCAUUAGGGCCCAGUAGGCACAGGUGGCCGUGGUGACCACCACCCUGACCUGCAAACCGGGUGCUCUGCACCUUGUUUUCUCCCUCCAGACCUCAUCCGACCGUUGCCGUGUGUCUCAGCGCGCCAGGAUGCUCCCCUUGUCCGGUCCAAGCCCUCCCCGACGCCAGGAUGCAGCCAAGGUGGCUCAGGCCCACAGAGCACCAGGGAGCAUCCGGGAUAUUUCUCAUCUAUCCCCUCCUUUUGAGCCUUCCCUAAGCCCUUGCUGCCUCACAUCUUAUUCCCACUCUUCCUAGCAAUCUCCCGAACCUCCCCAAUCCCCAUCUCGAGCUCUCCUUCACUUCAAUGGCCGUUGAAUGCCGCCUCGGCCUCACCAAAGUUCCGGCUCUCCUGAGCCCCUUCCCUCUGUUCGGCAACCCUGUGGUGUCCCCCUCGUUCCCCCGAAGACCCCCUCCACCUAGANCCCACUGGUCAGUCUCUAGGACGUUGGCCGGGCCCAUUGGCCAGGAUAAGUGGAGACGGUUCCCUCGUGUACGCUUCCCCGCGCCAGAGGCGCAAUCCCCGAAGUACGCCUUCGGCGAUUCAUUUCGCUAGCAGCCCGAGCUGCUGGGCCGGCCUGAAGGCCUAUCUAACGCCCUAGGUGCAAGAUAGCUGCUGAAGUUGAAGCCUUUUCUGAUUUUCUCUUUUUGUAGAACUUCAAAAAUCCAUCCAGAAAUCAUUCUAACUCCAAAUUGUUUGAUUCAAACUCCUGCAGGUUCCUAAAAUUCAGGGCUAUCCAAAUAUGUGCCUUGCACGGUUUUCCAAGCAACCUUUCUGUGGUGUUAUUAUUUUAAUCCAAAUAUGAAUAUAUUUGGCCCUACUUUGUGAAAAUCCUAAAGGGUUCAAAUCAACUCCAAAUGGAGUGAUUCCAAUUUCUAUAGCCCUAUUUUUAGAGCCUUGGUUAACAUUUUUAUCAGGCUUCAUUCUGUUGUAUUAAAUAAAUAGCUUCCUAUUGCUAUUUAUUUCAUAUUAGAAAAUUCCUAGAAUAUUUAUUUCAACUCCAAAUCCAGUGAAACAACUUCCAAAAUAUUUCUAUAGUUGUUCUGUGUUAAAUGAGUGCCUCCACUCAUUUUUAUCAUAGUAUUUUCUUUGGGCUUCACAUAGAAUCCCCUACUCCUCCUUUCCUCCAUUCAGAAAUCCCUGAUGGUCCAAACCUUCUAUGGCAAGCUUCAGGUAUUUUUCUUAUGACCAGAGAGGGGGGGGGGGGCUUCUAUUUAUGUAGCACUUUUGUUUCUUCCUGUUGUGUGGCUUACCGUUGUUGUUUCCGGCGAUAGUUGACGGGUAGACGGAGUACUCAGAGUUGGAGCGGAAGACCUCGAAGACCCCGAGGACUUAUGUGAGCAAAGGCAAGCAUCCCUUUGACCAUGACUGAGCAUAUGUUAUAUUACAUGGUAAGAUCAAGUAUUUCCAUUGCAUAUGAUCAUAAGUGCCGGUAAAUCACAAAGGUGAUGUUACUGAUGGCUCCUCCGGAGCACAUGCAUUGAGCUUGGUCCUACCCCCUUUUGUGGAUCAUGCUAGUAUCAUGUUGACAAGUAAUUCUAGAAUAAAAAGCAAGAGCAUGUUGUUGGUAUAAUCAAAGAUUUAUGAAAACCCCAUCGAGUGCCACUAAUGCCCGAGGGUGAUGAUGAAUUAGGUGGCAACUUUUGGUGAAGUGGUGCAUCGGGUAUUUUGAGUGAGUAUGGUUUCGGAAAUGGGAUUACAUUUAUGAUGUGUCGACCGUCCCAACCUUACCAGUACGACUACGUUACCCCUUAUGGGACGCGACUAUGUUGAUUACUCUGGUCGGUGCUAGCAAAGAGCCACAUUAUUAGUGGCGGGAGUGAUGUGUGGUCACUCUCAUCAUGGGGUCGUGCCAGGUAGGACGACUAUGCCAUUUUUAUGAGUUCCAGGCACACCGUUGGUCCCCGAAUGGUUGAUAGUGUCCAGAGUCGAUGCUCGUAAGACGUACAACAUGGCGGCUGGGUACCAAUCAAGUGGACCUCUUUGUCUAGUAUCGUGAGGGGAAAAACAUUGAUCGGGUACUUACCUCGGGCAUGUUAUAUACCUCAAGUUGUGGAUGACACGGAAGUAUCCCGGAUCUCGUGGGUCCAUCGUACUACCUCUGCAGAGUGUAAAACUAUUCGAAUAGCCGUGUCCACGGUCAAGGACAGUUGGGUAAUCUUGCAUAAACUACGUCCAACGUUUCCGCGUAAACGAAGUGUGAGUGUGUUGUGAUGAAAGGAGUUAUUAUGAAAGUAACGAUAUGACCAAGUUUGGUGACUUGGCAUAUAGGGUGAACCCGGAUGGUUCAGCCCAUGGCGGAUAUAUUGAUAUCUGUAACCUGUUCUUCAAAAGUAGUUCUUAACUUAUGAUGCAUACCUGUGAUCAUGUUUAUUUACCACCAAGAGAUAUCCACCAAAGAAGCAUGUUAUUGUUAUCCCUCACAUGCAUUAUUCAUAUCAUGGGCUAUUUGUGAGUACAAUCAAAUGUACUCAUUGGCUUGCCACUGGUUAUUUCAUUGACCAGGUAUGAAAGAACAGGAUAUGGUGAAGACUAACUCGGUGACGUUCUUGCAAGCUAGGACGCUUUCCAGUCAGAAUGCCUGUAGGUUAAGGGUGAUGGCAUGGGUUCACGCUUUCGACCAAUAAUUCCACUAUUGGUCCAGUUUGGUGUGUUGGCCCUCAAGUCCCUAUAUAUGUAAGACUUGACUGAUAAGGUCAUUUAUUGUAUCAAUCGGUAUGUAUGGAAGUAAGACUCUUAAUAUUUAGUAUAUGUGUGUUCGGUGAGCAUUGAUCUCUGGGAUCACUCAGCAUGUUCACUCGGCGAUCUCGACUUGUAAGUCGGGGUCCCCAGACGUGGUGUGUGGAUUUUGAGGCCUUCAUCCCUGACGACCGACGAGGCCUCGGGGGAAAUCCCCGAGCGCUUGUGAGUGUUUGCCCUUGCCUAGCCAGGUUGUUGCCUUGCGCUUCCUUGGCCGUCCUUCCCACGAGUCCUUCAGGGCAUCUUCCCACUGCAGCCCCGCGGCGGCGUCUUGAAGCCCUUGAUGACGGUUGCUGGUGAGAGCCUCGUGAGGCUGGUAUCUUCGCGAGGGCCUUGCCCAUGCACCAUGGCAACGGGCCCAUGCCAAGCCUUUGCGUACGCCUCGAGGCCACAAGCCCGCACCCCUGGAUUCUCUCGGCCCUCAUGCCCAACAGCACAACCCAUGGACGUGCAUUGGGUGCGCUUCAUCCGAUGGCGGAAUUGGGAGCGGCGCGGGCCCUCCAUGCUGAAGAACCAAGCGUGACAUAUGGAGCGCGGCAGGCGCUAAGCGCUACCGUUUCCCAUGUCGCCUCGAUACCUGUCCUGCGCUGACAUAGAGCCUACGCGCGGCACAGGCCCAUCAUUGCCCCUAUUAACCUUCCGCCUAUGGAAUGUAGGUGCGGCGGCGUAGACCAAAUUCUCGCUCGAAGGAUCCAUAUAAGGUCAAGAGGGAGGGAUCUCGUACCCCUACCUCCUCGCCCUUCCUCUUCAUCCCCGCUCAUCGUCGCCGCGGUGAUGGCGCCAGCGAAGGUAUCCUCCGACGUCAAGAAGGAGACAUCAACGAAGAGGAAGGGUCCGCCCUCGCGCAUCCGUUGCCCCACUCGAGGCACCUCUCAGAUUACGCGGAUGACCUCUGCCAGCGGGCCAUGGCAGCCUGAGCACCCGCAGGAGGGAUUCCGCUCGCGGGGACGACGGACGGGGCGACCGCAAACGUGCCAGCAGGGCGGCGCAGGCACCUGCCCCCUAGGUUGUGAAGUCACACUGCCGACGUGGCCUGCGAGUUCAUCGUAUGGAUGGAAGACAUGGCUCGCACUUGGCUUCGGCUCUCGGACUUUUUCACGGAGGAGAUGAGGGAGCUUGCACCCCCAGGCCUCUAGCUGCAGUGAGACGGCUGCUGCAACAGGCCCACCUGGGUGGCGACAGAGUUCAACUCCCUCGGCUUCAUGUUUUUGGGGCGCAGAUGGAAAUUGUUUGCCCUCGCCCAUGUCUUGUAGGACGGGCACAUCCUCCACUUCAAGUUUGACGGGGCCGCCAUGCUCUCCAUGAAGGUCUUCGGAAGCGCUGACGAUUGCCUGGACUACUACAUGGAAUGUGGCUGUGGCGACAGCAGUAGCCCUGCCGGCACCGGCGACAUCUCCUCCUUUAUCGGGAGUGGGGGCAACUGCAACUCUGGUAGUCCCCGGGAGCCCACGUCAAGGAGGAGGAGGGCUCCGACUAAGCGUGCACGACGCCGACAUCGAGGUCCCCGACAACGGUGCUUCAAGGUCCCUAUCUUAUUUCUUUCAUCGUCAUCCCUUUCCUGUAACGCAACAUGCUGGCCUAAUGGGGCAUGUAAGAGGGGUUACGUCCUUCAUACUUCAAAUCCAAUUUUAUUUUUGAUCGAAAAUAAACUUCUCCUCGGCACUCUUCGCCAAGCUUGGACCGUGUAGAAGGUCAUCCCGAUGCUUUGGGUUGUUGAGGCCCAUCCCUCGAGCAUGGGUAUGAAAUAUCUUCAAACGGCCCCUCAGGGGUUCGUCUUCCUCACGCAGGCGGCUGAUGCGAGGGGCUGUUGCUUGUGGCGCUCGCCUCGCGAGGACCCUCAAGGGGAGUCCCGCGAGGGGCUGUAGCGACCGGUUUUUCAGAAAUACAAUUUCCAGAAAACAGGCCCUUGAGUUGAUCAGCCCCCAGGGCUACUGUUAGCUGGUGAACACUAACUUUAUCCAGAUAUUCCAAGCAAAUAAAAAUUUAGGUACAAGACCAUGAAGAUCUAUGAGGGGAGGUUGGACAAAAAGGUCUAGAGGCUGACGGCGUUAGCGACUCAUGGAAUCCCGAGUGCUCGUGGGCUCCAUUUCCGCACGAACAACUGACCUGGAUAAUUUCUAUUUCACAAGGCUGCUGUCCUUGACUCUCAAGUUCUGGGGUUGCUAUCAUCGUGCUCCUCUCCAAAUAUGCGAUUUGGCGAAGACAAUAGCCAGGGACAAGCUUGUGAGUACUUUGAAUGUACUCGCAAACAUCUAGAAUACAUAUAACUAAAAGAAGGUGGGAUGUAUGCACACAAAUUUUAAUACCACCUGAUAUGCCACAAGAUUAAAUUCAUGGGUGCAGUUAUGCACUUAAAUCAUUUGUACAAAUGACGUAUAAGCAUGCAAGGAAAAGGGGAAAUAGUUAAUUUAGAGGUGUCGAACGGGUGUGUUAGGAGACACCUCGUGAGGACGCGCACUAUAAGCAAAUAUGCGAUUUGGCGAAGACAAUAGCCAGGGACAAGCUUGUGAGUACUUUGAAUGUACUCGCAAACAUCUAGAAUACAUAUAACUAAAAGAAGGUGGGAUGUAUGCACACAAAUUUUAAUACCACCUGAUAUGCCACAAGAUUAAAUUCAUGGGUGCAGUUAUGCACUUAAAUCAUUUGUACAAAUGACGUAUAAGCAUGCAAGGAAAAGGGGAAAUAGUUAAUUUAGAGGUGUCGAACGGGUGUGUUAGGAGACACCUCGUGAUGACGCGCACUAUAAGCCACAAUCGAGCGUUUGGGCGACACUUCAUAGAGGGCUUACAAUGGGAUAAUGAAAGGUGUACCGUAGUUGGCCAUUUGGGGCAAGGGCACAAAAAUGGCUUAUAACAUAUAAUAAUGAUGAAAUGCGUACUAACAUGCGUGCCACAAUCGGGCGUCUAAGCGACACCAGAUAAAGGGCUUAUAUGAAAGUACUAACAGUUUCCACAGUCGGGCGUCUACGCAACACCAUGGAAAGGGCUUUGAUGAAAGAACAGACGGUUGCCACAAUCGGGCGUCUAAGCGACACCACAAAAAAGGGCUUAUAUGAAAGUACUAACAGUUGCCACAGUUGUGCGUCUAAGAGACACAACAUAAAGGGCUUACAUGAAAAUAAUAACAUUGAGUAUCUGGGAGGUAGAACUAUCCCAAGGAUACACAAUAAUUCAUAUACCAGAAGUAAUUAGUCCGAAACAAAAUUCAUAAUAAUUAUGGUUCUCAUCCCGGUUCAUGAUCAUCAUCAUGUUUCAAUUUAUUCCUCCGAAGACUGACACUUAGACCGAGACUUGACCUGUCAACCUAUCGUCUUUAACCGUUGAUGCAGCUACUCGAAUAGUUUUUUACACUACAAAGGAUGUACUCUUUACCCACAACCAACGGGUUUCAAUAGUCACUAGGACUAAUCCUCUGUACCGUAUUUUAGAAGUAACCACUCAAAUCCUGCACACACCCAUUUUUACCCAGCGAGGUCCGGAAUCACCCAGACUAUGCUUCCAGGGAAAAACAAUAAGACGGGGAGGCCAGCAACCUCGAAUAGCAUGGGAUCAAAUUUAUACGGCAUGCUCCAAGGUGAGGGCCCUACCCUCUUUGUCCUACAUCAGAAACACCCAUGCCCCCUGAUCGGAUGACUGGCAUUAUUCCAGGGCCAUGGAACCUUCAUUCUGCCCCUACUUGGUGUGCACAUGGUAAUAGGAUUACGACCUACUAAGUCAUAUUAACUUUCAGGAAGACCUGUGGCAGCACAAAAAGUAAGGUGACGCACUAACAAAAGUGGAUCUACAGUCGACUCAGAAGGUUUAAGUUUUCCUGCGAGGGUUAACAACACACAAUUUUUUGAAUGAUAUAACAUAGUGUUAGCACCAUCACACCUCGAUAUCCCCUCACUGAUCACUCUUGUCACAAUGAGAUGUCAGUUCCAUGGUCACAUAUUUAGCACGGCAAACCUUACUCCAAGGUUGUCCAGACCAGCAUGGCAUACGUGGCAUGAGGUAGUACCCACUCACCAUCUGCAUCACAUACUCAAUAGCAAGAAAAUAUCCAUCACAUCCAUUUAUGCAAAGCAUGAUUCUGUGUGGGAGCUCUUAUCAAAGUAACGCAGUCGUGCAUCCAUACAUCGGAACAAGCAAUCACACAAAUUAAGGCAAAAUCAGAGUUCAAGAUCUUACCCUGGGAAUGAAGAAGGGUGGUGUGCAACCCAAAAAUCUUGAAGGAGUUAUCAUCGCCCUAAUUUGCUACUUUGAAAAUAUUCAAUUUAACACACAAUUCUAAAACAGCACAUAAAAGUUGUUUGAUCUUUUGAAAUAUAUAUGAAAAUAAACUAGGUGGAGUUAGGGAAAAAAUAGAAAAAGAAUCAACUCAUUUGGAGUUGUGUUUUAAAAGUUAUGAGCAGUAUAAGCUCUAAUCAAAAUCUGGUUUUAAAAUAAAGUAUAAAAGAAAACAUUUCAGUAGGAAAUACACUUUCGAAAUAGAGAGAUGCACUUCGGGGCAUGGCUUUCCUGAAGAGAAAAUGCACCAAGGGUUUCUGCGCCAGCAGGGCUGGGGCUGGCUCAUCGAUAGGUGGAACCCACCUAUGGUGUUCGUCUCCCUCCUCUCAUGUGCACGACAGGGCUGAUGUUGACGGUGAUUGCCGGUGCUAGGGGCAGCAUUUCUAGGGCGGGGCACACCAGCGUACUCUGGGGAAGGGGCUAGUUUUCUAGAGGGUGCAGGGGUUGCCGGAGAGCUCGGGAGUGAGCACCACUUCAACCAUGGUGGUCGGAUGGUUUCGGCGAUCAUAGCUCCGCCUGUGGAUUGCCGCCCAUGGAAAUGGGCAUGGGGAUGGGUUCUAGGGUCGAGGGCAAAGUUACAGGGGCUAGGGUGGGUUGGUUGAGGCUCGGGUUCGCCGGAAUUCAACCGUACGUUGGCGGCGGUGAAACAGCCGGUGGCGAGCACGGUGGAUGGCUCCGACCAAAUUGGAGCAAGGGGGAGAUGGCAAUGGGUCUAGGGGGUCACUGGGUUGCUUUGGGUGCACGGGUCCUCCUUUUAUAGCCACACAGUGGCAGUUCUGCGCCGGCCCAAGGAUAAGAUCACGGGCGACCAAUUCUGGCGAUGACACGGGAGGUAGGGCUAGUCUGGCGGGGCUGAGAGUUAGUAGACUGAUGUAGUAGUGGUCCAUGGGGUUAGCUGGCAUGUGGGGAAGGCUUGGGAAGUGUUGGCCACUGCAUCGGCAGAAGCGGACGCCGACUAACCAUGAGGGUUGUUGUGGCAGCUGUUAGCCACUGCAACGGUAGAAGCGGACGCCGGAUUGUCGCGAGGGUUGCCGUGGUUGCUGCUUUGAGCAUCCAAACUGCGGUGAAGCUCUAACGGGGUCACAAUUGGGCUGGCUAACGGGAAGGUUGGGGCGGGCCUCAAGGAUCCAUUAGGUCUUCCAAAUAAUACAAACUGGUUGCUGGAGGUGGUGGCAACUCCACAUCUUACCGAGGUUCAUUGAGCAACUGACGUGCGGUUGACAACUAGAUCAAAGGUGAUUUGAUCGAUCAGUGCCUCUUGCGCUCUCAAAUCGCGCACAACCGGUACUAAAGCAGGGCCUUCCUCAAGGUCUUCACUGGCAACUUGGGUCGGGCUACCAUAGCCUUCACGACUAGGAUAGUAGCAGAACAGUCGGCUAUUCAUCCACGGUGACAAAUGUCGCAGAUGGACUAUAGCUUCUCGGGCUGCAAGCUGACAGGCUUGGGGUUCAUUGCCGGCUGCUCUACUAGUAAAAUGGCAAGGGCAUUCAAGUGAGGAACUCCCGCCAUAGAUGUGCAUCAUGGACCAAAAGCUGACGGAUAGCAUCUCGAGGCUCAUCAUGGACCAAAAACAUGGCGGUUUGAGGUUGGCAAGGAUGACUACAAAGUCUCCAUGCUCGGAUGCAGUGGUCUUGUUGAAAACAACUCGGCCAAGCAUCUUGUUCAUCUAGGGUUAUUGGGGUGAGUUCAAGGUCGUGGUUUGCUAGGUUGAGUCAAGGCUCUCGUUUAUAAGCUAAGGAGUUUUCCAUCGCAUGCUAGGGGAUGCGACAACUCCAGUGUCGGUCAUAGAUACACAACUUCCGGGCUGGGCUGACAGGUUGGGCACCGACUCUAAAAAGGUGUCAUAUGGCCACUGUGGUUGGCUGUUGCGUAGGCUAGGCUGGCUUGUGGAUGCAUAAAUACCCGGUCUAGGGAUGGCGACCUAGCUAAGAUAGGUUUAGCCAAUGGUCAGCCUGGCUCUAAUACCAAUGUUCUAGCGACCGGUUUUUUGGAAAAACAAUUUUCAGAAAAUAGGCCCUUGAGUUCAUCAGCCCCAGGACUACUCUUAGCUGGUGAACACUCACUUUAUACUGAUAUACGAAGCAAAUACAGAAUUUGGGUACAAGACCAUGAAGGUCUAUGAGGGGAGGUUGGACAAAAAUGUCUAGAGACUGACGGCGGAAGCGACUCGUGGAAUCUCCAGUGUUCAUGGGCUCCGUUGCCACAAGAACAGUUGACCUGGAUACUUCCUAUCUCACAUGGAUACUAUCCUCAACUCUCAGGUUCCGAGGUUACUAUCAUCGUGCUCCUCUCCAGAUAUGCGAUCUGGACAAGACAAUAGCCAAGGACAAGUUAGUGAGUACUUUGAAUGUACUCGCAAACAUCAACAAGACACAUAAGUAAAAGCAGGUGAGAUGCAUGCACACACAUUUUAAUACCACCUGAUAUGCCACAAGAUUAAAUUCGUGGGUUCAGUUAUGUAGUUAAAUAAUUUCUACUCAUGACGUAUAAUAAAGCCCCCCCCCCCCCAUAGCUAAUUUAAAGGUGUCAAACGGGCGUCGAAGGCAACACCUCGUAAGCACACACAUUAUAAGCCACAAUCGAGCAUCUGGGCGAGACCGCAUAGAGGGCUUACAAUGAGAUAAUGACAUGUGUGUGGUAGUUGGGCAAUUGGGACGACUCCACAAAAAGGGCUUAUGACAUAUAAUAAUGAUGAACAUAAUUACAUGCAUGUUACAAUCGGGCAUCUAAGAGACAGCACAUAAAGAGCUUAUAUAAAAGUACUAGCAGUUUCCACACUCGGGCGUCUACGUAAUACCAUGGAAAGAGUUUUAUUGGAAGUACUAACAAUUGCCAUAGUCGAGCGUUGUUCGGGCUGGGCACACCAACGUGAUCAAGGGGAAGGGGUUCGUCUUCUAGAGGGUGUUGGGGUUGCUGGAGAGCUCGGGACUGAGCACGACUUCAACCAGGCGGAUGGAUGCCUUCGGCAAUCAUAGCUCCACCUGCGGCUUGCCACCUAUGGAAAUGGGCAUGGGGAUGGGUUGUAGUGUCGUGGGCAAACAUACCGGGGCUAUGGUCGGUUGGUUCAGUCUAGGGUUCGUCGGAAUUCGGCCGGACAUUGGCGGCGGUGAAACUGCCGGAGGCGAGCAAGGAAGGUGGCUCCGACCAAAUUGGAGCUAGGGGGAGAUGGCUGCAGGUCUAGGGUGUUGGUGGGUUACUGGGUGUUCUCGGGGCCUCCCUUUAUAGCCAGGCAGUGGUGGUUCCGUUGCGGCCCGAGGAUAAGAUCGCCGACGCAAAUUCUGGCGAUGGCCGGGGAGGUAGGGCUAGUUUGGUGGGGUUUGGAGUUACCAGACUGAUGCAACAGUGGUCCAGGGGGUUAGCUCGCGCAUGGGGAAGGCUUGGGGGAUGCUGGCCACUCUUGCGUUAGAAGCAGAAGCCGGCUAGCCACCAGGGUUGCGGUGGCUGAUGCUCUGAGCGGUACAGGGUAGUGGCGACACGCGGUCAGCCUGGCAUGCAACAUGUGUGCACUACAGGCGGCCACAUGGGCGGGGGCAGGUGGACGCAGCAACUCGGGGGCAGUGCAUGCAGAACUUGCGCUCUAGCCACACACAGAGCAUGCGCGACACCUAUUCAACAAAAUGCCAGACCCACCUAAGGGAAUUUUCUAACAAUGAAAAUUGGGGGGCUAAGGUUGCUUUAGAUGCUAAAGAUAGUGGUGAGGUUAGUUUGGCAAAAACAAAAACUUGCUAAUGCAAAUUUUGGAGAAAAACAAAUCUGGUCAGAAAAUGUAGGCUGUUAUUCCAUGCACUUAAAAUAAUUCAAUGGAGCUCAACUUCUAGACUUAAGGGUUUGGUAGGGGGAUAUAUAAGUUGAAAAAAUUUAGGGCCAUGUGAGCAAGAUAAAAUAGGGCUGUUGUUCAAAAUGCGAAUCCGGUCAAUAAUGGAAAUGAGGAAGUGCUGCAUGAAUUUUUGAAAGGACAACCAUGAGAUUUUGCAUAAAAGUGAAUCAUAAAUAUCCCUUGACAUCUCCAAUUUUUUGUGGAAUUUUUAAAUAAUUUUAUGAAACGGUUGUAGUGCAAAGGAGGCUCUCAAAAUGAUGAAAAUAUCUUUAAAAGGAAUUAAUUGUCAAAAAAAUUAUUAUAAAAUUGUCUCCCUUAAAUUAGUAAAAUGGAAGGAAACAAUUUCAAACAAUUACUCAAGCACACAAUGAUCUUCAAAAGUGCUACUUGGAGAGAAAAGUUCUUGGGAAGAGGCUUUGAAAUGAGCAAAGAGGCAAUUUAUUUUUCAAAUUUUUUAUUCCAUGCAAUUUUUUAAUCAGUAAAAAAGUGAUUAAAUUUUUGGGGUGUGACAUGGUCGCCAUGUCUUGAUGGUGCGCGCUUGUCCACUUGCGUGUGGGUGUUGCGUGAAAAGUACAUGCACCAGGUCCUUGAUGAGGUGAUGCAUGUGUGGAUUGUGCCCAUGAGCGAGAACUUGGUUCUAUAGGCUCCCAGCUCUGCCAGGGCAGACCCAGGCCAAGGCACCAUGCCCAGCCUUGCGAGUGCGAGGCCCAGGAUAAACUGGCGGGCACGUGCCACAGGGUCAGUCCCUUGUUGUCUUCGUCGUCCCCUAGGACGCGGUAUGGGGCUUCCGCUGGGUCCGGGCGUGGUAAGAAAAGAGGAAACCAAGGAAAUUCCACAAAACCCACAAGACAAAAACUUUCAUCAAAAAACCCGAGGCUAACUUGUUAGCGAGUCCAAAAAGGGGGGUGUGGCUUGUCGUAUCUAACAUGGGUCAGCCUGGUGGGCUCGUUCAUAGGUUGAAGAAAAAGGCGAAUAAAACGGUUCUCGUAUGCAUCACGGGUCAACCUAGAAAGAAAAGCGAUUGCUGUAUCCAGCAUGGGUCAACCUAAAAAAAGAGGUGCGACUCGCGAGGCAUCUUCUUCGAUCAUAUUGUUCCACCAGCGGGGAGCAUAGGGACUUCCAAUUGGGUGUGGGCGAGGGCCCUCCACCAAGGCCACGACGCGACUCAUCGUGCGGUUCCACUUAGGAGGCCCCUGGGCGUGUAAAGCCCCAAAACUCAUUAUUCCGUGUGAGUGUAACGGGCGCCGAUAGUUGGGCGGAUACCCUAGGCACAAGGCUUAGGAGUUCCUAACCGAGUCUUCAAGUGCGCUCCUAUGGCCCAAGCAUGAGUGUCGUCCCCGCCAUGCAUAACCCUAGGAGUGCCAUUGCAUGCUCCUAAAGCCCAAUCAUGAGUGCCAUUCACACCCCGCAUAGCCGUAAGAGCACGUUAUCAAGAGAGUCAUCAUGUGAGGUUGCGAGGCGCCCAUCCAGCAGAAGGGCGAGCCGAGUGAUGUCCCCUUCAUCUGUUCGCGAUGGCUUGUCGAGAGGGUGCGAUACUAAGGACCUUGGUGAGAUGGCUAGCACGGGUGGCCAACUCGUGAUCCAAACCUCGGUCACUUAGAUUUCUCGGCGCUGUGAGGACAAGUCCUCCACAGACGCCAUGUGUAAGACCUCACCGUCAAUCCUUCCCUAGGCGGUUGCAGGGGAGCGUCAUCCCCCGGCGCCGUUGGAACACCACAGCUCGAAGUUAAGACAAACUACACCAUCUCCAGUGAAGGUUAUUUGGGUUUGUUACACAUCCAAUAAACGCCCACUCGAGGCGAGACAAAAUACACGGAACUGCCUGGGUCAAGCAUCCCAAUAAGUCACCUGGCGGCCAUGCUGCUGCAGGAGCAUCAGGCCGCUUGACGACGCGUGCUGCCGAGGCCAUCCCUUAUGGAAGGGGAGGGCGACUCGCUCCGGAAGCUUCAACACCUUAGGGGAUGACUCAUGAGUCCUCACGGGCCUGCGGGGUUCGGCGCUUCACGAGGCGUGCACGACCACACCUCUUGCAGCUUGCUAGUCUAUUGAACGAUGAACUCCCGCAUCCUUGGCGCCCUACACCAUGCUUCUAUCAUGUGGCGGAGUUGGCCGAGGUGCGCCACCACAUUGUUUCCAAGUGCCGAUACGUCGUGCCGGCUAAGCCACGCGACUCCUAGCCGGGAGCCCCCAAGCCUGGCCUGAUGAGGGUGUCGGGCGUAGCAUCCUAUGCCCGAGGGAGGUGCACACCGAUCGAAGGCGCGAGGUGCGGGGCGCCGACGCUAGCCACGGCACUCCCUGGCCCGUCGGAGCAAACGGGGCCCGGUGUGAGGCAGUGUAAUCGCAUUUGACAGAUCCGCCUACCCGGCAGUCCUCCGUGUUAUGGGUGUGUGCAUUGUUGUGAGCAUAGAACAUCACGCUGAACCUUCUGGGCGUGCCCCCGCGGUAGCUCGGCGGCGGCCGAGAGCCGGCCACCAGGAUCCGGAGGAACAAGAGCAUGGCGGCGAGCGUACCUCGCUCGGGCCCUUCAAGCUGAGGCCCAAGCGAAUCGUCGCGUUGUGGUGGAGGUGGCUCAUUGGNNNNNNNNNNNNNNNNNNNNNNNNNNNNNNNNNNNNNNNNNNNNNNNNNNNNNNNNGAGCGUCGGCCAUGGGGUCGGUGAAGCUGGAGUGAAACAGGAGAUGAAGAGCGUCUAUGCACCCCUACGUGGCGUGCUAAAUGUUAGAAUCGGGGCUCCGCUGACCCAAAAAAGGUUUGAACUCUAGGGUGCGCUCUGUUUCCAACCUUGUUCUAUCUCUCAACUUCAUGGCUACUCUUCGGCAUCUCUAGCUAAGGAAGGCGAUCAAGAACACACGAGUAGUUUACCCAGGUUCAGGCCACAUUGCGAUGUGAAACCCUACUCCUGCUUGUUUGGAUUGCUUGAGAUGGAAUACGAGUAUAAAUGGGGGUUCUUGCCCUAGUCGAGAAUAACCAGGAUGCCAUCUCCCGCGCUACGGAGGCUGGGCCUCUCUUUUAUACUAGCCUUGGUCCUCUUCCCCGAAAACACAAUUGGCAGGAAGGGUUGCCACAAAGGCAAUUUUGAAAGGGGGCGGGACUGCGGCCUGCCCUGACAAAGGUGGUCUUCGCCUGCAAAAACCAUUCUCCAUGACGCGUUGACGGGCUCGGGGUGACCUCCAUCCUGCCAAGACCCCAGCCUUGGUCCUCUUGCAACAAUCAGGAAACCUUUGGGAGAUGCUCUAGGUGCCCGCCAGCGGGCUACAUUUCUUUAGCAUGAAAGUGGAAAUCCUCCCUGUCCAUGCUUGCUAGCACCAUUCCUGCGCCGCCUGCGCGACCUACGUCACUGUAGGAUCCGAAGUAUGUCUAUAGGUAAUGAUUAGACUACUUGACAUGAUAGAAAACUUAUCUUUUUCCCAAUUUCAGUUGUGCGGUAGUUUUGGCAAUUAUGACUAGUCAAUUUCACCCUACACAUGUAUAACUAAGAGUGCAACAGUGCAAAGUAAAGACAUGCAAAUGUAAUGUAGAGGGUGGGGUAGGAAAAUCAAACGCAAAUGUUGACACAAGAAUUUUUGGUGUGGCUCCGAUAGGUGGUGCUAUUGUACGUCCAUGUUAGUGGAGAUUGCAAUGCACACAGGCUAAUGUUUGUGAGACUCCACGGAGGGCUCCACCCAUAAGGGGUCCACGAAAAAGCGGUCUUGUCUAUUCCGCCAUGGCUUAUGUCCACACAGGACUAGCCUCACUCACGGUAGAACUUCCCGAACUAGGCGCUCUCCUUGCCCUUACAAACUUCUUGGUUCAACACAACAACACGAAGUAGGAGGUUCCCAAGCAACACCUAACCAAUCUAGGAGGCACCACCCUCCAAAAGGUAAUGUAUGUGAUAGAACGAUGGACUCCGUGCUCUUGUUGUUCAAAAAAUAGUCUCCUCAACACUCAAUAACUCUAUCACAGAUUUGGCAUGGGUAGGAGAGAUUGAUUUUGUGGAAAGCAACUUGAGGAGGCUAUAGAUCAAGUUUCAAAUGGUUGGAUUGGAAUCUCUUGAUCUCAACACAUAAGUAGGUGACUCUCUCUUAGAAAAAUGGAUUUGGCAAGUGUAAGUGUGUUCUGAGUGCUUCCUCUUUGAACGAGUGGAGGUGGAUGGGGUAUAUAUAAGCAUCCCCCAAAAUCCAACCAUUACAACACUAUUUCCGAACUCACUGACACCAAAAAGAAUCUCGAUGGUACCGAGUUGCACGAGAGGGGGGGGGGGGGGGGGGGACUAAUAUAUGAAUCUCGUUGGUACUGAUAUGAUGACCUGGACCAGUUUCCAAAUCUCGGUGAGACCUAUUCCAAUCUCGGAAAUUCCGAUUCUUGAAAUUUUCCCAAUGGAAAGUUGGUCACUGAAUCAAGGUGGCACCGAUAUGAAAGUUGGUGGUACCGAGAGAUUAGGGUCUGGCAAAGGAACCGUCUGGUGGAAAAUUGGUAGGGCCGAGUGAAAAAAGUUGGUCGCACCGACUUUGCUGGUUUUCUUUGGAUAGAGACAUUUUGUGGGAGAAUAGUUGAAGAUUUUUGGUGACUACCUCUAAGCACUUGAGCAAUCAAUUCAUCAUAAUACCUCGCCCCUUUUAAUUGUAUUGGCUUUACUAUGGAGUCAAAGUGAUUUCUCAGAAAUGUAGAAUGUAGAGUCUUCUUGCUUGAAGCUUGAGCCGAUCCUAUUCCUUUGCUUCAUCAAGGGGUUUCUCCUCACAAUCCUUUAGACAAGGCGUCUUUGAACUUUUUUGAAGUAUACUUGGAUAAGAUCAUUAGUCCAAUGAUGCAUAUGUUGUGAUCAUUUAUCAAAACCACCUUAGGGAGCAAUUGUGUCACACCCUGUGUUUUACCACUUUGCUACAUUAUGUUUUUGCAAAAUUUGGAACCAAUUUAAACUUUUUGAGUGCUUGUGAUGGUUGUUUUGAUUGCAACAUGCUUGUGUGAUUGAUUGUGUUCUAUGUUACCAAAGUUAUUAUUCUCUCCAAAACUUGCUCUCCUUGAUCCAAACCCUUAACCAAUGACCAUGCCAUGUGUGUAGGACAAUGAACUAUUGUUAUAAAAAUGUUAUCUCAACAGAAGGGCAUUUAUUUAUUUUAGAAGUUUCAAAACCCCUAAAUUGGGAUUUUCACUACAAGUCCCUAAUUUAGGAGGGAUGUUCUACCCCAAAGAUUUUAUUUUGAUUCUAUUAUCAAAAUGAUUUCCCAAAACCACAAAAUAAUUAUUUUAAAUGUUAUUUUCCUAUUUUAUUUAAACACCAUUUUCUUGCGUUGAAAAUAUUUGGGAAAAUAUAGGGAAACUCAAUGGACAUAUAUUUUCCAUAGACAUGAGUUUCAACACAUGGUGAUGUUCAAAAUAUCGGACAAAACCCCUCAAAACCCUUUCUGCCUAUUUCAAGAUUUUGAAAUAUUUCCAAACGAAAUACUCUCAAUAAAUUCCAGGAAAAUUCUACCAAGUCACCUAUGGUAUAGGUGGUGACCCUGCAAAAUUUCAUCUCAAUCCAAGUUGAUUUGGUUCACCUAAGAACCUCAAAACCCUCUCCGUCCAGAGCCAAAUAUGAGCAAUUUCACAUUGCCAAGUUUAUCCAAUUGAUCUCAAAUUUUAUAUAGGUGAUCUAGGCCCCAAAUAAGGAUGCUACACCAAGUUCUAAAUGUGUGGGCUUGAUUUGGUCACCAAAGUAAUCACGAAUAUGAUUCUGUCAAUUCUUGGGUAUUUUCAUGUUUACAUUGCCAACUUUGCUCAAAUGAGCUGACACUUGGUGAACACUCUUGGUUUCUACCACAGUGCAAUACUGUUAGCUUUCACAACAAUUGGGUCAAGGUAACUUGCCCAAGCAAUCAUCAAACACCUUCCACUAGUUUGGUAAAAUUGCUACGUUCACCACCUUUUCUCAUCUCCUUCAUUUCAAUUUUCUACGACAGCUUCUCGUGGUGAUGCUCUCCACCCUAGUAACUAUCCCACGUCCAUAGCUCAAUUAUUGGUGGUGUAAAAACCCCAAUUGCCCUCCUGGACAACAAGAUUUCAUCUCUCUCUCCACUCCUCCCUCUCUCUCUCUGUCGAAUCUCGAGAGCAUCCAAAGCCUUUGCCCACUUGUUUAAUUCCCCCUUGAUCCCCUAGACACGCUUGGCCACGCAAAACUUGUCUUUGGCACGCCUGGUAUGCAAUUCUCUGGAGCGCGGUAUAGUGCCCAGCUGCAUUAUAGCCGCCCUCUGACCGACGCUGCCGACCGCCUAGAGCCACUCCAUAACGAUAGUCGUGGCGUGUGGGCAUCACGACCAUCUCCCCUAUCGCCCCUCCUCUCUCUCUCCAACGGACAUCCCCGACGUGCCCGAGCAUCGCCCAAUUCGGCCAACCACAGGCCUCACGCGCGCAGGUCACCACACUCCCUCUCUUAUCUCCCCUUCGCCCUGAACUGACUGCAUGAACUCCCUAGACACAUUCUAGCUCACCCCUUGCCCCUUGUCCUCGACCUCAAGCUUGCCAGUGCACCAAGCCUUCGGUGCACCGCAACCACUCCUAUUUAAAGGCCCCUAGGCCUCUCUCCUUCCCUUCUUCUCUCACCCAACCCCAAUCGCACCCUUGCAACAGUCCCACUCCACUCCUCCCUCUAUGUGCUCGGAAUUGAGCUCGGCACCCCUUCUUCGGCCACCAUUGAUUCCCCAUGGUAGGAUGCCGCUCUGGCCAUUCUUUCUCUCCCUCUAGAACGACAACUCGAAUCUAAUACCUCCCCCUCUAUUUCCCCGUCGGUUUGCUGCAGGAAACCACUCCCGCGACUCCUUCCCGAAGCUCCUCCGCCGCGGGUGACCGUCGCUGGUGACAUCCUGCACCUCCGGCCUUCCUUCGACCACUAGCAUAAUGACGGUACCAUUCUGAGUCAGUUCCCGCCUCUUGCUUCCCUCGCCAUCACCGAAAUUGUCGCUGGUGAGCUUCCCCUCACCCCUGUCGGGAGGUAGAAGACGACCGCAGGGUGGGACCCGCACGUCAGCCUCUCCUUCCUCUCAUCUCUCUCGCUGGCAGGGCACGCAUGUAGGUUAAAAAUAAACCUACCACGCGCGCAAGCCCUUACACGCGUGGGCUGCUUUAUCUAGGCCGGCCCAGUUGCUAGCGCCUAUGGCCACUCUGAGGCCCCCCUCCCUUUCUUUUUCCCUUUUCCAUUUCUUUAUAUUUUGGAAAAUUUCCACAGAAGCCAAAAUGCAUCCAAACCAUUUAUUCGUUCACCACAAAUAUUGUAAUAUUGUGUAGUAUUUAAUAACAUCACUUGAGUAAUUUUACAGAAACUUUUAUACACUGUUUUAUUUUAGAAUCUAGUUUCAAACAUUUUUACCUUUUGUUAAAAUGUUUUUCACAACUUUUUACACCUCAAAAAUAAAACCUAGGUAUUUUUACAAUACCUACAAUCACCCUAGUAUUUUACAAAAAAGAGUGACAUUUUUCUGAGUAAAUUAUUUUCCCUAUUUGGUGGUGUUCUUAUAUUUGCCCGUUAAUUUUGCAAUGAUAGAUUGCGUUGUUGACGAAGGACUUGGACGAGAAGAUUUUGAAGUCCCCGGAGACUUUGUUGAGCAAGGUAAGCAACCCUUGGACCAUGUCUAGAAAACCAUUUACUUUUGCAUGAGAUGUAGCACUAUAUUUCAUUGCAUUGGAUUCAUGUUGAGUCGGUGACCACCUUGGUGGGUUGUCCCCGAGAACCCCUCGUUGAUACUUGCACGUGAGCAUGACCCUACCACCUAUGAGGGUUGUGAAGGUGGGAAGUAGCUAGGAUGCCAAUAGCCGCUACGCAAAUGGGACGGUAUUAUGCAUGAGACAAACAAAGAAAUGAUUUUUGAGGCUUUUCAAAAACCCCGUCGGGUGACAAAAAUGCCCGAGGGAGAAUGUGUGAGAAUGGGUGACCACUUGAGGAAUAAGUUGCGUACCGAGAAAACUUUUGUGUGAGUGGUUUCGGAAACGGGAUUAGAUUUAAGAUUUGUCGAUCGUCCCAACCUUACAUGUGUAACCAUGAUACCUCUUAUGAGACGGGGCUUUGUUGAUGACUUUGGUCGAUGAUAGCGAGAGUGGAGUGGUCACUCUCAUGACGGGGUCGUGCAAGGUAGGGCGACUAUGAGAUGUUUUCACACGCACCAGGCACAUCAUUGUUCCCAUCAUGGAUGUUACGAUCUAGAGCGAGGCUCGUAUGAUGUACAUCAUGAGGGCUGGGUACCAAUCGAGUGGACUCUUUGUUUAGUGUCACCAAGGGAAAACAUUUCUUGGGUGCUUACCUCGGGUAUGAGACAUACCGCAAGUCGUGGAUGGCACGGAAGUUCCCCGAGUCUCGUGGGUACAACGCGCAACCUCUGCAAAGUGUAAACUAUUCGAAUAGUCGAGUCCAUCCUCAAACACAGUUGGGUAGUGCUACUUAAACUACAUCCAGUUGUUUUUGCAUAAACCAAAUAAGUGUGUGUGUGUGUAAUUAUGUGGAAAAGAUGAUGAUAUGAGAAUGAUGAUACUUGAGCUAGGUCUGACGACUUGGUACGGGAAUUGAACGUGGGACGUUCAACCCCGGCUUAUGAUGAUGAUUAUAGCUUGCUCAUAUGGAUACCUAGAACAAGUUGAUGCACGUUGUACAAGAUUAAUCAUGUCAUUGCACUCAAAAACUAGCUUUCCGCAAAACUUACCUACUUAGUGCUAGAUCAUGAAUUAUUAUUGCCUUGCUCCACAUCAUGGGUUGCUUGUGAGUACAUUCAAAGUACUCAUUGGCUUGCCACUGGUUAUUUAAUUGGCCAGGCAUGGAAGAGUAGGAAUAUGGAGAAUUUUUGGUAGGAGACGAACACGCGAACUAGGACACUUCACAGUCAGCAUGCCUGUAGGUUUAAGGUAGAUAACUCGGGUUCACACUUUCGAUCAAGAUUUUUGUUGCUCGUUAUGUUUGGUGUGUUGACCUUCGAGGCCCUAUCUAUGAUAGACUUGACCUUUAUGGUCUCUAUUUGUAUCUGAGGGUAUGUAUGGACAUAAGAUUCUUGUUAUUCAGUUUCUGUGUCUUUAGUGAGCAUUGAUCUCUGGGAUCACCGUACACGUGCAUUUGGUCACCACGAUAUAUAAGUAGGGGUCCCAAAGAGCUGGUACCAAAGCCAUCCUGGUUGUAGGAAGCCUUCGUUAGCAUGGACGUCAGAUAGGAUAAACCCCUUUUCCCAAACUAUACCUAAUACCUAUACUUAGGAUUUUAUGUACUUCUUACCUCUUCCCAUCUACUUCCAAAAGCAUGCUGACACCCUCCCCUUAAUACUUUGUAGAUGGUCGUCGUACCUAGAGACCUCAUAGCAUCCAACUUUCCCCUACUCCUUGAGUAUAGCCUGGAGAAGUGUGAGUUCCGUCGAUCACCCGUUUUCCUCUACAAUGAGCACUGGGUCGAUGCCAGCACGAAGGAGUACCACAUUGAUGUGGUCGUGAAGGCAAAUGACUACUUGAUGAGUUGGUUCUUUGAAGGACCACAGAUGGAGACCUUGGCACUAGCAAUUGAGACACUUGCACAGAAGGCACCUGUCCACCUUCGAGACAUCAUUCCAGAGAUGGAUGAUGAGUCGGCUACUCACCACUUCCCGUUUAAAAAGGACGAUAGUGGGGAGAGUUGGACAUUGACCCCAUCCCCAGAGGAUGGAAGACCACUAAGAUUCUAGACCUACUUUGGCCUCUCCGCCGACAGUCUAGCUCAUAGCCUGAUUAAGGAGUCUGUGAGGCUCCACGAGGAACUUCACCGCACUCGUGAGCUACUCCGACUGGCCAAGGUGAAACCAGAUAAGAUCAAGAAGGAUGGAGCCCCCGAGGGACGACCAGCUGUCGCAUACCGAGGAGGAGUACCCCAGCCAUAGAUGCACCCACACGACGUCAUUGCAUGAGUGCGAAGGAGUAUUGUGGGCUCUUCAGUAUUCCACCGACAAAGUGUCGUCCGGAUAAACCUCUUCGUCCUCCGACCCCCUCGAUGUUAGACGAUGCCCGUACACACUAUGACUAGGAGGAAGACCCAGAGGAAUGUGACUACAAGACUGAGCAGUCCACCACUUGAAUCCGAGGACCACUAGGGUAGGAUAAGCCAUUCGAAGUCGAGUCUGUGUAAUGGUUCAUAUGAAGUCAUAUGUGCUUAUUGUUUGUUUUACUAUUUAUGUCUUGAUGCAAGUCGCAUUUUUUGCCUUAGGCGACAUGUAAGUGACUACAUCUCCUAUCUUAUCUUAAUGAUAUGCGGUGGGUCUUUUCGACCUUUGUUUGUCACACUUGCACUAUACCAACCCCCUUAGGCGCACAUUUUCUCUUGUUACCUUAUCUUGCAUUUAUCAGUUGUUUGACUGUGUCGCUCCAAAUAGGAUGGUGACUACGACUCACACCAGGACUUUUGCCAACCCUAGCAUCGGCAGCGCUAGCCAGCAGUCGGAGGCUGGUGGGUCUUCUCAAGUUGGAGGUCGCCAGGAGCGGCCACAACAUGACAUUCCCCCGCCACCUCCUCCAAUCGAGAACAUGACCAUAUCUCAGGUCCUCCAAGUUCUUCGGGAGGAGUGCCAAGCUAAUGCUACCCCUAUGCAUCAGUUGGCCCAGACCCUUGUGAAAAACUAUCAGCGGGGCAAGAACGGCAAUGGCUGCUCCACUCUGUUAGAGUUCAUGAGGAGUUUUUCACCAACCAUCACUGAGACUACUGAGCCUUUGGAUGCUGAUGACUGGAUCCACACCAUCGAGGCCCCCCUUCCGUUGGUCACCUUUAAUGAGGAUUGUGAGAAGGUUCUUUAUGCCUCUCACUGCCUCGGAGGUACCGCCAGAUCUUGGUGGGAUGGGUUCAAGGUUAUACAAGGCGACCGUGUUAUCACUUGGACUGAUUUCAAGCAACGGUUCCGCACCAGUCACAUCCCAUCUCAGAUUAUGGCUAUCAAGAAACAUGAAUUUUUAGCGUUUAAGCAAAAAAGUGGCUCUGUCAAGGAAUACCUACAAAAGUUCAACCUUCUAUCGAGGUAUGCAGCUGAAGACGUCAGCACUAAAGUAGCCAAGAUAGAACGCUUCAUGGAAGGGCUCCAGCAAGCCGUGUAGUAUCAACUUGUUGUCUGUGCUGUCGGACCUUCUUCGAGCUGGUGAACAAGGCUCUUAUGCUAGAAGACAAUCAUCGUCCCAUGGAGGACACUAGCAAACUCAAGAUGAUCACCAAGGGCAGCUCCAGCAACCAGAAGCCUCGCCCUUCGCAACCGGCCCCAGCAAAACCAACUUAUCAGCCUCAGCAAGUUAGGCCCCCUGCACCUCGUCCGAGCUACCAGCCUCAGCAGUAUGACAACCCCAGGCUGGCAUACAACAAACCCAACAACAGUGAUUCCAACAACAAGAAUUCAGGACAGGUCACCUUUUUUUGUUGUGGACAGCCUGGGAACUUCUCAAGGUUGUGCCCCAACAAGAAGCCCGAUGCACCACGCACCAAUGCGCCAAAUCAAGGACAAGGCCAUAGAGCGCCACCCAAGAACCCCGCUCCCCGCAACCAUCCCAACUAUGGAAAAUCUCGCGUGAACCACGUCACCACCGAGGAAGCCCAAGAAGCCCGGAUGUUUUUGUGGGUACGUUCCUUGUCAACUCAACCCCAACAACAAUAUUGUUUGAUUGUGGUGCUUCACAUUAUUUUGUUACUUACAAGUUUGCACAAAAGAGUGGCACGGAGACCACACCUUUGGGUAGUCUAGCGAUGGUACAAACCCCGGGUGCGGUAUUAAGGUCGAAUAUAGGCUAUAAAGGAGUUGUGAUUAAUAUCAAUGAUGUAGACUUCCUGGCAGAUCUUAUCAUCGUGAAGUAUGGCAAGAGGGAUGUCACUAUGACCAAUAGACAAGGAGUUGAGUUGGACCAAGUGUCAGUGGUCUGUGAGUACCCGGAUGUCUUUCAUGACAAACUGCACGGAAUACCUCGUUACCGAGACAUCGAGUUCAUUAUUAGGCUAAUGCCCGGAUCAAGACCCAUCUAUAAGUAGCCCUAUAGAAUGGGGUCCAUAGUAUUGGCUUAGUUGAAGAGACAACUCGCUGAGCAGCUCACGAAAAAGAUUUAUCUGCCCUAGUGCCUCUCCUUGGAAAUCUCAUGUUCUAUUUGUGUCCAAGAGGGACGGAACUAUUAGACUCUAUAUUGAUUAUCGUUCCAUCAAUGAAGUCACAAUAAAGAACAAUUAUGCACUCCCCAAGAUUGAAGACAUGUUCGAUCAUUUGAAUCGUGCCAAAGAAUUCUCCAAGAUCGACCUCAGGUCUGGUACUACCAACUGAAGAUUAGACCCAAAGAUAUUCUGAAGACGGCGUUCGUAACCCGGUAUGGCCUGUAUGAGUGCAUGGUCAUGUCAUUUGGGUUAACCAAUGUGCCAACCCACUUCAUGUACCUCAUGAACAAAGUCUUCAUGUAGUAUUUGGACAUGUUUAUCGUUGUCAUCAUCAACGACAUACUUGUCUUCUCCAAGUCUGUAGGAGAACAUGACCAACACUUGAGGAUGGUCCUGGACAAGCUUCAAGAGCACCAACUUUAUGCCAGAUUCAGCAAGUUUGAAUUCUGGCUGCAUGAAGUUCGAUUCUUGGGUCUUGUGACGACAACAUAAGGGUUGCCAGUUGAUCCUACCAAGAUUGAGGCUAUGACGACGUGGCAUUCUCCUACCAAUGUGAAGGAAGUUAGAAGCUUACUCGGAGUCGCGGUAUAUUACUGCAAGUUUGUCGAAGGGUUCUAAAGCAUCGCCGACCAAUGACGCAGCUCUUGAAUAAGGACAAGAAGUUCGAAUGGACGCUAAAGUGUGACGAGUGCUUCCAGGAGCUCAAGAAGAAAUUGACAACGGCCCCAAUUUUGGCUAACCCCGAUACCCGCAAGCAAUUUGUGAUAUAUUCUGACGCAUGAAGGUCCGGGCUUGGCGGUGUCCUGAUACAAGAAGGUAAAUUCGUAGCCUAUCUAUCCAAACACCUACACCCUCACAAAGAGAACUUCCCCACUCAUGAUCUGGAGCUGGCAGCGGUAGUUCAGGCCUUGAAGACAUGGCGACUUUACCUUCUGGGUAAGCGAUGUAAGAUAUACCUACACCACAAGACUUUGAAGUAUAUGUUCACUCAAAAGGAAUUGAACAUGAGGCAUCGAAGAUGGUUUGAGUUGAUCAAAGACUACGACCUAAGCGUUCAAUACCACCACGGAAAGGCCAAUGUGGUGGCUGAUGCCUUGAGUAGAAAGGCUUGUUCCUUGAAUGCUAUGGUCAACGAAAGGCUACCCGCCUUGUAUGAAGAGCUUUAAAGCUUUGGGUUGGAGCUAGUCGCACCAGGACUCCUGGCCAACCUCGAAGCAAUGCCUACAUUAAUGGACGACAUGAAGGAAGCUCAGAAGAGACACGAGAGCAUCGAAGGAAUCAAGAAGAAGAUCCGUAAAGGCAAAGCCCCAGGAUUCUUAGUGGAUGCAUAAGGAGAUGUAUAGUUUGGAAAUCGCAUUUGCGUGCCCAGCAAAGUUGAACUGAAGAACAUGAACUUGCCGCAAGCACACGACACUCCGUAUUCCAUCCACCCUAGAGGAACCUGUCACACCGUGUUUUCACCUUAUUUAAACAGUAGUCUCUUCAAAACUUGAGUUUAUUAAAAAACAUUAAGCAAGUGCUAUGAGUGUCGUGAUUGCCAUUGUAUGUAUGUAUGCUUGAGUGAGUGUAUCCAAAAACAAUAUUUUUAUAACAUGAUAUUUCCAAAAAGAUCCUUUUCUCAUUUUGACUAUUUCAAAACCUUGCUUUGGGUUUGAACUACAAGACCCUCAUCCCAAGCGAGUGCCUUCAUCCAAAGAUUGUAUUCUGAUUUUAGCACUAAUAUAACUCUCCAAAAUCAUAAAAUAAUUACUUUAUAAAAUGUUUUUCUAUUUUAUUUCCAUGUCCUUUUCUGAGGCCGGAAAUGAUAUUUCUGAAUGGAAAAUUAUUUUUUUGCCUUAGAAAAAUCUGAGAAAAAUUGGAAAUACUCACACGACAUAUAUUUUCCAUACAUAAGAUUUUCAACCCCUAUUUAUGUUCAAAUUAUUUGAUCAAAUCCUUGAAAACCUAUUAUGUCUGUUUUGACAUUUUGAAAUAUUUUCAAGAAAUUCUAAGAAAAUUCUAGCAUGCUUCCAAAGCUAUAUUUGGUGGUCAUGCCAAGUUUCACCUCAUUCCAAGAUGGUUUGGUUCACCAAAUAUUCCUAAAACCUUCCCAGUCCAGAAUCAAGUUGUAGCAAGUCUACAUAGCAAAGUUUGUCCAUAUGGCAUGAAACUUUGGAGGAGUGCUCAACACCCCAAAUGAGGAGACCCUGCCAAAAAUUGGAUUUGUGGGGAUUAAUUUACCCACAUUCUCUUUUAAACGGACAAAACUGCCCAUUUGGGGGUGAUUUCAAGUUUGCACUGUCGAACUUGUCCAAUGGAGCUCAACGUUGGUGGAGCAUCCUAGUUUUGCAUAAAACCAAAUCCUCUUAACUUCUGGCAUCAGCGGUGGAGGUUAACUACCCCAAACACAUAUCAAACAACUUCUGCCAGUAUGGUCAAAUAACACUUAACAUCCUCUACACCCACUCCCUCCCAUCAAACUCUCAGUGCACGCUGAGAGCACCACUCCUCAAUUGCAGACGAGUGGCCCCUCUCUGGUUCCAAGAAGGAAAGCCAAAAACCCCAAUUUAGUCUCUGAUUCAAGGCUGACAGCCUCUCUCCAAGCACUUCCUUUGACCAACAAUGAGUCCCUCGGCUCCCAAGCGGCUAAGGGGCAUUUAUGACAACCCCCGAACAUGCCAGAUAGGGCCAAAGCACCGUACAGCGCGCUAGCAUGCCGUGGCAUGCCAAAACAUGCGCUCUGGGCGCGCUACAGUGCGCACCCGAGGCAAAGGAGGCCAGCCCCGGCCGGUUCUCACCUCCCCUAGGUGUCCCUCUGCGUCUUCGACAAACCUCCUGACUUGGGGCAGCCCCAGGGCCCCUUCUCCCCCUCUCUGCUGACCAGGGCGAUGCGUGCCCGCACGCGCCAGAUUCGGCCAGAAGUGCGCGGCCCCGUAGCACGCACACAAUGAGCCUCCUCUCUCUCUCUCGUUGAGUCUCUGGGGUCUCAAACCACGUCCGUGAAACCGUGGUAUCGACCCAGAGCCCUCUCUCCCUCUCUUGCAGCCGCGAUGAAACCACCGGCGCUGCCCGCUUGGUGCAUCAUUGCUAGCCUAUAAAUAGGCCCUCCCCCUUCAAUCCAGCACCUCACACCACUCCUCCAGACCCUCAAUCGAGGCCCUAGCCACUCCAUUCAAGCAGAGAGAGCUCCGGUGCUCGAGGUCGACCGAGGCCCCGCCGCUUUGGAGCUUCGUCAAUCUCGGGCUACAGGCCAGCUCUUGCGCUCCUCUCACCUCCUCCGUGACCGUAGAGAGUUCAGCAAGCCUCCACACCUCUUAGUAGAGCAUUUCCCUGUCCGUAGUACCCAACUCCACCACCACCCGUAUCACCUCCGUCGGGGCCACCUCGUCGCCGGUGACCAAGGGCCUCCCCGUCGUUCAUUCGACAAACAACAGGUAGGCGAUGAUCCCACGGUGCCAUUCCUGCCGUGACCUGGACUCGAGGGCGUCAGAAUCGCCGCCGCCCUGCCUCCCCUCCUCUCUGUACAGAGGAGGAAGACGACCCCGACAGGCAUGCCCCACAUAUCGGUGGCCAGUCUCUCCCCCUCUCUCCUGUCUUUGCCGCUAACCGUAGGGGCCUGUGCGUCACGUUCAAACCUGACGGCGCGCGUGCACCUAGGCUGCUGGCUGGCUAACUAGCCGGUUGGCCAGUUGGGCCGGCCUAGCCAUUGGCCGAGCCAGGACAGGGUUAAGCCAUUUUUCUUUUUCUUUCUAUUUUGAUUCCAAAUUAUUUUUGUAAAGUUAAAUAUUUAAUCAAAUAGAAAUAUUUUCCACCACAAUUCUUCUCAAAAUGUGUAGAAUUUAUUAGUGUUGUUGCACAAAUUUUUGUAAAUACUUUUAUGCAUGGCUUUGAUUAAAAUGCCUAGUUUAAAUAUUUUAGCCCCUAUUAAUUAGGUUUUAAAAAUAACUUUUUAAAGUGAGUUUGUGCUCUAUUUUGGAAUGAGCUUCUUGGGGGGGGGGGGUAUUACGACGAUAGAUUCCGGGUUCGACGAAGGACUUGAACCCGAAGACCGCGGAUAACUAGCUGAUCAAGGCAAGCAGCCCUUUGACCAUGUGUGGGAAAAAAUAUGCAAUACAUGUUGAUUAUUUUAUUCCGAUGCAUCUAGUUAAGACUAACCGGUACACCCCGACAUGGUGUUUCCGAUGGCUCCUCUGGAGCACUUGCAUUGAGCAUGACCUUACCAUCUAUGAGGAUCAUGCUGAUAAAAAGUUGACAUGUAAUAGUAGUGCUACGCAUAGGAUGAGCAUAUCCAUAAUGAUGUUAACACAAAGAUGAAAACAAAGGUUUUAUGAAAACCUCGUUGGGUGCCACUAAUGCCCGAGGGAGAUGGUUUUGAGCUGGAUGACCACUUGAGAAAUAAGUGGUGUACCGGAAAGUUUUUGUGUGAGUGGCUUCGGAAAUUGGAUUGAUUGAUGAUGUGUCGACCGUCCCAACCUUACAUGUGCGACCACGAUACCCAUUUAUGGGACGGGGCUUUGUUGACUACUUUGGUCGGUGCUAGCAAAGAGGCCAUAUUUCUUGUGGCAGGAGUGAUAUGUGGUCACUCCCGUGAUGGGGUCGUACCAGGUAGGUCUACUAUUCCAUUUUUACGUGUUCCGGGCACACCGUUGGUCCCUGCAUGGAUGAUACAUUCCAGAGUUUGUGCUCGUAAGACGUACAUCAUGUGGGUUGGAUACCUAUCGAGUGGACUCUUUGUCUGGUGUCUCCAGGGGAAACGCAAUGAUCGGGUACUUACCUCGGUUAUAUUAUAUACCGCGAGUCGUGUAUGACAAGGAAGUUUCCCGGAUCUCGUGCGUACAUCGUACAACCUUUGCAGAGUCUAAAACUAUUUGAAUAACCGUGUCCACGAUCAAGGACAAUUGGGUGGUGUUUCUUAAACUACGUCCAGUCGUUUCUGCAUAAAUUAUGAGUGUGUGUGUGUGUGGGUAAAAAGGCGUUGUCUGAGAAAGAUGAUAUGACAAGUUCGGUGACUUGGCAUAUAGGGUGAACAUGUGGUAUACAACCCUCAACAAAUAUGUUGAUAUAUGCGACCUGUUCUUAAGAUUACCAUCUAGCUUAUGAUGCAUAUCCACACAAGUACUUCAUGAUGUUCAUUUUCGAUUAAAACUUUCUUUCCGCAAAGACUGCAUAUUAUUUUAUUAUUGCAACUGCAUUAUCCGUAUCAUGGGUUGUUUGCGAGUACAUUCAAUGUACUCACUGGCUUGCCACUAGUUAUGUUAUUGACCAGACAUGGAGGAACCGGAGUUCGGAGAAGAAUUCGUCACCAGAGACGGACACAUGAACUAGGACGCUUCCCAGUUACAAUGCCUGUUGGUGAAGGCUGAUGGCAUGGGUUCCCGUUUAUUACCAAGAUUUCUGCUAGUAGUUGUAUUGGUGCGAUUGGCCGUAUAGGCCCUACCUAUGUGAGACUUGACCAUGGUGGUCCUCUGUUGUACCGAAUGGUAUGCUUGGAUGUAAUACUCUUAAUAUUCAGUAUGUGUGUGUUCGGUGAGCAUUGAUCUCUGGGAUCACUGAGCAUGUUCAUUGGGCGGUCUCGACUCGUAAGUCGGGGUCCCCAUAGAGCCAAGAUGUACCAAGACCUCAAGGAAAGAUUCUGGUGGCAUGGCAUGAACAGGGAAAUAUCUUAUUAUGUCGCUAAGUACGACAUAUGCUAGGGGUCAAAGUUGAGCAUCCGGACCCGUUGUACUAUUACAGCUCCUCAAGGUGCUAGAUUGGAAGUCAGACAAGGUCGGGGUGGACUUUAUCACCGAUCUGCCCAUGUCAAGCAAAGGUUAUGAUUCAUUUGGGUCAUUGUCGACCACCUGACCAAGGUAGCCCAUUUCAUUCCAGUCAAAACCACCUAUUAUGGAAGCAAGCUAGCCAACCUCUACAUCAACCGCAUCAUGAGUCUGCAUGAUAUUCCAAAGGAUAUCGUGGCAGAUCAAGGAACUCGGUUCACCUCAAGGUUAUGUAAGCAGGUCCAUGAAGCUAUGGGAACCAAGCUCUCUUUCAGCACUGCUUUCCAACCUCAGACACGCGGACAGAUGGAACAAGUAAAUUAGGUACUCGAGGACAUGCUCCAUGCUUGUGUUUUAAUAUAUGGAGACAAGUGGGAGAACUGUUUGGCCUUUGCCUACUUCUCCUACAACAACAACUAUCAGUCCAGUCUACAGAUGGCAGCAUUUUAGGUGUUGUAUGGACGCAAGUGCCGCACUCCCCUCAACUGGUCUAAGACCGGAUAAAUACUGAUCUUUGGACCAGAUAUUCUCUGAGAAGACGAGGAGCAAAUUCAACUCGUCAGGGAACGUCGCGAGACCACCAAGUCAAGACGGAAGAUCUACGCCAACUCGCACGGCCGAGAAGUGGACUUCAUCGCCGGAGAUUAUGUAUACCUCUCCGUCACGCCUCUGAAGGGAACAAAGCGUUUCCACGUCAAGGGAAAAACCACACCAAGAUGCAUUUGCCCCUUAAGAUCACCGCUAGGCAAGGAAAAGUUGCUUACCAGUUGGAGCUAUCACUCGAGCUUUCGAAUGUGCACAACGUCUUUCACGUGUCUCAGCUCCGGAAGUGCCUCCAAGUUCCCGACCGUCCGGACCUCUAUAAGGACAUUGAUCAUCAAGCCAUUGACCUUCAGCCAUACCUCGUUUAUCGAGGGAGACCAAUCUGCAUCUUGGAUGAAGCCAAGGGUUACACCCGAAGCCGCACCAUCAAGUACUUUAAUGUCCAGUGGAGCAACCACACCAAAGCAGAAGCAACAUGGGAGCAUGAAGACUACCUUAGAUCCAAGUUCCCUUAUCUUUUUAGAGCUUAGCCUAGGAAUCUCGGGGACGAGAUUCUUGUAAAGGGCUGAUCUGUCACACCCUGUGUUUGUACCACUUUGCCACAUUAUGUUUUUGCAAAAUUUGGAACCAAUUAAAACUUUUUGAGUGAUUGUGAUGGUUGUUUUGAUUGCAACAUGCUUGUGUGAUUGAUUGUGUUCUAAGUCACCAAAGUUAUUCUUCUCUCCAAAACUUCCUCUCCUGGAUCCAAAACCUUGCCUAAUGACCUUGCCAUGUGUAUAGGACUAGGAACUACUUUUAUUAAAAUAUCAUCUCAACAAAAGGGAAUUUAUUUAUUUUAAAAGUUUCAAAACCACUCAAUUGGGAUUUGCAUUACCAGGAGGGUUGUUAUACCCCAAAGAUUUUAUUUUGAUUCUAUUAUCAAAAUGAUUUCCCAAAAACACAAAAUAAUUAAUUUAAAAUUUAUUUCCCUAUUUUAUCUAAACACCCUUUUUGAGGCCAUAAAAGGUAUUUCAUAGGGAAAAUAUUUUUCUUGCUUUGAAAAUAUUUGAGAAAAUUUAGCAAAACUCAGUGGAUAUAUAUUUUCCAUACAUAUGAGUUUCAUCACAUGAUCAUGUUCCAUAUGAAAUAUUUUCCCUCAAAACACUUUCUGCCUAUUUCAAGCCGUUGAAAUAUUUCCAUAUGAAAUAUUCUCAAUAAAAUCCAAGAAAAUUCUAACACGUCACACAUGGUAUAGGUGGUGACCCGGGAAAAUUUCAUCUCAAUCCAAGUUGAUUUGGUUCACCUAAGAACCUCAAAACCCUCCGUGUCCAGAGCCAAACUUGAGCAACUUUACAUUGCCAAGUUUAUCCAAUUGAUCUCAAAUUUUACAAAGGUGAUCUAGGACCAAAAUAAGGAUGCUACACCAAGUUGUGCAUUUGUGGGACUUGAUUUGGUCACCAAAGUCACGAAGAAUCUAAUUAUGUCAAUUCUUGGGUAUUUUCAUGUUUACAUUGCCAACUUUGCUCAAAUGAGCUGAAACUUGGUGAACACUCUUGGUUUCUACCACAAUGCAGUCCUAUUUACUUUCACAACAAUUGGGUAAAGGUAAAUUGUCCAAGCAAUCUUCAAACACCUUCUAGUAGUUUGGUAAAGUUGCCGCUUUCACCACCUUUUCUCAUCUCCUUCACUUCAAUUUUCUACCACAACUUCUCCUAGUGAUGCUCUCCACCCCAGUAACUUUCCCACGACCAUACCUAAAUUUGUUUUGAUUGGGAACUAUAGGAAAACCCCUACAACAUUAAUUUUAUUUUUAAGAAAGGGGAUUUACACGUGUUACAAGGGGUAACAAGGGGGAUUAAAGCUAAAAUUACAGGUAUUUAGAGAUCAAUAAUCAAGUGGUAAGUGUGAGAUCCAUUCCAAGAUGUCAUCCUUGAAGGCUGGCUUAAUUCUGUGCUGCAUGAGAGAAAUACCAUGCACAAAUACUCCUCCCCACCUAUAAAAAUUGGGUCUUUCAUGCCUAAAUACUUUUGCAUUCCUGAUUAUCCAAAUGUUCCAACAAGCAAGGAAUAUCACUUCACACAAGAACGACAUCUUGAAAUCUCUCCUUGCAUUGAUGGUAACUUCUACCAUAGUAUUCCCCUAUGAAUAGUCAAUCUACAAGUAAUUCCAGACUCUAACACUGAAGUGACACUCAAAGAAAUGAGGAUCCCUUGUUUCUUGUUCACCCAAUGGGCAGAGAACACACUAAACACCAUCCUCCAUGUGCCAAUGCCUCCUUUCAACCAUAUCUUUGGUGUUCAGCCUAUGCAUAAUCAACAUCCGUGAAAAGACCUUGAUUUUCAUGGUGCAACAGGACCUCCAAAUCUAAGAGAGCAAAGGAUUAAAAGUAAGGUCGAAUUGCAUGCUCAUAUAGAAACACUUGGGCUUGAAUUGUUUGGAAGAACCCUACCACCACCAAGUAUCAUUGAGAUCUGCAUCUCUUCCAUGGGCCCCUGUCAGAUUUUGCAAGUCCAAAAAUCCUUUUAGGCUUGCUCACACAACGGCAGGUGGAAUAGACCCAUGAGUUGGUGCACAUUGAAAACUUCCUUGGUAGACAUCCAUGGGUCUUUCACAUAAGAAAAGAGCCUAGGGAACCUUGAUUCCAAAGUGGCAAUAUUAUCACCAGUUUUCCAAUGAUAUGAACAAAAGGGACACAGUGUCCCUAGCAUUUAUUGUUACCCAUCUUGAUGGCCUGAAUUGAGUCAGAACUUUGCAAAUAUCCUUCCACCAGAAUGAUCCACAAUCCCUAGUUGGUUGGGGGACUCUUUCACAAUAAUAAGUGCCCAAAAUUAGGGAUACCCAAGGAACAUCUUUUCUAUUCAUGAAGUGAUUUGCAUGCUUUAGCAGUAAUACCACAUUCUGGAUUCCAAGAUUCAUGAUUCCAUGUCUUCCCUUAGCUUUGGGUGUGCAAACCAAGUCCCAGGCAACAAGAGAAGGAGCAGGUCCAUCCUUAUGUUUCCCCCAAAGAUACUGUAUCUGAAUUCUCUCAAGCUAUUUAGGGAUGCCAAGAGGAAUAGCUAAGCUACUUUAGAAGAACACUGGCAGUGAAGAUAAGACACAAUAAAGGAAUUGCAACCUUUACCAUGGGUUAAGGAAAGCAGAACUGGCAGUCAUUUUCCUUUCUAUGCAGUCAACCAAUGGCAUGAAAUCCACCAUCUUUGGUCCAAAUGUCCCUAGGGGGAGCCCUGAAUAAGUGAAAGGCAUUUUACCCGGUUGACAGGAAAAAGUUUCACAAGUUCCUUUAUGGUCUCAUCAUCAACAUUAAUUGGUAUGAUAGAGAACUUAUGAUAGUUAACAUCAAGCCCACUUGACUGAGAAAAAAUCUUGAGCAUGUCCCUGAGAGCAAGUAAUUGCACCUUAUCAACUGGUAGAAUGAUGAGAGUAUCAUCAGCAUAUUGAACAAUAGGAUAGUCCUGGUGUGGUGACCGGUUUUUCAGAAAAUACUUUCUAGAAAACUAGUCUUUGUGUUCACCAGCCCCAGGACUACUAUUAACUGGUGGACAAUCACUUGAUACAGAAAAUCCAAGAAAAAUACAAAAUCUGGGUUACUAGACCAUGAAGGUCUACUUGUUCGAUCAAAAUUCUGAGGCUGAUGGCGGAUGCGAAUCGAGGAAUCUCCAGUGCCCGUGGGACACCAUUCCCACAGGAACAAUUGACCUGGACAAAUUCCUAUCUCACAAGGCUACUAUCUUGGACUCCUAGGUUCCGGGGUUGAGGGCAUCGUUCUCAUCUCCAAACACAAUCUGGCCAAGACAAUAGCCAGGACAAGCUAGUGACUACUUUGAAUGUACUCCAAAACAUCAAGAAAACAGGUAAGUUAACGCAGGUGAGAUGCAUGUAUAAUCAACUUAAUGACUCUAUCAUGUCGAGACUUGUUUCCACCAAUACUGUACAAACAACAAGGAGGGUAAUUAAUCAAUAAGUUUGUGGAUCGGGCGUCUGAGGCGACACCACAAAAUGACAAGUAACACAAGCCAUACUCGAGCGUCUUAGAGACACCACAUAAAGGGACUUGUCAAUGGAAUAAUACUAACAUGCCACAGUUGCGCGUCUGGAGCGACACCACAAAAAAGGCAUAUAUGAAGGUAAUGAUAAGUAAGUAAUAUCAUGUGUGCCACAAUCAGGCGUCUGAGCGACACCACAAAAAUGACUUAUAUGAAAGAAAUAACAGUUGCCACACUCGGACGUCUAAGCGACACCAUAGGGCUUUAAUGAAAGUAGGGGGGGGGGGGAUAAUGAUGAUGAAUAUCCAGGAAGUAGUACCGUCGCAGGGAUGUUCAACAAUCAUGAUCAUAAGGGUUAGUCCAAAUUAAAUUAAUAAUCAUAAGCAUUCACCAUAUACCACAAAGAUUAGUCCACCUCAAGAUUUCAUAAUAAUAAUAGAGGUGAUCAUCCGGUUUUAUUUUAAUUCCCUCCAAAGACCGACACUCACAUCAACACUUGACUAGUCAACAAGUCGUCCUUGACCGUGGACACAACUACUCGAAUAGUUUUGACUCUUCAGAGGGUGUACAUUUUACCCAAAGCCCACGGGAUUCAAUAGUCACUCAGACUAAUCCCGUGUAUGGUAUUUUAGAAGUAAACACUCAGAAACAGCACACAUCCAUUUUUCCACCGCAAAAACCUGACUCAAAAGGACUACGCUGCCAUGGAAAGACCAUAACAUGGAGAGGCUCCAACCUUGACAAGCAUGGGAUCAAAUUUAUACCGCGCGCUACAAGGGAAGGGCCAUUCCCUCUCGGUACCAGACCGGAAACACCCAUGCCCCCUGACUGGAUGACUGGAUUUAGUCCAGGGCCAUGGAUACCUUCAUCCCGACGUCUCUACUUGGUGUGUACCUGGUACUAGUCUUAUGACAUACUAAACCAUAUUCCCUUUUAGGAAGACAUGUGGAAGCACGUAAAGUAAGGCGACACAUAGACAAGACUCAAUCUACGGUCGACUUAGGAGGUUUAAGAUUUCCUGCAAGGGUAGUACCACAAAAUCUUGCUGAAAGAAUUAUCUCAGUGUUACUACAAUCAGACCUCGACAUGCCUUCAUGGACCACUCUUGUCCCACGAGAUGUGAGGCCCAUGGUCUCAUAUCCACCGUGACAACCUUCCUCCAAGGUCAUCCACACCAACAUAUCAUACGAGGCAUGAGGUAGUACCCACUCACCGUUUGCAUCCCAUAUGUUCGGCAACACAAUUAUCCAUCACAAGCACUCAUGCAAGUAUGAUUUUAUGUGGGGGGUUUAUCAACAUAACCCAAAAUCACGCAAUAAUGCACCACAACAAAUAUCGCACAACUGCGUACAAAUAAGAGUUCAAGAUGCUUGCCUUUGAAGUUUAGGAGGGUGGUGUGCACCCAAAAAUCUUGAAGUAAGCCUCCUCUCUCCAAGUUCCUAUUUUGAAAAUAUUAGAAUUAACACAUAAAUUCAAUAGAUCACAUAAAAGUUGUUUUAAUAUUUUGGAAAUAAAUUUUUAAAUAAACUAGAGGACAUUUUAGAGAGGUAGAAAAAAGAAUCAGUCCAUUUGGAGUUUUCUUUAAAAAGUUAGAGCCAGUUAAAGAUCCUGGUCAAAUCUGUUUUAUUAAGGAAAGAAAAAGAAAACGUUUUGCUUAAAUUGCGCUAAACGAAUAGGGGAGGCGUACUCAUGUUGAUACGCUUUCUCAGGGGGAAGACGUGCUGCGGGGUAGGCGCCAUCACGGGCUUGGGCUGACUCAUCGACACACGGGACCUGCCUGUUAGGUUCCUCUCCUACCUCCCGUGCGUGCACUGGAAAGGGUGAAGAGUGGACGCCGGCGGCGGUUGACGAUGCAAGGGGGUGCCAUCCACGGAGCUGAGCAUGCCGGAAUGCUCGAGAGGGAGGGCCCCAUCAUUUAGGGGACAUGCGGGUAGCAGGGUAGCUCGAGGGCGAGCACAACCCAGGUCAUGGCGGACAGAGAGUUCUGGCGCACCGGCAUCUCCACCACGACCAGCCAUGGAUGGAUUUUGCAGGUGGGUUGGUUAGGUGGGGCUUGAAGAGGUUAGCAAGGGCCAAGGGGGAACGACAGGGGCUCGGAACUGCUGCAAUUUUGCCGGAGGCAGACGGAGGAGCUGCGGCCAGAGAGGAGUAGAGCGAGCGGCUCCGGCUAAAUUGGAGCGAGGGGGAGGCUCCUAAGGGUCCAUGGAUGGCGCUGGUUACUCAAAUGGAGCUCGAGACCUCCUUUU
rnacentral:lncRNA from 1 species